UGGAUCUCCUCAUGGUUGAAUUUUAACAUUAUACCUCACUAAAUUGCAAUACAACAUAUAUCAUGUGAAUCUAUAAUCUAUUAGCUCAAAGACUACCUUUUAGGAGGUAAGUUUUAUUUUUUAAUUUUGAAUAUGUAUGAUAUAUACGCCAAAUGUACAUGUGUCCAUACAUUUUUGUUUUGCUGUUUCUGACACCCUGCUCUAACAACAGAUUUAAAAUGACUGACAAAAAUAAAUACAUAGUAAAGCAAAAUUCAUAAAUUAGAAGUGAGCGAUAAAGAUUAACAAAAUAACAAGGAUAAGGAUAUAAAAAUGGAACCAGUUGUGAAGUCAACCUAUUAACUAUAUUCAGUGAAGUGCUAUACAGUUGCCUUUAAACUUUCUUGCAGCCAAGUCAAAGAGAAAAGCAUGACAAGUUAUGUAAUUCACAACACCCUUAAGAAUAAUAAAAUAAUUUUCCAUCAUCCAUCACUAAAGCUCGAAAAAUGACAGACUCUGAGUUUCAGAGAAAUCAGUGCUAAGAUGCUAAGACAACUUUCAAUGACAAUAAUUAUAGGCUGCAGAAACCUGAAGGUCAGGUUAGAUGCAGAAACAGUACCCUCCUCGAGACAUGGAUAUGGAUGUAGACUAGAAUAAUCCCUUUUCAAUCCCAGGGCAUGAAUAUGUGGGAUUGUGCGGGAUGGGGGAUAAUAUUAGUGAUACAGUGUUUUUGAGGCCAAGAUCUCAUGCAAAAUAAGGAGUUAGGAGGGGAAUUUCAAAACUAUUUUAUAUAAAUAAAUGUAUCUUGUAACAGCAAAUCAAAGAUUUAGAAGGCUUCUACUUUUAUAAUAAUUACUGAAACACAUUUUAUCAAAUAAACCUUUUGAAUCAACAUUACUUUUCUAAAUUAUACAUAAAGCAGUUCUGUGUUGCUGCCAUUCUUCCACUUAUACUUUAAGAUGAUUAUCAGUCUUUGCAGUUUUUAAAAAGAGCCCUUUCUGGCUUCAAAUUUAAAUAUUUCUCACUCUUGCAUCCUCCCUUGGUUCAUUUUCAAAAGUCUUAGCAAACUGCUUAAUCUUUUCACAGGUAAUUUUGAUGAUUAAGUCCCAUUUAAUAGUCAAGUGUCUCCAUAUUGAAAUGGUGUGAAGCAUAAAGGUUUUUUCCCCCCUACUUUUCCUUGUAGCCUAACCCCUAGUAAGUAUUACAAGGAGCCCUGAUCAGGAUUACUACGGUGAUUCUUAAAAUGAACAUUUUUUUUACCUCUUUGCAGAAUUUCUGAAUCAAAUACUCUGAGGAUGGGGCCUAGGUCUCUGCACUUUAGGAAACUAUUUGGAUUAGUCAUGUUUAUUAAAGUUUUAAAAUCGGUAUUUUAAAAUUCUGACUUUGAAAUUUAUAGUAUGGGAAGAUAAAAUGGUAGGAUUUCCCUAUAAUUGUUGGUGAGCAUUCAUUAAAUUAACACAAACUAAAACACUAAUGCAUAUACAAUAAUAUGUUAUGAUUGCCUGCUAUUAAAACCAGAACAAUCUAAAGACUGAGUUAAUUUGAACUCAUUAGGGCACAUUUCACCAUUUUAUGAAACAUUUAAAAAUAUUUUUAGCCAUCAUUUAUUGAGAACUAUUAUAUGCUAAGUCAUAUUGUUGGUCUGGAUACUACAGAUACAAAGAUGAUUAAAAGAGAGUGAGUACUUUUCUGGAAAAACUCAUAACUAUGAUAAUUGUAUCAUCACUAAGAUAUUAUCUCCUCCAAAUUAGGAUAACUAUGAAUUUCCAUAUAAUCUCCUCUUUGAAUAAAAGUCAAGGUUCCAUGUUAUAUCAUGUCACUAUAAGUAUACAGUGGACCCUUGACUUACCCUUGAUCCAUUCCUAAUGUCUGGUUGUAACUAAAUCAAUACAGCUGAGAUCCAGAUGUUUACCUGACUACAUGCUAUAGAUAACAGAGGCAGAUGAAUCUUACAUUAACCUUAUUGAGCCAAGUUGUUCCUAUGUCAGGCUAGGCGUUACUUGAGGUUCCAUGUACACUCAUUAGCGAUUUCACGUAGUAGGACCCUACUGCAAUUUGGAAGGUGUGGAAUCUGCCAUUUUCCUACUGUGAGACUCUGUCUCCCAUAGCUGAGAUGGGAAGUGUCAUGUAGACCUGAAACAUUUCUUUCAUUAUCUGUCAGUGAUUUCUUACAAGGUUCCAUUCUGUAAAGAGGAGAGAAACAUGUGUGAGUGCACUAGACAUUAAGAAGACUCCCAUAUCUCCUUCCCUUGUCCUGCUGGUGGCUCAGCUGGCCUAUAAGAAAUGCUGGAGCCUAAAUAGUGGCAGCCUUUCUAGUUGAUAUGUCAGGUACAAUUGAAGGGCUCCAAGCUGCUCUCCCCUUGGAGCUCUUUUCUUCACAAGUUACAGCUGUGCUAGAAGUUGAGCAUAGACAGGCAAGAGGCCACAUGUUGCAGUAAAUGAAUUAAGUGUGUAGCCAGGCCGAGGAAGAGAAUGAGAGUUUUCUAUUUCAUUGAUGGUUUGUGUUUUCUUGGGAAAGUUUUGGGGAUACCCUCUCCCUUUAUCAUUUCCAUAACAGUAUGAAAAAUAUUAUGAGAACUUCAAUAUUUUUUCCUUUCUUUUCCUAACUGUCAACAUAUAUUUGUUGAGAAUUUAGUACUAUGCCCUGUUCUAGGAACAGGGACAUACUUCUGAAUAGUUAGUCAUAUAUAUAUAUAUAUAUAUAUAUAUAUAUAUAUAUAUAUAUAUAUAACUUAAUAGUUUCUACUUUCAUGAAGUUUAUAUUAUAAUUGGUAAAAAGGGAAUAAAAUUACUGAAAUAUAACAUAGAAAGUAAUAUAAGUAUAAAAUAAUAUACUUCAUUUUGAGGCAUUGCCUACUGGGUUCUGCAUGGCUUCUAAUUAUAUCUGCAUUAUUUCAUUUUGUGUGUAUAAUGUGUGUGUAUGUGUAUAUAUAUAUAUAUAUUUCUUCAGAACAUAGAUCAGUAAAUUUAGGACAUAGGUUUGUGGGAAGCUCCUGCACAUAAUGUAAGGGAAGACAUAAAUUACCUAGGACACAAGGUGUACAUAAUAAACCAUUAAAUUAUUCUUUUACAUCUCUUUACUUGUUCUAGGGAAUAUGUAUUUUGUAUUUUUUUAACUGACUGGUGGUCAUUCUGUAUGCAUAAGAAGUAGAUAAGCUAUGGAAUCAACUCAUGAGGAACUUAACCUACAGUCCAGAAGACUGAUAAUUAACAGCAGUAUAUAGAGGACAGAGUAGGGAGUGCUGUCCUAGAAGAGGUCAGGGAAAAAAACAAGAAAGCUUUCCCGGAGUGAAUUUUAAAUGAGGCUAAUACCCUAAAAAUAAGACUAAACAAAAAGAAUUUUUGAAGUUCUAAUUUUACCCUUGAUCCUUAAUGAGUAAAGCUUUCAUUUUCCACUAGUAAUAUGUGUUUCUGGUAGAAAUAUUUUAGACAAUAGGAAAACAUAUUAACUCACCAUUUAGGGAAACCAUUGUUAACAUUCAUGAGAUACUUUUUUGAACAUGUAUUAUGUUCUAGAGCUUAGCCAGUCAGCCACAAGUUCUCAGAAGGGAGCAUUUUAAUUGACAAGCAGCCUGAAUAGCAAUAGAAAAUUUGACUUGUGUUAGUUGUCUUCAAAUUUGGACUUACAGACCAAAUGGGCACCAACACUAGUGAUGUCAGUAGAACAACACAGUACAAUAUUCUUCUGAAGAAACAUCAAAACACCUGUCAUAACCUCCACCUAGAGCAGAUGUGAGAAUCAGACUCCUCUGGGUCAAAUCCUGGCUGUACUUUUCGAUCUGUAUGAUCCUAGCCAAGUUUUGGGCCCUCUGAAUCUCAGUAAAAUUAGAUUAUUAACCCAGAUGCAAUGUUUUGAAAAAUGAGUAAAAUAAUUCCUAUAAAGUGCUAAUCAUAGUUUGAUAUGUACCAAAGUAUUUUGUUGUUUUUGUUUGUCUGUUUUUUGUUUUUUUUGUUUUGUACCGGGGAUUGAACUCUGGUCCUUGCGCUUGCACAGCAGGCGGCGAAACCACUGAGCUAAAUCCCUGGCCCCUGUAGCAAAGUAUUUAAUAAAUACUGCCAUUACUAUUGUGCUUGCUAUUAUGAUUAUUACUAUUACAGUUAUUUAAUUACCAGGAAAAAUUGUUGAAAAUAUAUUUUUCCAGUACAAUAAUGUUACGUUACUGACAAUAUAAAUGAAAACACAUUUCCUACCGAGGAUGGGUCAGAGAUGCCAUCUUUGUAACACAUAUUAAAAAUCUGGGUUUUAUAGAUGAAAAUUAUAAUAGGAUUUAUCUCAGUAGAUUAAUGAUAUUUUGCAGACUAAAUUUGUUUCUAGGUAGAAAUGACGUCUAAAACUUCCUUAAUGCCUUUGUUGUUAAAGAUUUAUUUCAACAAUAUCUGAUUAACUUGUUUUAUUAAAAAGAAAUUUUAAAUUUGAAACCCCAAUAUUUUUUAGAUAAUGCCACAUUCCUUUAUAGAUAAGUGAUAGAAAAGCAGUAGAAAUAUAAUUUUACUUAAAUGGGACAUCAUUGGGAAGAAAACUCUUACUGUCAGAUCUCAACAUAUAGUGACCAAAGAUCACUAGUUUAGCAGGUACUACAUAGUAGGCACUUAAAAAUGUUUAUUGGAUUGAAUUAUAUUUUGUCAGAAACCUAAGCAUGUUCUGUUGGAAGUGUAAAUGACUUUAAGACAUUGACACAAUUGAAUUACAAUAUAAUUUAAAAAGUAGUUCGCAACAAAUUAUGUUCACUUUUUUAAAGUACAGACUGUCUUCAGUGUGAGAAGCAGAACUAUGUCAUGAAAAGAACAUAAACUGUAAUUGCACAGAGUGGGGUUGGUGUUGUUUAUCAUCUCCACUGUUUUCCAGUUAUAUCAUCGUUUACAAGUUUUUUUCUGUGUCUAAGUCCUCAAGUAGAAAAUGAAGUAAUAAUAUCCUCAUUGAGGUGUGUGUCUGGCCCUGGUAGAGUUCUUGGUAUAUAAUAGAGACUCUGUAAGUGAUACCUGCUAUCAACAGCAGUGACCAUGACAAUACGACAAGCCCUAUGUACAGUGUCCACAAGAUUAUUAAUAUAUAUUAUAUAUGAGUAUAUAAAUAACACUUGAAAGUGUGUUGUUUAGUGUGUGACUCCCAUUCAGAACCUAUAUAAAAAUUUUAUCUAUUUAGUUGCCUGCAUAAAAAGAUGGCUUUAAUUAUUUAGCUAAAUGAAAAUACAAUUCAAAAAUCCAAACUAAGUUAAUAUUUUGAAAACUUACAAUAAAAACAAAAGCCACCCCAGGAUUCGUAACUAAAAUAACCAGGUAAUUUUGGCUUAAUGCAAAUUAAAACCAGGGACAGUGCUCUACAUCAAAUGAUAAAAAAAAGGGGGGAAUUAACCUAGAAAACUCUUAGGUAGCCCUUGCUUUUGGUAGUAUUAAUUGGAAGCAUCUUAAAGAUCAAAAGGCUAUUAUAACUAGUUCCAGUGGUAGCUACAUAUGGAAUAUGGCUGUAGAGAUUCACAAUGUAAAAAUAGUUCAUUGCUAAAUUCGAAAUUCUGUUAAUGUCACAAACAGUAGGAUGUGAAACACAAAUGAAUUGUGAUGACAGUUGAGUACCAAGCUGCCUAUUUUUUACCCCUCAUAGCUGCCCAAAUUUGAUUUUAUUUUCCUCAGUCCUGAAUUAACCCAUCAAUAUUUGUACUUUCUAUAUCACCUUGGAACAUACCACUUUAGAAUUUUCUUCCUAAAUGCUUCUCACUUCCUAGGAAUUUUGCUCUUGCUGCUUUUCUUCUGACAGAUAUGUAUUUUUGAAUCUUUUUUUCUAUCACUCACUUUAGAGUCAGAUUUUUGAAUGCUUUUUUAACCUACAGAUUUCUGUGGCUGUAUAUUGCUCAUUACUUUUCCUCUUUUCUCAAGUGAUUUAAGUGGCAUUCUAUAAUGCUUGAUCUGCAGGCUCUUUGUAUAGGGCAUAUUUCUUCUCCAUAUCACUUUGACUUAGCACACUUGCUAUCAUCCUGAUAAUCUGCAUUAAUUUCCUACUAUCAUUUUUAAAAACCUGUUUUUUUAAAAAAAAUUUCCACUCUUACCCUUUAUACUAGGUCUUUGUGAUCCUGGAUUUAGGGAGCAAGACUUAUGAACCAAAUAAAUCUCCCUUUUAAAUUCAGCGUUCCACAUAACCCUAAGCUAGCUUGACCUUUGGGAAAUGUCAUUUUUAAAAUCUCUAAAGAGUAUUGCUGAAAUGACCAAAUUAUGUAGGCUUAAUGGGUUUUGUAGCAUGGAUAACAGACCUACCUUACAUAGCAACAGUCCUAGCUAAACAUUUUUUAUUUGGAUUUUGCUCCACAUGGUGAUUUGGCUGCCAUUUGCUGAGUGACCUCUCUAUGCCAACCAUUUUACAUUAAUUUUUAAAACAAUUCUUUGAAGUAGUUACAAUUAUCUUCAUUUAAUAAAUGAGAAAAUCUUGAACUGGUGAGGUUAAAUGACUUGUUAAAGGGUGAAACCUAAGAUUAUAAAACUCUAGAGCUCUUUCUGUCUCCAUUAUCACAGGCUAGUGCCUGGUUAUAUAUUCAUAUUAUUUGUAGUAGAAAGUUUGUAGUGUAAUUUGAUUGGGACAUAGUCAAUUUCAGCAGAACAAACAACAUGAUGACGAAAUUUUCUUGUUGUAUCAUUCUAUUGGAAUAUGAACUCAAGAUCUCCAGAAAGGAAACAUGAGUAUAGGCAACUUCCAGUGCUGCUAGCUUGUUUCAGGCAACAACAUAGUAUUAGUAAUUUUUGAAGAAAUUAGAACUUUAAAAAGUGGUUCUUAGACCAAAGAUUGCUGACUUCCCAUCAGAAGCCUCCUGUUAAUUGAUAUAGACUUCUUCUCCAAAACUAAAAUAUGCUGAUUAUUCUCAACAAAUGCAUUCUGUAGUCCUUUUUCCAAGCAAAUUAUAUUAAGAAUUGUAUAUUGUAAUUAUUUAGUACUUUUAUGUAAUGAACACAAUACAUUUUAAUCCAGUCAGAAUCAAUUUAUGUCUCCCUUAUGAGGCAUUAAAGCUAUUUUAUAUGUACUAGCACUGACAGUCUAGAAAAUAUGACAAAAACUAGUCAUUGUCUUUUUUUUUUAAGGUGAUCAAGGCUAGGGAUAUGUCAUUUGGCAAUAGUUGGCCCCCAAAGUAAAGCAGUAGUGAGACAGGCCUUCAGAUUUAGAGUCUCUACUUCCCACAGUUCUUGGCCUCGGUUUCCUUUUGCCUUUGUGCUGGUGGAUCACUGAGUUCAUCAGUGUACCCUCCAAACGCUGUUACCUUGCUUUGGACAUUGACUGGGAAUUUGUAUGGACAAGCUUAGUUUGUAAUUUUGUCACAGCCAUUUACUUCAUUUAUUUCAGAACCUCUCAGAGAAGCUUCUGAAAUGUCUCUGGAAUUUAGGGUGAAAUUUUAAUGAAAGAAAGGAAAAAACCAUAAAGACACCAGAAAGAAAGGCAGUAAAGAAACUAUAAGAAAAAUCUCUGGGAUCAUCUUCAAAUAUUCUCCUGAGGGGGGAAAACUAUAAAGCUUUUAGUGUAAAAUGUAAGGCUUUUGAGUCCUACCGCAGGUGCUUCCCCUGGGCUCCAUCUCUCUGGUCACAGUGGCUAUUCCAAUUUCUUUCUCAAAUUCUGACAGUUACCAAGUUUGAAAUGUUUUCACUGUUUUUCACUACUCUAAAUUUAAAAUGAGGUAGGUGUUUUUCUCUUUUACUUUUUGAAGAUUCAAAAUUUUCUUGUGUAUUUAUUAAAAGUUCCUAUGAAACUCUGCCCCAAAUCCUGUUUAUUAAGCAAAUAAGUAUUGCAACCUUUUAUAAAUCUAAGUACCAUUAGGAUUUUUACCCUGUCUCUGAAUGCUGAAUAUCUGUAACUUUUAUUUGGUUAUUUAAAACACUGAGUUCUGGAAGCAUAACUGAAAAUUAAAAGCUCUAAAAGAUUGGCAUUUUUUAAGUCAAAGUUUGCUGUUCUAGAAUCUAUUUGAAAUUGACUUUCUAGCAUGCUAUUUCUAACUAUCCUUUUCACAGAUGUAAGCAUUACAUAGGAGUUGAGCCAUAUUGAAAUAAUAUCAUAAAAUAUGGAGUAAAAUUGUACACAUAUACCAUAUGUCCUGUCCCAUCUCACUCCCCUGAAUUGCUGAUAUUGGAAAAUAUUUUUCUAAAAGUAGAACAUUAUUUGCUUGAUAAAUUUUAACAAUUGUGUGAAUUGCCAUUUUUGUUUGUGAAAAAUACCAGUCUUCUGAUCUCUUUUUCCUUUUAGUUGUACAUGGCUCAGUCUAACAAAUUUUGAAUAUAGAUUCCAUAUAGUUGUAACUCUAAUCAAACCAUAUUUGAAAGCAACAUUCUAGACUGUGUUUCUCUGCAAGCAUGACUUCACAAAUGAAAUAAAACCAAAACUCUUAUUAUAACAGAGAGUAAAAUGAAGGUAGCAACAGUCAUUUUGAAAACUGAUUUUAACAGUGAUUAACCACUAAUUUUUCAAAGACUGUGGAAGCCAUUUUGAGCUGUAGAAUGGAGAGGGGAUAAGAAAAAUCAAUACAAGGAAAAUGUAUCUGUCAUUAAUAAAGCCUAAAGAUACUGUUAAGACCAAUACCCUCUCCACCUUUCUAUUAUCACAUUCCACUGAAAAGUGUUGGAAAAAAAUCAGCCAGCUUCUACUAGAACUACAUGUCCAGAUGAGCAAGUCUGUAAAUAAUUAAAAGAAUAAACUAGAGUAGAAAAAACAGAGUGGGUAGGUGGUUAACCACUCAAAAUAUUGAAUAUGUCAAAACCAAAAAACUAAAAGAGGGAAAGGAACUUUUCUUCAAAAGAAGAUACUUUCCAUCCUUCACCAGAGACACAGAUUUGUAAAUGUGAUAACAGAAGCCCUUUGGAUAUGGUUGGUGGAAAGAACACUGUCUUCAUAAUGGCUUCACUAGGUAUUCAGUUGCCCAGGGCAAUUUGAUCAGAAUGUCCUUGUUUCUAAAAUUGUGUAAACCAAAUCAAGAUACAGGAAACAGAGUUUAAUAUUAACUUUUAGAACAAGGAACAGGGAGAUGCUUUUAUGCCAUAGUCCUGGUGUUCAUUCCAAUCUCAUUACUGCAGUGGGUUCUGAAAGCAUUUACAACUUUCUGCAGAGAGUGACUUUGGCUGAAUCCUGAAGAUGGAAAUAUAGCUUAAUGACCUGGAAUAUAGAGUCUUCCUUAAUACAGAAUGUUUCACCAUCACUAACUUGAUAUUCCUCACAACAUUUCUGGCUGCAGUGGCUGGCACUUUUCCUCAACGUUGUGAGAAAAAGAGAAUUAGCUGGAAUAAAAUCUUGCUUUCCAUAUGGUGAACUUGAAAUGCAGCAUUGAACAGGUAUCUUCUCUUUUUCUUUUCUGAAACCAGAGGUGAAACCCAUGGACAAAUAGCAGUAUUGAUGCCAAAUCACCUGUUGAUUCUCAUCAGAAAAUUCCUUGGCAAUGCAACCCUUGUUUCAUCAGUUGCAAAACCUAAAUAGUUAGUCUUUGUGCGUUGGUAACAUCUAUAUUCAAGACAUGUGCCUUUGGUCGCUCACUUAAGAAUGACCAAGAUUCUACACAUAGUUAAGAAAUGAGCUGAAAGUUUGCUUUUGAUUGAACAAAAUGAUCAUUUUGUAAGUAUGUUUGGCUUGUGAGGUGCUUAUUAACUCCUACAAUAUCGGAAUCGAUUGUUGGGAACAAUGGAGAGAAAAAUGGCACUACUGUUUUCCUUUAUCUUAAUUCUAGUUGGGAAAAAUAGUGGUCUGUGUCUUAUAAAAAUGUUUUAAUGUAAAGUAUUUCAAACACAUAAAAGUAUGAAGAUUAAUAUGAAAUAUAAGAAUCCAAAACACAAGUAAAACAAACCUUGAUAAUUUGAAGUAUUUGUUUCUGAGCCUGUUUCUAUUAUUAUUCUCUUAUAAAUUGUGUACAAUAGAAAAAUUAAAUGUAUAGUUUGAGGAGCUAAACUCUACAGUCAUGUGAAACAUAUAUAAAACAUAGGAAGGGUCUUUCUUUAGUGCCUUUUUGCAUUUGAUUUUCUCCAAAGCUUUGACAAAGGUUAAUAGCAAUCAUUAGUUCCUUUUAUGUAAGUCAUAUAUUAUAGCUUAAAUUAAUUCUCCUGAAUAUAUCACUAAAAUUUAUUUGUUGAUUUUCUCAUUGUUAGGCAUAAUUUCCAAUGUUUUCCAAUAACAAGCAAGUUAAUAUUUAUACACAUGUACAUACAGGGAGGUGGAAUUGCUAAACAUUAAGAAACAUGAAUUUUAAACUUUACCAGGGCAUUGUAAAGUUUCACUUCAAAAUACCAAUUUAUAUUCUUCAUAAUCUGAGAGUUUCUCCACAUCUUUCUUAAUAUUUGAAAUGAUCAGACUUUUUAAAAUUUUGUCAUUUUAAUAAGGAUUAAAUAAUAUCUUGCUUAAAUUUUUUUUCAAUUAUAAGCCAUUGAAUUCCCUCUUGUAUGUUACCUGUUUGUAUCUUUAGUCUAUUGUCUAUUGAGUUAUUUGUGUUGCUAUUGUUAUUUUGUAGUGUUUUGUCUUGUUUUGGAGUUAGUUGUUUUUGUUUUUAUUAUAAUAUUCUGGAUUCUCAUACCUUUGGGCCAUAGGGAAUACAAAUAUCUUUUCCCAAAUUGUAGUUUCUCUUUUAACUGUGUCUUUAGUAACAUUUAUUUUUUUAAAAUUCUGAUUUUAAUACAGUUAAGCUUAUUGAUAUUUUCCUUAAUUAUUUGUGCUUUUAUGUUAAGAAACCUUUCCAUAUGCCUUAUAUUUUCUCCUGUUUUAAAGAUUUUCCUUCUAUACUUAAACUACUAAUCUUCUUCAAAUUUAUUUUUGUUUAUUGUAUCUUACAUGAGCCCAUUUUAUUUUUCUUAAUAUGGAUAAUCCAUUUAUCCCAAAACUGUUUAACAAAUUAGUCAUCCUUUACUGACUAAUAUGCAGUAUCAUUUGCCUACAUCGAAUUUGUUUUUAGUAUUUUUAUUUCAUCCAAUAUAAUGUUCUUCUAUCCUUAUACUAAUAUCACAGUGCCUUACUUACCAUAACGUAAUAAUAUUCUUGAUAUUUGGUAAAAUAAAUCUCUUUGUUCCUUUUUUAAAUUGUCUUGGCUCCUCUUGACAUUUUAUUAUUCAAUAUGAAAUUUAGGAAUAGCUAGUUUAGUUCAUCAGAAGUUCUGCUGAAUUUUAUUUGAAAUUACAUUAACAUUGGAGAAUAAUCUGGGGAAGAGGUGACACAUGUCUUCUGGACAUUAACUCUAUACCUAUACUUCUUCAAGUCUUUUUUAUAUUCUUUAAUAAUUUAUAAUUUGCAUCAUGAAAGUCUUGUGACUAUAUUUUUAAUUUCUUCAUUAACUUAGUUUUUUGUGCUUUAUGUGCAGAAUCAGUCUUUCAUUUCAGUUUAUUAUUAUUGGUAUAUAUCCAGUAACCUUGCUGAAUUCUCUUAUUAAUUCUAAUAGCUAACCUUAUAAUUCUCUUUUCUAUAUGGACAUCUAUAUCAUCAGUAAAUAAUGACACAUUUUCUCUUAAACUCCAAUUCUUAAAUGUUCUAUUUCUUCUUCCUAUCUUAUUCUAUUUUUAACCCUCUGUAUAGUGUUAAAUAAAAGUCAUGAUAUCAGGAAUAUCUAUUUUUUCUUACUUUUAUAGAAAUGUUUUGGAAAUAUGUUGUUUGCUUGUUGGGGGAGGGUGUUAUGAAAUUCAUGCUUCUGCUUCCGAAAUGCUGGGAUUAUGCUGUGUACCACCACACCCAGCUUGUUUGGCAUUUUGAUAGUCAAAAUUACUAUAUUAGGGAAGUUCCCGUCAUACAUUUAUAGCUUGCUAGGUAUUUUUAAUCAGUAAUACUAGUUAAAUUUUAUCUAUUGCAUUUUCUGCAUCAAUAAUGUCGAUAAAAUUUCCCAUUAAUAUGUUCAUGUGUUAUACUAUACUAAUGUAUUUCCUUAUAUUAAGCAUUUUUUACAUUCCUAAAAAAAUUUUUACUUCAUUUUCAUGUGUUUUUUAAAUCCACUGUUAAGUAACAUUUCCUAACCUCUUAUGUAGUAUGUUUGCAUGGGGAGAUUAGUUUUUAAUUUUUAUUUUUUAAAACUGUUAUUACAGAGUCUUAGUAUUAUGGUGAUAAUAGACUUAGAAAAUAAAUUUAAUAGCACUCUUACUUUUUCUAAUUUCAAAAUUUUUUAUACUCCAGGGCAGUGGUGGUGAACCUAUGGCACAUGUGUUAUUUGUUUUUCUUUUAAUACAAAAGAUGUUAAUGUAUGAGGUUUUUUUUUCUAAACUGAAACCUCAGUAUUAAGGUUUAAUUGCAGUGUUGGCACUUUGCGAUAAACAAGUGGGUUUUGGGUUGCAGUUUGGGUACUCAGCCUCUAAAAGGUUCACCAUCAGUGCUACAGAGAUUACCCAGGGAUAUAUUCAUAUAAUUUUCAAUUUUAAAAUCUUUAUCACCGCCCUGUUUUCUCCAGUAUUAUUUAUCUGAACCUUUUCUUUCACUAAUUGCCAGACAUUUUUCUGUUCCAUUUACUUUUUUUCAAAAGCUGGCUUUUGAUUUUGCUUAUUAACACUAUUUUGUUCUUUGCAUUCUGUUACUACUCUCUGCAUUUUCUUUCUAUGUCAUAAAAGUUUGAUGCCAUUUUCCUUUGACAGGAUGCUUGAAUUAUGACUUAUUUAAUUUCAAAAGCUUGUAUUAUAUUUAAAAAUUAAUUUCAUGCUCUAAAUAUUCCUCUAGGUUUCUCAUUAGCUGCAUACCGUAUUUUUAUAUUUAGUUUUGUUAAAUUUUAAAUAUUUUGUAAUGACAUUUUGAUUUAUUUUUAAGGCUAGAGUAUCUAGAAGUAUAGUUUUUACUUUCUAAAUAUAUUUACUGUGUUUUGAUUAUUGAUUCUGAAUUUAAAUAUAUUGUAAUGAAAAGAUGUGGUUUUAAUUGAAAAUAAUUCUUUUUAAAUUCCUUUUUGUGACUAUUCAGUAGUUAGAUUUUACUGCUGGGCCUGAAAUCUAGAUAGAUUAUCUGUUUCUUCAGUACACAUUCUAAACUGCUUAUCAAUAUAUUUCAUUACAUAUUUUUCUAGCAAGAAAAUAAACUUUUUAAUAUUUCUGGUACUCCCCUUAAUGUAAGAAAGGUAGCUAGUAUAUUUUAUCUACCUAUUAAGUAUCAAUCUUGUUAGUGUAAUUGUUGGAGCUUUACUUGUAUCUGGUUUUCAUCAUACGGAAAUGUGAUUAUCAUUGAUUUCUAAACCACGGUUUAAUUAUAUGUACUUAUAAAUUUUAGAUAUAACUAUGCCCAUGGUCGUUGUUGUUGUACCCUAUGGUCUCCUUUCUGGGUUCACUUUUCUUAUUGUUAAAUCACACUUUAUAGGCAAUUCUUUACUGCGAGCCCUGGGUAGUACACCCUUUUUGUAUGUCUAAAACUAUUUUUAUUUGUCUUUUAUCAUAAAUUACAAUUUUGAGUAUUUUUGCUCAGCAUGUUACAGAUAUUACUCAGUUAUAUCUGUGACUAUUGUUCAGUCAACUAUUCUUAAGAGAAAUCUGCUAUCAAUUUUAUCUUUUUACAGGUAAUCUGCUUUUCUCCUCCUGGCAGCUUUUAAGUAUUUUAUCAUCUGAUAGUUUCUCUUAAAUAUGAUUAGUUGUGGAUUUAUUUGUAAUUAUCAGUCAUGAACUCAGUGUAUACUAUUUAAUCUCAAGACUUCAAUUCUAGAAAUUCUGAUAUUAUCUUUUCCCUGGUCAUUUUUCAUUGCCUACGUAUUUUUCUUCUGGAAUUUUUUUGUUUGUUUGUUUUGUUUGUUGAUUUUUUUUUUUGAGAUAGGGUUUCACUGUGUAGUCCAGGCUGGCCUUGUUCUCCUGGUUCUUCUGGAAUUCCCAUAAGAUAUAUGUAUAUGUUUCCUAAUCAAUUCAACAUAUCUCAAAUGCUAUUUCAUUUUCUAAAAGUCUAUUUUAUUUUCUUUCUUUUCUCUCUCUCUUUUAUUUUUUAUUUUAUUUUAUUUUAUUUAUUUAUUUAUUUAUUUAUUUAUUUAUUUAUUUAUUUAUUUUUGAGACAAAGUCUUGCUAUGUAGUCUUGACUUCACUAUACAGCCCAGUCUGGCUUCAAACUCCCAGUGAUUCUCCUGCCUCCGCCUCUUUACUACUUGGAUUAAAGCGUGUACCAACACACUUGGCUAAAAAUUCUAUUUUACUUACUUGAAUUUUUUUUCUGAAUAUUUUCCUUAAAAUUACAUGCUAGCUCAGUGUUCUCCUAAAAAUUGCCCUCAUAAGUUAUGCCAUGUAUUGCACUUUUAUUGUCAAUGAACACAUUUUGAAAUUUUAAGAUUUCUGACUGAUUUUUUAAUCUUAUUAACCUGUUCUUAUUUUACUGCUGUUUUUAAUGUAUAAUUUCUUGUUCUCUUAUGGUAUAGUUAUCUCUGAGCAUCUCAAACAUAGUCCUGUUGAGGUCAUUGUGAAACUCUAAAAAUCAAAUUCAUCUGGAGUGAAUCUUAUAAUAAUUGACUCUGUUGGUUGUUUUCCUUAGAUUAGAUUUCUGACUACAUUUUAGAAUUUUGUCUUGCAGGGUCAUCUUGGUCCUAGGCAUUUUUGUUUUCUCUCUUUUCUUUCCCUUUUCUUUUCUUUGCUUAUAUGUCCUAAACUAUUGCUUUUCCUAUAGUUUCUAUCUGGAUCCCUGAAUUCCUAGGCCGAAUGCAGAUCUUACGGUGGCAGCUUUUAGUUUCAUCUCCAUAUUUGAUCAUAAACCUAUGUCUUUUUCUUUCUGCCUUGCAAAGAGGCAACAGUUGGCCAAAGCUGUGGCAGCCUGUUGCUGAAGUAGUAAGCCAGAGUCAGGCUCACCAUUUCAUAUGGAGCCUUGUUGACCCCAAUACUCCGAGGACUAGGCUUUCAGACGUCUUUGUGUGCUUCCAGGUCCAGAUUUCAGUAUGCCUAUCUAUGGCUUUAGCACCAUUCACUGGUUUUGUUUCUUUCCAUAAAUAAUCAUCUUAUUAAAAUCCAAUUCUACCUUUUUGGUUUUCUCAUGUUAUAUGGAAUUUUUAAAGUUACAGUAUAUUUUGAACAGCACAGCUUUAAUUUUUUUUACCUCUUUUUUAUGCAGAUGCAUCAUUUAAAAACAAAUAAUAUUAUAAAUUACAGUUACUAUUUAAUGUUAAAUUGUGAUGGGCACUGAAUUUUACAUAGAUUACCUUAUUCAAUUCUCUCAGCUAUUCUGAUUCCCAUUAUAUCGAGUAAGAAAUUGAGAGAAAGUAAGCUAAAUAAAUUUUCACUUAGGAAAAAGGUUAUAAUUAGUAAAUGGCAGGAAUAACAUUUGAAUCCCAUUUUCCCUACUAACAGAAUUGGUGUCUUUAAACUGUUAUCCUGUGCUAAAAUUCUGUAAUUUUUUAACUUAUUUCUUUUUAACAAACUAAUUUAAAUAAUUUCUAUUUUUGUAAAAAAAAUAGUUCUAGUCCUAUUUAGAAAUCUUAUUUUAUGUUUUCUUUGCUUUUAUGCUUCCUGUUUCUCAUUCUCUUUCUCUCUCUCUCUCUCUCGCCUCUUGCUCCCUCCUUCUAUAUCUUUCUCUUUUGAUAUAUGAUUAUAUUGUUUCAUCUGCUAUUGAUCUGGUAAUUUGGAUGUAUUAAAACAUAGUUUUUUCUAGUAAUAAUUACUGUCAUUUGUCCAAAUAAAUUCAUUUCUAUUUUAUUAGCAUUAAUGAAAGUGUAUACUGUAAAAAAUAAGGAGUAUAAGAUGCUAUUUCUUCAUACAUCUUCUGUCACCCGAUUUCUGAUUUUUUUUCUUAUAUUACCUUACGUCAGAUAUUGAACAUUAUUAUUAUUGAUACAGCAGUAGAAAGAAUAAUCACCAAAAAGGUGGCUUAUUUUAGGUAGCAGAGUGAUUCUAGCACUAAACAGGUGCUCAGUAAAUACUUAUCAAGUGUUAAAUUAACAAACAUGUUCUUUUUAUCACAUGUGCACACAGAAAAAGAAAACAGGUGAGACCUUUUUAGAGUCUUCAUUUGCUAUUGCAUGACUUCUUAUUUCAUUUAGAACUGGAAUUUUGUAAGCUAUUGAACCACCAUAUAAUACAAUAAAUAACUCUCGAUUCUUUUGUUAAGCAGAUCUAUGCUUUGUGAAGCAGCCUUUUGCAAUCAAUGACUUUACAUUCAAUUUAGUUCCAUUCAUCCCUAUUUUUACAUUUUCUCCUUGUGCUCUACUCCUGACCCCCACAAUUCAUAAAUAUAUUUCAUAAGUCUCAAAUCAGUAACUAAUGUUUUCAUUGUGCAAAUACUAUGAGAUUCUUGGAUAUAAAGUAGUGACUAAAUGGCAAUCAUUUUAUCAUAUUAAAUGUCUCUUUACCCCAGUUCUUCAAGAAUAGUUUGUGUGGUUUAUUGUUUAAGGAAAGGAAUUUUUGAAGUAAUGCUACUGUUUUAUUUUUGGUGGUAGUUCUCAAAAUCCCCAACUAUAGUCAAAGGAAAUUCUUUAUAUAAAUUUCUAAGAAAAUGGAUUUUUUCAUUGAUAUAAAAAGAAACUUUAUGAUGAUCUAAAACAUGCUAGAGUAAAAACACUGUGCUUCUAUUGUAGCAAAGCAGUUAAAUAAAACAAUAUAGAAUAGCAAAAAGAAAAAAGAAAACAAAGUAUAAACUGGGUCAUUUGUUGAUGUGCAAAUUUUAUGGAAAUUUUAAUGACACAUUUGAUUGAUUUAUAAGGAGUCUAUAUUAUACUGUUAUAAGAACACUCAAGCCUUCUAUGUGGCAUAAUUUUAACAAUCUUUUAUACAUAACAACAGAUUGAAAUUAAACUGUCUUCCUAGCUGUUUCUAUUCUUUAAAUUAUAAAAUGAUUUUUAUUAUUCUCUUUUUAAAACUGUUGACUGAGAAUCAGGAAAUUUGGUUUCUAGUCCUAGUUCUGUCAUUUAACUGGCUGUAUGACCAUGAGUAAAUCAUUGAACUCUUUGCACCGAUUUGUCUUUCAUAAUGUAGAAAGUUGGAAUUGAUGCUUGAAAAUGUUCUUUCCAUUUUUUGUGUUCUAGUAUUCUACAUUGUAUCUGUCUAUAUGCAGAAACAUAUAUAAAAACUUAACUCUAAGUAUGUUUAGUUACUUUUCUCUUUGCUGACACAAAAUACCCAACACCCAGAGUUAAAGGAGGAAAGGUUUAUUUAGCUCACAGUUUGUAGAGGAUUCAGUCCAUAAUGGGCACAAGGCAGAGGGGCAACAGUUCACGGCAGUGAGAGAUAGCAAAAGAAAUAAGAGACCUUAACAGUAUCAUCCUCCCCCUUUUAUCUUAUCCAGACUGCUUAGGGCUGGUAGCACUCACACCCUUAAUCCUAGUGCUCUUGAGCCUAGCAUUAAACCAUGAAUCAAUUCCAGCAUCACACACUCUAGAUCCAGCCACCUCCAAAAAAGCCCCACCUAAGAACACAGGAGGCCUUGGGAAGACAUCUAAACACAAGCUAUAGCAAUGUAUACAAACUAUAACAGUGCCCCAUAUACCAGUAGUUUAAGCUGUUCGACAGACAUCAUGAGGAAAUAAGUAAGGGGGAACUGCUGUAGGCUCUUCCUCUGAACUGACAGAAUGAAAGCAUUUUCAAAAGUAUUAUUGGGCAUCAUUGUGCAAAAUGGAUCACAACAGAAGUAAUCAACCAGGCUGAUUUGGUGCCUUGGAUCAGGGUAAGAUAAGGAAAGUGCACACCAUAGUGAUACAGAGAUGAAGUAUAAUCACAAGGUAUGAAGAUACUGAGAUAUAUAUUCAUUCAAAAAUAAUAGCUAAAAGUAACAUUUUUAAAAUCAUGAAAGGAAAUACAAGUAUCUAAUAAACAUGAAAAAAUAUCUCACUAGCACUCAAUACAAUUUAUAAAAAACAAUAAAUCUCAAUGCUAGUAAGUAUGCAGUAAAAUAGGCACAACUGAAGAAUUUCAGUUUACUCACCUUCUGAAAUACAGGUAUAUAUAGAUUUUCACUUUCCCCCACCAGAACCACAUCAUUUUUGUUUCCAUUGCCUGUUGUUUCUCAGAGUUUCUCUGUUUCUUUUUUGGAUCCUUGUACCUUUGCCUUAGGUGAUCACCCUGCACUUUGACAUUCCAAAACUUCAUUUCUUCAAUCAUUUCUGCCCUUACUACACUGAAACCACAUUUACAUGCACAUGAAAUCACUUUCCCUUAUCCUAAAGGAGGAAGUCUGUCUAGAUCAUUCUGUGUGUUACCAAUUAUCUUUAACUUCUAAAUUUGUUAUUAUAAAAAUUGUUGCUCUAAUAAUGGCAUUUUGAGUAAUUGAAUAGAUGAAAAUGAAGUAAAGAACACAUUCAUGAUGUUACUGCAAAGUCAUUUUUAUUCAGUGGAAAAAAUGCUACUGAUAAACUUAUUAGGCACCCUUUUCAAGAAUAGACUCUCAGUCAUCUGCUCUAUGUAAAAAUGAAUAAACAUAACAACUUACUGGGGUCUGUACCCAGAAAUUUAGCCAAAAAAGAAACCCACGUGGGAAGAAUGAACUAGAUAAAGUUUUAUCAGUUCAAAAUACCCAACUACUUAGUAUGGUCCUUUUCUAACAAAACUGUAUAAGUAAAAACAUAAUUGUCUUUAAAACCUAUAUUCCUUACCCUAGCCUAUGGCAAAGUACUGAAGAAAGUAAAAGUUUCCAGACAACGCCCUUUUACCCUUGUGGGAGGAGAAUGAGCACACUCUAUCCAGGCCUCCACAGAAGUACAAGUCAUUUGUGGAUACGCUCAUCUCCUUUUCAGAAAGUUUUCCUGAACUUUUUCAGAAGGCAGAGACUGUGUGUCUUUAUUACCUCAAAUUCUGUCAAAUUGCAUGAUCAUUGGAUGCACUGAUAUAGGAUUAGCAGUUUUAUUAGGCUUAUUUUAGUAUCUAAAAUAUAAAGUAAAAGUCACUUGGCUAUAAAUGCUUACACUUUUUACUCUAACUCAUCUUACUAGCAUUUAGGUGAAUGUCUUAGAAUGAUAAUAUUAUGGAGUUUUGAACAUCUUUGAGAGUAAAUAACUUUCAAAAACCUAUUUUUCUGCAAGAUUGAGAGUGAAAAUAGUAUAGUUCUUAAGAGCUCUUUUGGUUAUUAGUGUGGCAUUAAUAACAAGUUAUUAAAUCUCUGAAUUUCAAUUUUCACAUCUGAGAGAUGGGAAUAGUCCUUGUAGUGGGGAUUAGAUAAGAUACUGCUUAUCAAACAGCAUGAUGCCUCCCAUUAUGACUAGAGUUAAUGCCUCGCAGGACCAGGAUGGGUGUCUGUACUCAUGCUUCUGGACCGCUGGGACACAGCAUGUGGUAUACCACUCAGGCACUUACCUGACUCCAAGUCAGAGAAUGUAAGGACAUAAAGUAGUGUUUUUCAGUCUUUAGGAGCAUAAGAAUUACUUGGACAACUUACUUAGAGAGCUCUUAGUUCCACCACAAAAAAAGAGUAAUUCAAUUGGUUUGCUGUGAGGUGAGGCCCUGAAGUAUGUCUUUUUAACAUGUCCUUCAGGUGUUUUUGGUGUAGCUGAUCCUAGACCAAGCUCUGAGUCACCCUGGCAUCAUGACCCCAUCUCAACCUUGAUCAUAGAUCACCUGCAGCCCCCUUGCAUUAUUCCCUAGGAGUUACCCUCCUCAAUGCUAGUGGCUUUGCUAUGGGAAACAUAGCUGUCUCCACCCCUUCACUUCAUCUUUCUGAAGACAGAAGAAAAGAAUAGAGAAGGCAGGGUCAAUUGAGAAAACUUGAGUAGCUAUAGCAAAUUGUCAAUUAUUUUUGCCUUAGUCCAAAAGUGAGCUGACUUGUAUGGAAAGCUUGAACUUUAGAACAAUAGUUUCCCCCCAUAACUGAGGAAUGGCUGGGUAUAGUGAAAUCUAUCUCUUGUUUUUUUAUGGAACUACUAUCUAAAGAAUUUAGAAGAAUAAGUACAACUGAAGUGCAAAGUGUUAAAUGCAUGCUUCGAUUUAGUCAAUGCAUUUGCACAUUGAAGUAAUUAGGAUGUAUUUAAAAGCAUUCUGCUUGCAAUACUUUGUUCUCCAUUUCCUACAAAUUAAAUUAGUGAGGGGUAGAUUUGAUUUUUACAUCAUUUUGAAAAUAUUUUCUUUUUCUUUUUGUAAUUUCCUUAGUAUUACAUUUUUACAAAGUUCAGAACAUAACCGUGACUAAAUUCAUAAAAAUAAAACAAAAAGCCCAAAGUGCAAGAAAAUGAAAAACAGCACAAAAUAAUAUGCAGAAGAACAACAUAAAUUAUACCUUAAAAAUAUAGUUGUAGUAAUAUACCUUAUCCAUGUCUGAUCAAUUAAUAAUAAAUACUCAGAUAGCAAAUAACUCAUUCUAUUGCUUUGAUUGAGAUCCCCAAAUUUAAUUAUUCAUCUUAAUGCAAAUAAAUAGGGACAGCAGGUCUACUUAGAAAAAUCUUAACAAUCUCCUGUUUUCAUUGUACUAUAUAUAAUGCAAUGAAUGAAUAUAAAUAAAGAGUAUAAAGGGUACUUUGCUUCCUUACCUAUAAAGUAUUCAAGCAAGAUUAUUUUUUAAAGUAAAGUUAGAUUUGCAGAACCAAGAAAUGGUUAUGGAGCUAUGUAGCAUAAACAAAGACAGACUGGAGUUUAAAGACCAACUCUGCACACUGCCUGAAUAAUCUUCAACAAGUUACUUCACCUCCCUGGGUCUCAGUUUUUGUAUCUGUAAAGUGGAGGUAAUAGUAUCUAUAGUGCAGAUUGUUGUACUAAUAUCCAUUUGAAGUGCCUGACUUUUAAUAUAUUCUCAAUUAGUGACAGUUAUUAUUAUUAAUUCAAGAAAUAAUAUAAAAGUGUCCCAAAAUGAAAAAAAAAAAAACCUAACCAGAAAUAUUCUGUGAUCUCACUUUCCCAGGGGCUAAUAACAUGAUUCACAGAUUUUAUCCUUAAAAUGUUUCCUAUAUUGCAAAUUAAUGGCCUCAAAAUACAUGUUGAGAAAUCCCCUUUAUAUUAUUGGAGUUCACAGUUGAAUGAAUAAAUUUUGCCAAAACAAAUUAUUAUCAUAUUCUUUUGAAGAAAAACAGUACUUUGGAUUGAGCUCAGAUAAAUCUAUUUCUUCCUAUUCUUUCUGUACUAUUAUAACUGUACAAGUAUACAUACUUACGCAUAGAAGUGAAGGAGAAAGAAUCAAGAAUAACAGAAUUAAAUAUGCUUUUUAGGAUACAGAGAUGGUGCCCCCUGUUCAGCCCUGUGAUUCAUAUAUAGAAAAUGUUUAUUACAUGUUUGUUAAAUAAAUGGGGAGAAAAUUGCUAAGAAAAUAUCUGAAUAGCAUAAAGGAACUAGCUCAAAAAAUAGUAUAUACAAGUCAUCAGAGAGAGCUAAAAACUUACCUGUGGGUAUCAACAACUCUUUAAUUAGGUUGGUUUAUUGUGAAAUUACAGCCAUCUUUGUCCAGGACCACCAGUUCUUAGCUGAGGAGAUAACUAGGAGAGCUUACUGACCUUUAGUCAGAGAAAUGAGAUAUAUCAGAAAUGGAAGGAACUGUGAAGAUUUUCUAAUCCAAGGGGCAUAUUUUUCAGCUGAAGAAAUUGAAUGAUACUAAUACGCUUGGUGCCUAAGUUUGUUGGUUCUUGAACUUGAGUUUCCUAAUUUUGGUCUUGUUCAUUUUAUAGGGCGCCGGGUUGUCUUUGUGUUCCCUGACUGCCUGUUCUCCUUAUAUGCAUAGCAGCUUCUCUUCCUAUGUCCAGAACAGUACAGCAGAGUAUCUUGCUGUGCCUCUGAUUAGAUUCAUCUCCUCUAGUAUGUCAUUUUUCCAUAGCUCUUAAAAGGCCACAGUAGAUUUUUUAAAAUAUAUUCCAAGUGGACAUUAAUAAAAAAAAUAAAAAGCACUGUUCUUCUAUGAAAAAAUAAAUCAAAAUUUCAUGACAAAAUAAUUACAGAAUAACAAUAGUUAAUACAUUGUGUAUUAUAAUCUUUAAAAAAAAUGGCCAAAAUGUUACUCAGAGUUCAAGUCAUAGACAAAAAAGACUCUUAUAAAGAAGAAACAAACAAAUAAGAGCACAAAACUUUCUCUUUAAUGAAAUGAAUUAGCAUACAUAUUAAAAUAUUUUCAAAGCUACAGAAUAGAUCAUUUGGGAAUUAUUUGGACUUUUCCCUACUUUCUAUUUAUCUAUCUUCUAUUUUGAUAUAUUUUAUAUAUUUUUAAUUUUUUUAAAAAAAGAGAACCCAUGUGAUAUUUAAGCUUGUCUGUCUGGCUUAUUUCACUUACCUUUAUUCUCAUUAGUCACAUCCAUUUGCCUACGAAUGCCUCAAGUGUAUCUUUCUUUAUGGUAGACUUAGUAUUCCACUGUGUAUGCAUACCAAACUUUCUUUAUCCAUUCAUCUGUUGGCAGACAUGAAAAAUGCAAAUUAAAACUACGUUGACAUAUCUUCUUACCCCAGAAAGAAUGGCUAUCAUCAAAAAAAUCAAAUAAUAACAAAUGCUGGUGAGGAUGUGGGGAAAAAGGAACCCUUCUACAUUGUUGGUGGAAAUGUAAACUAGUGUUAACCACUGUGGAAAUCAGUAUAGAGAUUCCUCAAUAAAAUAAAAAUAAAAAUUCCAUUUGACCCAGCUACGUCAUCAUAUUACGUACAAGGAUACUUGCAUACCCAUGUUUAUAGCAGCACAAUUUAUAAUACCUAGGUCUUGGACAAAACAGAUUUUUAUCUGAUCUUUAAAUUCAUUUUUUAUUAAGAAAUAAAUUAAUAUAUUAAGUUUUUAACCAUUAAUAACUCAUAUAGAUAACCUUAGCUGUUUUUCAGGUGAUUAUUAGCUGGCACUAGAUAGGAUGGAGAACAAAGAAUUGUUAUAAUUUCAUUGGAGAAAAAGUGACAGGAGAGUUCUGUCCUCAAGGUACUACUGAGGGGAAGGCAAGGUCGGGCAGGCUGUGGCAGGAGGGUCUAGAGAACCCAGGAAGUCACCUAAGGAUUUGAAUCUUAGAAAAUAUUUUAAAAUGUAAGAAAUAAAAGAAGGGGUAGGUAAAAAAAACUUUGUAGAAGAGUACUGCAAGAAGAUUUGAUGAUUCGUUCUUGUGGUACAUCAUUUACUGUCUUUGUAACUUCCUUGCUCAGUGUAGAAGCCUUGUGUUCACAUUGUUUGUGUCCUGUUGCAACUUACUUGUACAUAGCUGCUGUAAAGUAAUGAUUAGAAUACCUGGAAUCAGGGAUUAAUGGCAUCUAUAAGGGAAGAAAUAUAGCUGUGUGGUAGGUAAAUAUCAUCUUUAUCCACAUAAAGAAUGAAAUGUGGCUAGCUGUUAAUAGUGAGUUAAACUGGCAUACCAAGAAUUUUUAUAAAUGGUUUUCCCAUGCUCCAUUGAAUCUGUGGCUUAGACUUUGGUUGUAUACCAGCUGUGCAUGCAAAAUCUCAUAAUUAUUCUUACUGUAUUAAGCAUUUUAUAGCAAUUUUAGCUCUAAAAUGCUAUGCAAUAGUUUUUAUGCAAGUAUACCAGACAUGUAAGCUGUUCCAAUGAAAACAUUUCCUUUCUUUUAGACACAUGGUUUUACGUUUCCAAACUUAGCUGUUUCCAUUGAUGGAAGAAUCUUUAGGACAGAAAUCUGGUUUUCUUUUUUUCUUUUUGUUUGGGGUGGAGUGGGGGGGGUGACAGUUGAAUUGUCUCUCAGUACUUUAUUCCUUUAUACAGCCUCAUCAGAAAAGGGACAUUUUACUAAUUGUAUAAUACUGAUAUUAACAAGUGUUGCUGCUGAGCACUAGUUCCUCCACCUGUCAUAUUCAGAAAGGUGCCAGUGAGGAAGCUAGACUGAUCUCUGAAUCCUUCCAGGGUACUGUGGUAAACAAGCAGAAGGACAUGGACUUAACCUCUUUGGAGAAGGCUGACACCUUCAACACUGCUGCACAUGCAGCUGCGCCCUGCAGUGGCAAGUCUUGGGUCUGAGCCCAAAACUGGUGUGGAGUUUGAACCCUUGGCAUUCUGGCCUAGGGCCAAGUGCUAUCAAUGGAACCCCACUGACACCUUUAGUUAUUCUUCCUAGAUUAGGAUAGUAAUUUACUUGUCUCUUUGAUUUCAAGUGUCUGGUUUUGUUUCCAGAUGCCUCCCAGUUCAUCUGUAUUCCAGGGGUUUCAAAAGACUUUAACCUCAUUGGUUCUUUCUUUUGUUAGUUCCAUUUGGUGAACACAGGAGGGAUAUAGAGAGACUAGAGAGGCAAGGGAGGGCGUGUGUGUGUGUGUGUGUGUGUGUGUGUGUGUGUGUGUGUGUGUGUAAUGUAGGAGGAUGGGGGGGGGCUUGGGGAAACUGCAGGAAUAAAUGAAAGGCAUAUUCACUUUCAAAAUAUCAGCUAUUAUACCAGAGCAAGUCAGAAUGGAGUUUAAGAGGUGAUAUGCAGGACAAUGUAAUGAAAAAUGUUAUUAGAUAGGUGCAUGUGUAAAAGCCCUCCAACCAGCAGUAAUCUCAAUCUCUCCCAAACGAUUACAAUAUAUGAAAGAGAUGGAGAGACCAUAGAAAUUUUAUCCCAAUGCCAAUAAGGUAACAGCACUUGGAUUUUAACAUGUGAUAGUAGGAAAAGGCAUUUAUGCAUGGGUGUCAUUUUAUGUUUACAAGGGCCUGUCUAGCACUGUUUAUUGAUUUUACUGCAAUUUUUCCCCAGGACCGUGUAGAUAGAUAAUUGCUAGAAAUGUCCAUCAUUAACACAGCAACAAAUGCAACCAUUGCACUAAGAAAAAGAUACACAUAGGACCCUGUUAGCAAGCCUCAAAUGGGGAGGAGGAGAGUCACACAAUAACACGUGCAGCUAUAACUCCAGGCAAACACACACGCACAACACCCUGUGUAGCCAUUGCACUGAGAAAAUACACACAGCCCCCUGUACAGCCAUCACACAUCAGGAAAAUAACACACAUGACACCCCUGCGCAACCAUCACACCAGGCAAAAGCACAGACAUAAAAUGCUAAGUCAAUAGGAAUGAACAGCUCAUAAAAGCCUACUGGAAUAGAUCACAUCACAGCCAGGUACAUCUGUUCUCAGCAUUAACCAUUAUCGUUAGCUUAAAAUGCUUAAAAUCACUGCACAUCCUCAGGUCUAGGGACAGAUUAUUCCAAGAAGAUUCAGCUAAAUAGACUUGGCAAUUCAGUGAAGGGGACCUCUACUACAUUAAAGUGAUGCAUUUUGCAUCUCAAAGGCUGUCAACUGUAUUUAGGGGAACCGUGUGAUUGAAGAACAAUGCUCCACUAUAGGAUAGCAAUUUUUUUUGGUCCUUCUAAACCUGGAGGUGAUUUUUUACCCCAACUUGUGUUAAGCAUACCAUUGAAUGGGUAGCUCUCAAAUUGGGAGGUGACUAAUAAAAGCAGAAUUGGAAAUAGCUUUCAACUUGUGCUGCAAAGGAAGCCAUGACAUUCUUAUUUAAACUGGAACUCUCAGAUGGUGUAUCAUAUCUAAAGAUUUUAGUGAGGUCAGACUUCAAGCCAUCAAUUUGAGAUAAAUAAGUACCAACUACAGUCCUUGCUUCAGAGGGUUGUCUGCCCCUCUGGGGGGAAUAAAGGAACCACCCACCUCUUCAUUCACCAGUGCCUUCUCUUUAUCCUCUUGCCUUGGUCUGUGAUGUUAUCCGAACUGUGUGACACAGAAGUUACCACAUGGCAAGGGAAACUCGGCAUGCUUUUCUGAAGAGUGGCCCAAAAGAACAGGUCAGAAAGAGUUUCAAGCUUGCAGUUCUAUCUUUCAAUUAGGGUGGCGUUUUGUGUUUCUUCUGAGUGAGAGAAGUUUCAAGCUAGCUUGUUAAGAAUGAUUUACACCAUAAUUCUAGGAAAAACAAAUGUGAGUGACUGAAAUUUGAAAGGAAAGAGUAGGGGGAAAGUGCUAGACCAAACAAAUCUUAAGUAAAUUGGGUGGUUUUUUGGGUGGUGGUGGUGGGUUUUUCAUUUGUUUCUUCACUUUUUUUGACAAAAGUGAAAAUAUAUGUAUUAUUGGUAAUUCUCUCACCUGGAUGGAAUGAAGAAACAGAAAACAGUUGCUCCAUUUGCUCCAUGUAAAAGCAAAUUUUCAGGAGAGGACAGGUGUUUCCCUUAAAUUCUCAUGAUAACAUCUUGCUGAGAAUGAGCAAAACUGGAAAUGAGAACUAAGAAUUCUACUUAGAUAUAUAUUUUUACCAAAUGUGGCAGAAAAGGUUUUGUUAGGGUAAGAGAUAAGCAUUUUCCAUAAGACAAUACACUAGUGACAUGAGGUAAUUACAUGGUGACUGAGACACACUGCAUGGUAUACUGGAGAAUUUCAUGAUACCUACGUGAUAACUAUAGUAACUCUAGUUAUCACUACCAUAUUAUCUCCUGAUAACUAUAUAAUUAGUUUGUGUCAUCAAAGCACCCUAAACGUAUGCCUGUUCCAGCUACUCUGGUAGAAAAAAUUAACUUUUUUUGCAAAGGGGAAAAAAAGCUAAUGAAGAAAGUUGCCAAGAACAGAUAUUUUGUAAUCUGUGCUAAAUCUCUGCUGGAAAACAUGAACAGUAAUGAAGCUGAGAAGACAGUAAAAGAAAUUCGGGGCAAGGUGCCAGACGCCCAGACGGAAGGAGAAUGUGGACCAAAAGAUUGCGACAAUCGGGUAAUUAUGGUUUAUGAAUUUCAGCUUUAAUCUGUAGUUCAGUGAGUCCUGAUUAAAUAUCUGUUAAACACAAUUAAAGUUUGUUUUUGUAUUUCACCGUCUUGAUCAGAAUAAUUAGAGACUGCGUGUUUCAUGUCAAAAGUAGCAAGAGGAAUUUUAGUGAAUGAACAUCGUUUUUAAAAGCCAUUUGUAGCACCAGCUGUUGGCAUUAUUUUAUAUUUUAGUGUUAUCAGCAUAAAGAUGGUCCUCUGGAUGCUGAAUAGUUUCCAGCAGGACAAGGAUGUUGUGCAGAUCAAAUGGGCCUGUGCUGAUGAGGCAUACGCGUUUAGGGGCUGGAAACUGCUGUGAACAGUGGGCAGGGGAGAUAUAGGUCAGAGAAGAAGAUACUUUAGGUGUAAGAAGAAGAAUGCUAUUUGAGUUGAGUUUACCCAACCAAGGAGCUAAGGGAGGGAAUUUCUUAUGGUAUAGUCAUUCGUGAUAGCAACUGCAGGUGCUGUAUGGCUUACUUGAGACAGGUUGUGUACAGUACCCGAAGGAAAGGCUAAAAUUGAUGUGGUGAGAAAGUAAGGCUCUGUCCUGGUCGGUCCUUGGCUAAAAUUUUGUGGCAUCUACUCCUAGAGUUGGUAGAAGGAAGUGCUGAAAGUAUAUACCAUAUUAAUAAUUCUAUGUCUGAAUUCUGCACAAAGGACAUGUUGAAAUAUAAAUAGAAUUAAAUAAACCAGGAUAAAGGGGAUAAAAUAAGGCUCUACAAACUAAAACCAAAACUAUGAUUUCCAUGAACUUGUGCCAAAAUAGAGACUGGGGAGUUGUAAAUUAUUCUCUAAAUUGUAUGAAGGUAUAUGUAAAAAUCUCUAUGCAGUUUACCAUGGUAUUAGAUUUAAAGAAGUAAUAAUAUACUAUCUCGCUUGCUAUUUGAAAUUUGGAUACCUGGAAUAUUUUAGUCCCUGUGACAAUAUAGACUAAUGGUUCCCAACAAAGUCCACGUCCUAAUUCUCAGACUCUGUUACUUUAGAUGGCAAAGGGACUUUGCAGAUGUUGUUCAAGUUGAGGAUUUUUGAGAUUUGAAGGUUAUCUCAGAAUAUCUGGGCAGGCCUAAUAUAAUUAAAAGAGUCCUUCUCAAUGAAAGUGGGAGACAGAGGAGUCAGAGUCAGAGAAGAAUAUGAAAGAGACAGAGAUUCAAGGGUGCUGCAUUUCUAUUUGAAGGUUGAGAAAGAAGCUAUGAAUACAGGUGGCUUCCAGAAACUGGGAAAGUCAGAGAAAGUGAUUGUCCCCUGUCUCCCUGAGAAAAAAUGCAUCCUAGCUGGCAUCUUAAUUGCAGACUUCUCACCUCCAAAACUUGAAUUAAUUUGUGCUUUUUAAGACAUAAAGUUUGUGAAAAUUUGUUAUAGCGUCAGACUUCUUCACAGACUUCUUCACAGACUUAAUAUCUGUUUAAAAGUUGCCUAGAUAAAAGUGCAUCCAGGUACGAGAGAAAUUACAAAUCUCUGUGAAUUUAACUUUAUAAAGCCCAUUUCCCAGGCUGUCUUUGUAGCACCACUUAGAGUUACCUGGUGUAGUAAAAAUUAAAGUCUGUCCAUUUUACAGUAAAAUCAAGGGCAACUUCAGCUCCGUCUUUCUAGCAGCACAGUUCACAUAAGUAGAAGUGUCUGCAGCAAGGGAGGAUUGUAGAGUGUAAAUAAUUUUUCUGACAACUGUAGCAGCACUUAUCAUAGGUUGAACCACUGACUUUGCUUAUAUUUGAUCAUUUUUGAUUUACAGAAAUGACAGUUUCAUAUGGCUCAGUAUUCCAAUAUAAUCUCAUUUAAACCUUAGAUCCUUCGUGGGUAUUCUAGGAUAAUAUUAAUUUUUUCUUAAUAUUAGUAAAUGUUAUGAGUCAUGAGGAAGUUAAGCUAAUAAAAUGCUUUGUUUUCCACAUGUUCAGUUAAAAAUAAAAUUAAAUCUCAAGUAGCUGAAGAUAUGUUAGCAGAGUGGAGGAUGCAGGUAUAUAUUUUGUAUGCUAUUCCAAAAGGGGACAGUAUGAAAGUCAUCAGAUGGAGGGAGGAGGAAGGAGAGAAGAGGAAGGGGAUGUGAAAAGAAUUAAGAUGUGUUAUGUACAUGUAUCAACUCCCUACAAUUAGUGGAAUUAUUAUGUACUGCAAACAUGUACCAAUAAAAAUUUCAAAAGAAAAUUAUAGGGGAAAAUGACCAUAACCAUAUGUAAACACUGUAUAUGAUGAAAAUUUGCUACCUAGCAUCUUCAUGUUCAAAAGUGCAUAUAAUACUACAGAAGAAGAUAGCUUAGUCAGGAUGCAUAUCCUGGUUUUAUCAUUUACUAGCAAGUUAAAUAACCUCCUUGUACCUCAUUUUCUUUCAUCUGUAACAGCAAUAUAAUAAUAUCUAAUUUGUGGGCACAUUUGCUAAGACGGUUAAAUGAGAUAAUAAAAAAUACAAAGCACUUAGAAAGGGACCUGCCAGGUAGUGAGCACUCAAUAAAUGUUAGCUGCUGAUGCUGUUAGCUUAAUGAUCCUCCUCAUCUACUGGAAAGCAGCAGACUCCUUGGAGGCUUUACAAAGAAAAAUAGGCCUUGUUUAUUGUUAAUUAUUAAAUUUAGGGAAACUCCUCUUUUUACUUACCAUACCAAUAUGGUAUUUCUAGUGGUAAAACCCACUCUUAACUCCUCUGGUAGUGUGUGGGAAAAGUAUCAGUUAUCUUAGUCCCUGCUUAGAGGACUCGUAUAUUCAAAUUACAUUCUCAUAGAAAAGGAAAACAAAUUUUAAAACAGGACACAAAAACUACGUUAAAGCUGAUAAGUAUAAAACUUGACCUGCAAAUUAGAGUUAUGUAUGUUCUUUCAUACUGUCUAUCUUGUGCCUGAUAAUCACUUCUUCUCUCUUCUCUAAUCUUCAAAGGCUAAAAUAACAUACCUGAAAUUAAAAGAAUACUGUGAAUAUAAGUAAGCAUAGUGGUCUUUCCUUGGAUCAAGAAUACUGUUAGAAAGACAGCCUUUGUCUUCUCUUCCUUCAAUUCUUCAUUGGACCACACAACCCCUCCUCCAUCCCCCACACCCAACUCCAAGGAAGGCUAGGCAUAUCUCAGAGUUGGUGUAGGAGAUAAGAACAAGGCUACUCAGAUGGUGCUGCGAUUUACAUAGGCAUUCCUUGUCCAAAAAAACAGUUUAAACCAGGAACCUUCCAAUCUACCCAAGGAAAAUUAAGAGAAUUGGUUACAAUGGUAUUGUUUAAAAGAUUCCCAAUCUCUUUUGACUUAAAUUUCCAUUGAUCAUCUGAUGAAAAUGGUGGGCCCUCAUCCCAGAAGAAUGCAAUUUCUUUUCAAAGGAUUUACAUAUGCCCCUCAAGCCUAUAAAUGGGCCUCCUGUUAUUAUCCAUGUUUUACAGCUGUGACCUAAGGAAAACUGAGCUUGUCUGAAUGGGCUGACAAAAUUUGAGACCAGAAUUGUGCAAUACUUAUUUACCACAUGAUUUUUGACCAGCCACUAAUGUAUACUGAAGUUCUGUCUUUUAAUUACUAAAAGUAGUACAUUUGAUACUAAUGUGCUAAGAAAAUAACUAUUUCCUUCUAAAGCAUUUUGAGGUAUGUUUAAAGAACUACCAAAAUAAGGUUGCUGUAUAGAGGAGCAAAAGGGAAGUAAACCCAACUAACUUUUUUAGAAGUCUAAAGCUGAAGAUAUAAAGUAUCUCAUAGCAUUGUAAGAUAUUGUCUCAUUGCCUUUGAGAAGUCUCAUAUUGAGCAGCCCAGGGAGCAGAAACUGAUUUGCGAAGUGUAGCACCUCCUUUAUCUUUGCUCAUCUACAGGUUUGUAUUUUGGCUAAAACUGUUUAUCUUGAAAGGAAGAGGAAAAGGAAAUGUGAACACAGUCUGAUGAUAUUUGCAAAUAAAGAAGUGUUAUUUGGAGGGUUGUAGGAGGACUGCUAAAGUAACUGAGUCAUCAGCAACCAGAAACUUCAAUAGGUAAAGAAAUCGUUGAGAAUAUGAACCCAUUUUACUAAGGUCCAUCACAUGUUGACCUCCUCUGUUUCCAUAAGACUGUCUAAAAUCAUAUGUUAUCUAUUUUUUUCUGUGAUUUUUAAAUACUGAUUUUAAUGUCCUGCUUUUUUAACACCCUCUUCUCCUCAAAAUAGUUCACCAAGAAGAUUGCCUAGACUGAAUGGAGGGAAUAAACAUCAGAAAAGGAAGAAAUUCUAUUGUGUUUGUAGGUGUUUCCCAAUGGAAUUUAAAGAUUAAGUCUAGAGAUAGGUAUUUGUAUAAUAUAUUGGGGCUUUUCUGAAUCACUGAUAUGCUUGAAAGAAGUUUAGUUCAAUUACUCUUUGUCAACCAAUUGAAAUGACUUAGUAAAUGAUAAAUCAUAAUAAAUAUGGCCAAGAAUAAUAGCCUGUGUGAAAACAGCAAUUUAUUAGUACCUUGUGGACAACUUAUUUUCACUAAUAAACUAAAAAGUUAUAUAAACUACAUUAAACAUUUCUCAAUGAUAUUCAUAAACAAUGCAAAUUUAUUAAAAAUAUGCAAUUAAAUAUAAAAUGUAUGUAGACAGUCACUCAGAAGGCAAGGGUUGGGAGCCUUUUCCAAAGGUGAAUUCCUAAGAUUACACGUUGUAGCCCCAGGGUAAGGAGGAAGAGAUGAGAAACUGCAUUAGAGUUAAGGGUAUGUUGUAUUUCCUAAAGUUCAUAGAAUGACCUUGAAAAUUAUAUUUUCAGGAAAACAUGAACAUAACAGUAUAUUAUCAUAGAAAUCCUUGUUCUAUGGAUCCAAAACAAUUAGGUACCAUAUGUAAAAAACAUACUGCAGAUACCAAAUGCACUAAGCUUACUUUAGAAAAAUAAUGACUGGUUAUUGUUGUAGGGGUUUUUUUUUAAUGAAAAUUGAAAAAUAAUAUAAUAGCAUUUCCUACCCCUCUGCUACCCUAGGUGUUUACACUGUUUUGUAUACUUCCUUUUCCCUUCAGUUCCCAAAAUGUCCGUCCUCUGGGGAGUAAUAUAUAAAUUAUCCUAUGUAAAUUUCAAGAAUGACUAUUCCCACACCUAGGAAUAGUUAGUCAUUCCAAAGCUAACAAGAGAAAACAAAACUCUUAACAACCAGUACAAUUCAAACCACUCAUCUGCUAACUCCUAAUGAAACUGGUUGUUAAUCUUUCCUGAUUUGUAUACAUCUUUCAAGUAAUAAAAGUUUCUAAACCAAAUGUGUUCUUACAGACAAAAUGACCAGGUAACUUAAUACCUCUGCUCAGAGACUCAGUGUCCCUUUGUAUCCAGUCCUGAACUGGACUGACAUUUCCAGUUAACACUUUGCAUCAGAGGUCAUUUUGCUCAGUUCACUAUCUCAUUUUUUUUAUUGUUUUCUAGAACAUACUUAAUUCUCAAAAGAAUUUCUUCUUCCACAGAAGGGUGCUAGGAAUUUCCAAUUUCAUUAUCUCUUUGGUAUAUUUCAUUAAUUAUUGAUAUUUAAUUGUAAGUUUGUCUGCCCAGGAAUUUAUCUAAGUCUUGUCAUUAAAGAUAUUAAUAAUCAGAAUAUUGUGAACACCAAAAGUAUAGCUAAGUUGAACAUUAGUCCUGACUGACAAGAGAACAGGGAAUUCCUAAGUGGAAAGGGCUUUCCUAAUCUUAAGAGUCAUACAUUACUUAGAAAAUUUUCUUAAAAUAGAAUCGAUCAUUGUAGGAGUCUUUGUUCCUUCACUUACUUAUGUUGAACCAUUCAAUUCAUAUAGGUUAGAAAACAAUUUCCACAGCAAGACCAGCUGGUGUUUUGUGACUUAUUAUAGAUGGUAUAUCCUGAAAAGUAUCUUUUAUUUUUCCUUCAGUUCUGUCUAUCUGUACCCUAUUAAGAAAGAAAGGCAUAAAAAUACUAUGAUUAAAUGGAGUAACAGAACUUCCAAAACUUAUUUACUGAAAAAUAAUCAUUAAGUAAAUAUUUAAUGCUAUCAAGAUUAUUAACUGAAAGGAUGGAAGAGAAAUUUAAAAUCACAGAUACAUUAGAAAACACUCCAGAAAUAUAAAAAAUAUGGUGCCCCUUUCAGCAUCUAAAGCCCUAGAGAUACAACAUGGUUAUAAGAACUAAGGGAGACAGGAUGAAGUUCUGGAUAGAACAUUUGUAAUAACAGUGCAUUUUCCAACAUAAGAAGAGUCUACAGUGUACAAGGGAUCCUAUCUCCUAAAGAGAUUUGAUAGAUUGGGAAGUUGGGGAGGAUUUAAAAGAAAAGGUCAAUAUUAAUGAGACAAGCAAGUAGAAUCUUGGAAUAUACUUGAAAAUCAUGAGUUCAUACCACACAACUCUUAAUCUUUUAUCCUACCUUGUAGAAACUAUGUGUAGAGAAAUCCAGAGGUAAAGAAAAGCUCCCAGGAAAGAAACAUUUAACUUUUUACUAGCAGGCUUAUUCUUAUUUUUUCAAAGUGUGUUUAUAUUGAAUGGUGUUACCUUCCAUUAAUACAGAGGAUUAAAAAGAAGAAGACAAAGGAAUGGAAGGCAGCAAUACCUACGCUAUCUCCCAACAUAUUUUUGAAUGACUCUGAUCAAAUUUCCAGUUUCAAGCUGCUUAAAUCUUUCUCACUGAUGGUUCCAAAUCUAGUGCUUACACAUGUAGGACAAUUAAAGCCAGCAGGGUCUGUGGCUCCCUAACCUAGGCUUUAUUGUAUAUAAAGUAAACAGCCACUUGUAAUUUAGUGAGUAAGUGCAGGUCUUUCAUGAGAAGCAUACCCGCCCCAAGGAAAACUGAUCAAUUUCUGUGCUUGGCAGUGGCAUUCAUAGGUCCCCUAUGGAGCAUUAUCUUACGUCCGAGGGUCAUUACUCUUCAACAGAAGCACUGACUGUUGUGAUGAAUGGUAGUACCUGGGAAGAGAAGUAUUUGUAUAUUUAAACAGAUUACAUUUUCCUUUUAGAGCAGUAGACAUUAGAUCACAUCUUAGACUGUGUACCCAUGUGGAUAGUAAGGAUGGAAUCAGAGCAACUCACAUAUGAGCUAGUGAGAUCCAGAUGUACUAACCAUCAUUUCUAUGGGGGAAAUGGGCUACAUUUUGUAUCCUGUCAUGGUAUUAUAUGUCCUGCAAAGCAACUGGUGAUAGCCAUAUAUAGCUGCUGAGAUGCAAAGAUGUCAACAGGCAUAAGAUUCCAUCCAUCACUAUUAUCUGCAACAGUACUCAUUACCUGCCGGCCAGUAAACAUCCCAUUUAUACCAUCUGCAAUGAAUUAAAAACUGACGAAAAGAAUCAGGAUCAGUUUGAGUUGCAACGUGAUUGUCAAGUUCAUUUUCAUCCCUGGAAGCCCUUUAGUUCUUUGAGAGACUUGAGGGAAAAAAUAUAUGAUGAAGAAACCCAGGAAGAGCCUUGCAGUGGCAGAUCUGAUAAUUGUCAGGGUUCUAACCAGGAAUUUACAAAUAUAAUUAGCUUCUUAAAGUGUGAAACAAUCCAGGCCUUUGUCAGUUCUCCUUUUCUGCUCCUCCUUCUCUCUGAUUUUCUUGUAAGCUGAAACUGGGAAUCAGUUUUUGAUACUCCUAAAUUGAUGCUGACUACAGUGAGAAAUAUUUCAUAAGAAUGUAUAUUUCAACAUAAACUCUGAGCCAAAGCUGCCACUGUAUCCAGAGAGGAAGUGAUGAUUAAUUUCUAAUUUACACGUGCAGUGAUUUCUUUGGCAAGUGUGAAUUCCAUGUCCUAUGGUAAGGUGCUUUGUAGCGUUCCUUCUUGAAGCAGUUAUUGGAGUAUUAAAAAGAUGCAGAGGUCUGCUGGCACUUCAGGCUAUUUAAUUUCUGUAUAAUCAAACUAGCUGUCUGUCCAUAUUACACAUGUGGGUCAUCCACUGUGGAAACUGUAGAGCAGAAGAUCAAAUACAGGUCUUAUGUAUAAGCCACAUGAAAAACAGAACAAUUUGACAUUUAUUCAUAUGCAUCAUCUUUCAUGAACAGAAUCUCUUCUUUUAUCUUCCAUUUUCUUUAUCAGAUAUUUCAUGAGUGAGGAAAUAACUUUCAACUGUACAUUAAAGAUGGGGAAGAGACAUCUUGGUGUUACCCAAAGUACUCUUCUGUACAAAGAGAUGAGUUCUGAAAUGAAUAUGUUGAAGAUGGACCCUCUGAAUCUAACCCUGUCUAUGCAGGGGGAUUUCACUCCCAGAAAUCCAUCUCUUCCUCCCACAAAUUGCCCUGUGGUGGUAAUAUAGGAAGGAGAUUCUAUAUUACCUCAUCUCCUAACAGAGAAAAGGACAAAGGCUAUGGGAGAGUUUUGUUUCUUUGAAUCAUUUUGUUACAGUUGAGUGGGCCAAAAUAGUCCACGUUCUUGUGUAUGACAAGAAAAGAAUUACCCAUUAAUUACUUUUAUUGAAGAUCACAGGAUGGUAGCAGGAAUAAGCACAGGGAAGAGGAAUCCAGGAAGAGGAACUCUCAGAGCCUCAGUGAGCCUCUACAUAGCUUACACUUCCUGUAUUUAAAGGGUCAGACACUCCUAACUUCAGGUGCCUCCCAUUGUGGUCCGAUACCUCUGACUCCAGGUAUCUUGUAUUUCUUCUCUCACUGGUGUUGGAACUAAUGAUCCGCCGCCUUGGGCAACAUGACCUCCUAAGCUUAAACAUGGAUAAUCACCAGGAAGGUGCUGUGUCCACAGCUGAAUGAAGGGAAAGGAGUGGCUCAUUCAAUUUCCUCAUUUCUUUUUUUUUUUGGGGGGUGGGGGGAACCGGAGAUCAAACUUGGGACCUUGCACUUGCCAGAAAGGCGCCGGAACCACUGAGCUAGAUCCCUGGCCCAUUUCCUCAUUUCUGACUGUAUCAAUUUCAGGCAUCUCUUGCCUUCAGUAUUUCACUCAAGUGGUCCUUGGUUGCCUCUAGAAAGACACUAGUGAGACAGGAAGAAACAGAGUAAUGAAAAUGAUGACUUCAUCCAGAAAGGCUUUUUAACUAAAAGGGAUAAACUCUCUGUGACCUCUGUCAUCAAAUGUGUAAGGCUGACAAGGAUGGAAAGGUAGUAUGAAAGCAUGACUAACUCUUCCAUAUUUUGUUUGGGAACUAGUCUGAAUGGUGCUACAGUUUGGCAGGAGGCACCAUCUUUAUCACAAGCACAUUUGUAUGUUUCUGGAGGAAAAGACACAGAACUCUUAGAACUCUUUUUGAGCUACUGGUUUAAUCUUAAAAUAAGAAAGAUAAAUUGUCACAUUUUGGGAAUAAAGAAGCUAUUUUGGAGAACCUAGCAAGGGAGUGAAUGAGUCUCCUUCUCCUUCCUCUUCUGAUAUACCCAAUCCUGAAUUUGUACAUUUUAUUAAUUCCUCUAGGACAAAGUUAAUUGCCAAAGUCACAGAACUUGAGAAGGCACUCUUUGUUUCUAUAGAAAUAAAAUUUGAUUAUAUUUGAGUUAUGUCAGUGCAUUUUCAAACUAUUGUAGAAGGGAUAUACCAGAUAAGCUACACUGUGAACUUAACGGUAUUCAUUUUACUAAUAUAAACUGGACCAGUCUAAUUAUUAGAUUCAAGUAGGAAGGUUACAAUCCAUCCUACAGCACCAGAAAAUAGAAGCCUUGUAUACAGUAGAUGUACCUAAAAUAAAACACAAAAUCCUGACUUUUUACUGAUUUACUAAAGACCUAAGUGUUUAGGAGGCUAAGUGUUUGGAGAAGUAGAAGUUAAGUUAUACUUUUAUUUUUUAUGUUUCCUAUAAAAUUACUUAGCAUAUGUGCCACAAAUUGGUAUAAAUUGAGCUACUAUGCUCAUGAACUACUGAGGAAUACUUUAUGCACCACAUCAGACAUUUAUACAGAAGCAAAAUGGUGGAAUUUUAAAAUCCUUCAUAUGUAACUAAUAAUACAGUUGCUGUACUGGAUGAUUUAGACUGGAUUAACUUCUAAGUUUAAGGACCCAGUGAAACAUCAGGUAUUGCAUCCAGACCUCUUGGCAAAAUACCAUAUAACUGUCCCAGGAAAUAAAUGUAAAUUUGGAGAGAACAGGGAAAUUUGUGAAACUAUAUUGAAGAUACUUCAUGCAGUGACCCCAAGUCAGUAGUCCAGUUUGGAUUCAUUUUUGUAUAAUGAUAUAAAAUAGUGUAAUAGAAAACAAUUUUGAGGACAAAAAUAUCAUACAAAAUAAUAGCCAUAAUGAUAGUGCAUCAUAAACCCUAAGCUUGCACCUUAGCCAUGAAUGAACACACAGAAACUGUGUAUGAAUACCUGGCCUUUUGGUCUAGCUUCAUCUUAAUGUACCAAACACAAGGAGGAUUUGUGAAUUUAUUUAACAACAACAAACAUAGAUCAGAUUGCCUGGUGUAGCAGCCAGUAGCCACAUCUGCAGCAAACACUUUCUGGCGGGGGGGCGGGGGGGUGAAGCUCCCAAAGCUUCUAACCAUGGAGUGAGCCAUAAUGCCAUAAUUAUAUUAUUUAGAAAUCCAUGUCAGAGGAAAAGCUCUUCCGACUUUAACCAUUUCCCCAUUAAUUUUGGGCUGUUUGGAAACACCGUGGGAAAAUUUACUGAGUCUCGUAGCUAUUCUAUUAUUUUAAUGGUACUCAAGUACAAUUGAUUAGUGAAUGGCUGAGAGAAGUAAAAAACCAGGAAAAACCAAGUAAAAAGUUCAAAAUGGUGUCAUUGUCCUUCAUUUCAUGAUCUUUUUGGACUAGAUUUCAUAACUCUUGAUGUCAUUCCCUUGACGGCUAUUCCCAGAGAACUUUAGAGAAACAAAAUAAUAAAUACAGUUAAGCUGUGUAUUACUUGGAACCUAGAACAUCCCUGUUUUUAAGCUGAAAAUGAGCUUUCAUUUAAUUAUAAAAUCAAAUGUGUUCCUAAACUAUAAAAUUGUGUGAAGAUCAUACUUACAAGCAUACAGAAAUAUCUGGACACAAUCAUAGUACAUCUGCUCACAUCCUCACAUCUACUCACAUACUUUCGGACUUCAAAAGUAAUGUGUCCAGUAUGCAGUGAGAGUAUUCUUUAUUGAGUAUCGUAUGACAAGUAGCAACUCCACCUACAACAGUUUCAAGAAUAGAGAAUGAAAUAGUUCUUCCUUUCAUAGAGCACUUUUUCUGAAUACUCUACUUUUCAUCCCUUUUUUCUUCACUUCUCUUAGCCUCACUCAUUCAAUGAAAGUCAUUGCUUCUGCCUAUAAACUCCCACUAGUAACAAGCUUUUGUAUACUUUCUUCAUGAAAUUUAGUGCUAAAUUUACAUGAUUGUAACUGUGUCUAGUGUAUUUAUUGUGAAUUCUUUAAGAACCUUGGCACUGUGCCUUAGAAUAUAUUUAGUAUUCAAUAAAUAUUGGUACUCAGAUUAAAUUUCUUUCCUAUGAAUAGGAAUUUUUUUCCAGAAUUUCCACUAUUACUUAUCACAAGAGGGACUGAUAAAUCAAUGUAUCACUAAAUUCAAAAUUAGGAGGAGAAAGUAUUCUUAACCCUUGUAAGUCUUCAAAUGCUCUUUGUUUCAGAUGCUUAAGCACCAUCUACUCCAGAUCCUCUUCUAAAAAUAUUUUAUAUUCUGUAUUCUCAAAAGAUAAUUAAAAAGCAUAACAAGUUCAUAAAGAGAAAGAAAAUAAAUAGUUCAAGGAUGGGACUGGAAAAUAAGAAAUUGUAGCUUUGUUCUUAUGUGGUAAGUGAAAGUUCAGUAUUUUAAGACCAUCUCCACUCCCCUACCCUCCCCACAAAAGCAUUACUCUGAAAAGUAGAGCAACACACAUACUGACUUCAUCUCUUCAAAGUUUCCUCCAUAAAUGAAGAGGAAAUAUUGAAGAAUGGUCAUCUUGUCUGGAAUCAUUCUUACAGCUAUAGACAAAACAGCUUCCAAUUUGGACUUUAACUUACCCACAGUGAAUGUGGAUCAGUAUGAUUCCUCUAUGCAAGCCAUCAAGCAAACUGGAAAAUGUGAUGUCAAUACAACCGGUCACUAAACUAAAAUGUACUGAAUAAAUAUCUUAACUGAACAAGAAAAAAUAGGAUCAAAUAUGAUGAGAGGAAAAAAGAAUUAAAGAGGACACAGUUAUAUAGGAGUAGAAAGAAUAUUUGAUGAGAAGAAAAUUGAGAAAGCACACCCAGAAAGGUAGUAUAGAAUAAAUACGGUAAUUGGAGAAAGUUGCUCCAGAAGAAUAAUGUCAAGUGUGAAGUAUACUUUUUAACUGAUAGGUUCACCAAAAAUCAAAUAGUAAACAUCAGUGAAAAAUUAUAAAUAAAUCAGUGUAUAAGCUGUUGUAAAAUCAACCCUGCCCACAGCUUUUCAGGAAUGAAUAUUCUUAGUAUGAUGAUUAGAAAUUCAAAAGGGAGGAAGCUCAAAGGAGGACAGUAGUAAAUUGUUUAUGUACUAAAUUAGGCAUCAUUAACACUUACAUAUUUUGGUGGAUAUUGCUGUGUGAAAGCCAAAUUUUGUUUACAAGAAGAAAAUGAUGCUCAAGUGAGACUGGAUUGUUCUGCAUAGAUUCAAGAUAUGAGGAGCCACUGUUGUAGAGUAAUAGUAUCAUCCUGAAAAAAAACAGCAGUGAGGAUCUAUACUGAAUGUUUAACUUGCCAUUAAUUUUAAAAUAUCUAGAAAUAUCAGACCAAUACAAGAAGUAUUUUGUACAGAGGCCCCACUCCACUAAGUCUAAAUCAAUCUUAAAAUAUUUCAUCUCAACUAAUACGCAAAGUGGCCUGCUUCAGAGAGAUCUCACUUAAAGUUAUAAGGACUGGUAAAUGAGACUACCUAAAAUGAACACAAAAAUACUGCCUGGUUGGAGAGAUGUGUAGUGAAAUUUCAUAAAAGGUUUUGUUUCCUUGAGUUCAGAGGAACCUCUGCCAUUAUAUAGAAAGCUACAGAAUUGUCAUGCUUCAUCUUUUCUCAGUUGUCAAAAUUCAGAAAUAAAUAUAAUAAUAGUAUAUUAAGAGGCCUUCACAUUUGUUUAUUUCUUCUGGUACUGUUUUUCUUUAACCACUGUGAAGUUAUUUUGUUAUCUAUGGCUAGGUUUCUUCAAAGUAAGUUUUUAGUACUUCAUAAUUAUGAAGAAAUGAGAUUACCACAACCAUUUUUGUGCUCUUUGCUUUGUAUUAGUCGUUAAGAAAUAGCCUCACCAUUUUUUAAAAACUUGGUGUCUUUUUGACAUGCUUGUAGAUAAAUUUAAAUCUGAAACUAAUUGAUUUCCUAGGACUCUUUAGUACCUUACAUACAAGUGGCAGGGAGCAAUGAGAUGAUAAAAGAGGUCAGGGCUGAUAGUUCCCUACAGGUUUCCAUUACACCAGAACUGAGAACAAACAGAGGCCACUGCCGUUAGAUUCCCAUGCAGUGACUUGUGGAAAAUAAAUGUGAAUUUUUCUUUCUUCUCUCACAGAAGGAGUAUAGAGUAUAAAUGAUUACAGUUCUGAUUACAUGGCCAUAGACCAAAAUGUGUGUAAGGCAUAGAAUAUGUGCAUGGGUAUGAAGCCCUUCCAGGGAGCCAUGAGAUCUUUGAUCAAGACUUAGCUGAGUAGAAACUUAAACUCACAAUAGCAAGUUCAUCUAUUCACUGGUUUCAUCUAAUGUAUAAGUAUUGUUUGAGAAAGAAGGUGUCCAAGUAUACUAGGAAAAAUUACUUGAUUUUUAAAUUGUUGAGAUGACACAUCUAUCACAAAUCAAAGUACUACUAUGUCAAAAGUAGUACUAUGUGGGUUAAGAAUUACAGACAAAAGAAAAUUACCCUUUGUAUUACAAUAUUACAAUAGGAUUUAAACUGCUUUCCACUCGAUACAACUUUUUAUGUUUCCUUUGUGUAAACUUUACAUAUAGUCUUAUUACAAACCAUACACAUGUAGCCAAUACAUACUUAUCCAAUAAAAAAAGAGGGUAAUUGAAUGAAAAUAACAAGCUGUUAGAUAACAUUUGGGUAAAAGAGCCUUCACUCCUAAAUCUGUAGUUGUUAGUUUACAAAGAUGUGCACACCUGCACACACACAAACACACACAUGCACACACAUACCUAACCAUUUGUGUGUCCUAUCAUAAGCCAAAGAGUUUCCUACUGUAUCCAUUCAUUUCCUUUUCCAAUUACUUCCCAGAUAAUCUUUCCUCAGGACUCAGCACCAGGUUCAUUUUAAAAGUCUUGUUUUUCUUUCCCCCCUCACGUCCAUUCAGCCAUUCACUAAAUUCUGCCAGUUCUCUCCCAGCAGCAUCUCUUCAGCUAACCUAUUUCUUCUGUCUAUUUUGGGGGGCUCUGAGUGGAUCUUAAAAAUGUUAACCCUGAUCCUCCUUUGUGAACCACUCAAAUCAGCUAUUUUCACAGAACAGUCUUUUUAAUCAAUUACAAUAAAUGUUCCCACUCAUCUUUUCUCACAGAUUUUUCUUGGCCUAGGAUUCUGUACCACAUCUUUUCUACCUCCAGAUUAAGAUUCAAGUUACUCAUCUGUCUGUAAAACCUCUCUACUACCAAUUAUUCUCCUUGGCUUUCUCUUCUUCCUCAGCUCCAAGGUCUCUGUCAACUACUGUUUUCCCUAAAGUGGAAUGAACAAGGGCUUUGUUUAGCAUCUUGGCAAUCUUUAGAAGACAAAAAUAGUUGGUUUCUCACACAACUUCAUGGCACCUGUACUUAUCACCAGCUCUUUACUGCCCUACUUUCUCUGCUUUAACCAUGUCAUUUGCCUUGCUGUUCCCAUGUCCAUUCCUCUGUUUAUGCCAUUUCUGAACUCUAUGAUUUUCUUUAUUCUCUCUAUCAAUCCAUUCCCAUUUUUUUUCUUACCCUAUCUAUUAUGCUGGUCACUGCAUACUCUGUAUUACCUUAUAUUUCGAUCUAUUCAUGUGAAGCAGUCUUAUCUGUGUAGGUUUUGUUUUGCCCUCAAUCCCAGAAAGAAUUAUAAAUAUUUUCAGGAAAUGGAGAGCAUCUCCUCUAAACAUGUUACAAAAUUUCUUACAUAGAAUUUCUUCUGUAAGUGUUGACUGACUUAUUCCUGGCUCAUGUGACUACUAGAUAUCAACAAGACAUUUGGAUCCUCCAGUCCUGAUUUUUAAAAAAUACAGUCAAAUGUGACAAAAAGGCUCACCAUCCAUCCGUAAUACACUGGUCCAGACCAGGAGCCUGAGAAUAUUUGAAAAACAGAUAAAGUACCCACCUUUCAUACUCAGUGUUUGAUUGGAAGGUCUUGAAUUUGUUUGUCCAUAUGAAGAAAGUCAAGGAACCUAUGUUGCCUAGCUGAGGAAGAGUUUUCAGAGGCAAUGAGCCAGGUUCACCAUUUGGUAGAGGAAGUUUGUCAAACAUUAUAAUAUUCAAGUGGGAUAAUCUUUAAAUGAGCACAUCUGAUGACUCUCCUCACCCAGGCUGCUCUCUGAAGAUGUAAGUGGGCAACAGUACACAAAUGUAACUCAGCCAGCUGCCAGAGAUUGACUGGCUCCAAAAACAUCUACACCCACCACUUUACACUGUGCAAAAUGUACCAGUGUACUCUAGUUUUGCCAGCUAAUGUUUGACAAUUAUCAAUGAAUCUCUAAGGGAAAGAUAGCACCAAGAUUUUUUUCUGUACUUGUAGAUCUCAAAAAUUCAAAGUUUCAGAGGCACAGUUAUUAUGUAAAGAAAUAUCCUCUUACCCUGUUUCAGCCCACCUAAUAAAAUCUGUUGGAAGCACAUGGGUUGCUUCAGGGAAAAUAGUUCCAGGGCUAAAGAAGACCUAGAAUUAAAUUUUAUAUCUUUCUCCAAAAGAAGCACUGUCUCUGAGAGUAUAUUAAAAGGCUUUUUUGGGCCAUGAAUUAAAGAACAUGGUUCUGAUCUAAGAUUUCAAGAGGACAUUACUUGAACCUGAAGCUUGUAUUAGAUAUUUUUAAGUAACUAUAAAGACCCUCCUCCUCUUGCCUGAUGAAGAGGAACAGACUGUUGAGAAGUCCUUCGUGUCCCCGAUAUGGGUUAUUAAUGAUAAUAACACUUUAACUAUGUUAUAGUGAAUCUCUCCCUCACUGCAAGGUAAGUGUUAUCUCCAAUUUACAAAUGAGCAAAUCAGUGCUUAAAGCGAUCACGUGGCUCAUGCAAUGGUAUACAACUACUAAGUAGCUUUAGUAAACAGUAUUCUGUCUGAUCUGCCAGUCUAGUUAAUCUCCAUGCACUGCUGCCUUCCAACUAAACAAUGUAAUGCAUGUGAAAGGAUUUUGCAAACUAUAAAAUGGUAUACAAAUGGUAAUUUUGUGGGAGACAGGAAUCUUGGGAAGGGCAAUUUUCAGAUCAUCCUGAUGAAGGAAUAAUAAGCCAUUUUUUGUAAAUAAAGGCUGUAGCCUAGCCAGUAGCAUAAAUAUCCACAGGAGGUUUUCCAUCCUUCAUAUACAGGAAUGUUCAUGUGUGAUGCCAUCCCAAGGAGAAAGAAGAGGUGUGAGCAGGAUUCUUAUAUUUUAGUCUAUGCAUCAGAUCCAUGAGCCAUUUAAUUUUAGUUUUCUGACAAAAUUUCUUCACAACAACCACAUGAAAUAGGUAGUUAUUCUUCUAAACUUAUUGAUAGUGUAAAAUUAGUUCCUAGAGAUAUAAUCUUCCAUUUUUGGGUACUAAAUAAAUACUGACUGAAUGAAGGAAUCACAGGUGAGAUUUUUGACACAGCUGCACAUAUUAGAAAAAAUCUAGCUUUUAAGAGGACUGCAGGUAAUUUUAUUGGCUAUAGGUAAGGUGACUUUUAUACAAGAUGAGUUUGUUCUUCAAAUGACUGUGUUUUUUAAAUUUGUUUUGAUAAUUUCAAAAAUGGCUCUAAUUGGCAAUUCUUGACAUUUUAGCAAGAAGGUAAUAAUUUUUAAACAAACGCUUAAAUGAUUUAAAUAAGCUAUUGGUUCAAAAAAUUCUUUAUUGAAAUGAAACUUAAGUGAUCACUGUUUUGAACUUAAUUCAUCUCUGAGACCACUAAACCUAACUCCAGCUAGCCUUUCCUUAGUGGUAAAUAGGAUAUAAUUGAUAUAGGGGGAAUAGAUGUAAUUCCCAACUCUGCUAGGUAUCCGAAAUGCAAGUUCAUGUUCUCUAAAAUCAAAGAAUGAAUUCUAGGAACAAUGGAAAUUAAGAGAAGGAAAAAUUUAUUGAGAGAAAGAAAGCUUCUGUCAAAGAGACAGAAGGGGGACUGGAAAGUGGGUUGCCCACUCAUCCAACUUCUCAAACGUGCUUUAUGGGACAAAGCUAUGUGGUGAAGCAGGUUCAAGGUGGGACAAAACUAUAGUCAACUAUUGAGAUUGCAAGUACUGUCACUUAGAUAAUAUCUAUCCAAUGAGAAAUCACAAGGUAGACAAAACUAUGAAUAACCAGUAAGAUGAUGACAAGUAUAGUCACUUAGGUAAUAUUGAUUAAAUGGAGAUCCAAUGGGGAAACAAGUCACAUAGCAAGCACAUAAGGAAUGAGCAAGGAUUUUCUGUGGUAAGGGGUGGGUCAGCGAUCUUUCUAGGAAGAUCUUGCUUGGUCUCCCACCCAGGUGAUUGAUACCUAUUUAGAAUAUCAAUCGCUGCUAUUCACACUAUGCGGUUGUGGUAGUUUCUCUUCUCUUACAAUGCUGCCUGUCAAUGAAUGUGUCUUGAUUGUCCUCCAUGUUGGCUCCAUUGUCCUCCAUGUUGGCGCCUCGUGCGUUGGCCCUGUCUAACUGCCUACAAGAUAUCUAACUCACCUAUCUAUAAUAUAAGAACAUUAUUUGUUGUGUAAGAGCAGAAACCUGGACCAUCUUGCUCUCUGUCUAGCAUAGUGCCAGAAACAAAAUAGGUGCUGAGAGCAUAGUUAAUGAAUAUAUUACGUGUCAUUUGUUCAUUGUUUAAUUUUGUGAUAUUUUCUGGAGUGAAAAAGAACGUAAAUUAGCAAUAUUUACCUACUUCCUGAGAUCUUUAAUGCUUACUUUCAAAGGUAAUUUUUGUAUGAAAAUCUUUAAGGAGACUUCAAAAGGUUUUGAGAUAAACUAUUAUAAAAAGAACUAUUUCCUUCCUCAAAAAAAUAGUCAUUGCUUUCAUUUUUGUUUUUAUGGCCAUUGAAAUCCUUUUUGCUUAGUUUUUAAAGUAUAAACUGGAUAAAUAUAUCCUGUUGUUGUUAAGAAGCCUGGGGAAUAUAAAUCUUUGGGUGUAAAAAGUUAAGAAUUUGAUUUUUGCUGGACACAGCCCAUUUUCUAAUAGAAUUUGUCUCAGCUGAAAGUUUUGUAGUCAAUUUAGAAGUUGUUAAGAAACUAAAGUUUGAAGUAGGCAGCUUGGGCCACAUCACAGAAAGUAAGAGAAGGCGGUUGAGACUUGGAUCAGCGGAGAUAGUCCUGAUUUCCUAAGUGAUAUCCAGCUCUCUGAUCCAAUUGCUUCCCUCUGUUUGGAGAAAUUUCAUUCACACCAUUGAUUUCACUUAAGAGCCAAUAGGACUCAGAAAUUAUUGGUUCUGUAAUAUCUUUCUGGCUAUCACAUUUGUGAGAUUUUUUGGUUUUUAGUAAUUGUUGUCCAUUGUGAUUCAUACUUUUUGUAUAAAUCUUUCUAUCAUCCAUUUCAGCUCCUUUGUUGCAUUGUAGCACUCUCAAGAACAAGUCCUGGUUGUAAUGUGUCAGGAACUGUGCAGUAAGUUAUCAGUCUAUUGAAGAAUGCUAUUAAAGAAUUGGUACUUAUACCUUUGGAAGGGAAUUUGGCUGUUAUUCUGAUUGGACCUAAUUCACAUAAACCCUGCCUGUGUACCGCAUGGCCAGAGGAGAAAAACCAAGUAGGUAGAACACAUGUAUCUUUUGUGUACCAGUCUGCUAGACCGCAAAUGAGAUUACUGUUGACAGGGGAAUUUUUUUUCCUUUUCAUACCACAACAUAAUUUAGCUGCUUUCAGAUGCGAAAACCUUUGCUCCCCACCUCCACCAUCCUCCCCCAACACAUACCCUUCCCCUUUAAUUCCUCUCUGGAAUGGGUUCCUCCCAAAUGAGGAUAAUCCUGCCUCAGCUAUUUACUCACUUGGUUACCUUCCUGGGCUAUGCACCAUCCACCACAGGCUUUGCUGUUUUUUAUUUAUUCCUGCCAGAACGCACUUAGGAGUUUUUAUUAUAGUUAUGGUUGAGGUGGCACUUUAGCUUUAAGCCCUUAUAUUUAUGAUUUAUAACUUUCUCUCUAAAUUGCAUUUCUCUCUAAAUUGGACUAGAAUUUCUCAAGCACAUUUUCUAUUUAGACACAAAUGUUUCAUAAAAUUUGAGGAAGAUAUUGGGCAUGCCAAUAUUCAAAAAUUCAUUUAAUUCACCUGCCUUCAGAGUUAGCUGAUGUACCUCAAUGCAUCAUGUUUUGAACAUGUCUGGACACUCAGAAAUGAGUUACAGACAAAUGCCUAAUUUAAGGAAACUAUUAUAGAAAAAAACCCCAUCUAUGUGCCUUUCAAUAAAAUGAAUAUUACAUGAUCAUUGUUUUGUGCUUUAGAAACACAUAGAGACAGCCAAAUGAUGGCUAAAUUAUGGUUAUUCAUUCUUUAAUGGUAAUAGUUGACAUAGUACUAUAAACUCCAAGAAAGCUUAGCAGGGGCUGUGUUACAUAACUUACAUCUUUUUAAUCUUCAGAACAACCCUGCAAAGUGGGAUUAUUAUUAUUACUCUGAUUAAAAGAUUCAGAAAUGUUAAAUAAUUUGCUGAAAGUUACCAGGGCUUGUAAGUAGCAUUAAUGGGGUUUGAAUCCCAGUCCAUCUAUCAAUAAAGCCAUUGCUUCUUCUACUGGAUAUACUUACACAUCUAAAAACAUAUUCUAAGUUUCUCUUUUAAGUGUUAACUUCACAUGACUAUCCUUUUGCCAUAUGUUGAAGGAACAGGGCCAUCUAUCAAGUCCACAAGUUGUUUGGCUUGUUUUCUUUGUUUAUUUUUAACAUAAAUGUUUUUUCCUUUUCAACAGAAUGGCUAGUUUAUAAUCACAACUAAAGGUUAAAGGAUUUGUAGGGGAAAUUUCUGAACAAGAAUGCUAUAAUCACUCAAAUGGGGCAUUAUAAUUUAAAAAUAACUAGAUUUUCCCAGCAUUGUCAAUUAUAUAAAACUCUAAGAAGUAUCUACAUGUUGAAACCUAAUCUAUUAUGCUUUAUAUUUUUCCCAGGAACUCUACAACAUAUAUUUAAACAUAUAUUGUAGAAAACCAUUUGAGGAAUGUUGUGGAAAUGAGCAGGUGGCACUGGAAACCUUGAUUUUAAAUUUCAUAACUUUUGUGCAAUUAGAAGCUCAACUUUAACAUUACAUUAGUUUAGCAUUUUUGCAUUUAAUUAUAGAUAUUAGGUAAACGCCAUGGAAGUUAAUAUUUUAAGCCUCCAUUAAUAGUUAUAAUUGAUUUUUUGUAUUUUUUGCUAUAAUAAUCAAAAGGGCAUUCAACCUGGACAGGAAACAAAUCUAGGAUCCUAGAGAUUAAUAUUAAAUCUGCUAAUGUAUUGUCCUGCUAUUCUCUGGAAGCCAGGUAAUCUGAUGCUAUAUGCAAGAGCUUACACGUUAAGAAGAAUCUCUAAAAAAUAUCCUAGGGUUCAAUAGUUCUCACUGAAUUGUCACAGUGGCAUUGUUUUUUUAGUAUCACAGUGGGAUAGAUUUUAAGCAAAUGGAAGUUAGAGAUUCAAAGAUAAAAGGAAUUGAUAUACAAACUAAGGAAUUGCUUAAUUUGUAAAUUUAACCCUGUAUCAUGAUUCUUCAUUAGGGUUAUUUGUUAUACUGAUUCAGUACCAAGCACAGGGGGCAAAUGGGACAGAAAAGGCACUAACUAUAUUGAAGAUGAUACUAGAAAUUUGGAGAGCACUUAAUAAUUAGGUACUUAAGCUCACCUAGGGAAGUGAUUAGUGUUUAGAAGUACAGACAUGGCUACAGGAACAGAGAUAUAUUAGAAUGAAACAAAAUGUCCAGUUUGCCACAGUUCUUACAAACAACUGUGGCCUGCAUAGGGAUGUGGAAGUACUGUUCAUUCUGGCAAGAGCCAGUCUGUUUGGCUGCAGGGGUUGACACGCAGCCUGAACACGAGGUGUUCUGGGUUUGUUUCAUAUCUUCAAUACUAACAAACCAAGGUCUCUCAAAUCAUUCAUUCUCCUGAUUUUUCCAUUCUGCUACUUACAGCUGAAAUGCAAUACUGCUAUUAAUAAUAUAUUCCUUAAAAUCAUGCUGAAAACAGUUUGCAAGCAAUAGAAAAUGAAAAUUUAUAGCAAAGAGACUUGGAAAACUUGUGGUAGGAUAUUACUAAGUGCUUGAGAUUUAAAAAAAAAAAUGGUUCGAUCAUUGUGCAUCAGCAGCCCCUAGUCCAGAAAGGGCUUUGAGAAACUGGAUAGGUGGGUACAGAAUAGUAAAGAGAGUCAACAGAAUAUGAUAUGAAUGAUAUGCAAGUGAUGCAGAGGGAAGAAUGAAGGCUGAAUAUUCAAAAAGCUAUAGGGAAUAAAUACAGGAUAGUAGGUAAACAUUAGUAACCAUGUGAUGUGGUGGAAAGAGCACUGGGACAGGAGUUAGUUCUGGCCUUCAAUGAUCCAAAGUAGUGCUCUUUGUUCUUGUGUUUCUUUACUAGUUGUUCGUUGCUUAUGCACACUUAUACUGAGAACCAAAUAAGAACUAUGUAUGUGAAAAUACUUUGAAAACCUUUCAGUGCUACACAAAGUCUAACAUUAUUACCACUCUAUCACCAAAAUGGCAGAGCAUCAAAAUAACUAAAGAGUUGAUUCAAACCAGAAUUCAUUUUACUAAAAAUGCCAAGUAACUGUAGAAGAAAUAAACUUUGAUGCUUAAAUUAUAUGAAUGAUGCCUCUUACUAAAAAUUGUUAAAAGAAUUGAUGUAUGCUGGCCACAAACUAGCAAAAUAAUUGCAACUUUCCAAAAUUAUAAUCUUCUGAAGCUAGGAGAGAGAAACUUAAAAUUGGAAAGAGCUUGGACACUUAUACAUUAAAAAUGACAGGAUGAAAAAGGAGGAUUGUGCUUUUCCAAAUGUCAAAAUUUAAAAUGCUAAUAAAAUCCAAUAAACAGGAUAUUUACCAUGGCUACAACAACUACCAAAGGUUAACUUGGACAAAAACUAGAAACCACUGAAGGUGCUAAGGGACAAUGAUCAAUGAGAAUACUCAGCCCUGGGUAAGGUUUAAUCUCAUUGGCAUGUGCUCAAGUCCUGGAGCUGCCUCUUUCACGGACUGAACCCAACCAUAAUCAUUAUUUAUGAGAGAUUUUUUUAACACACAUAUUAUUUCAUAACUGCUUUUUUGCAUAGCGGAAGUUACAAAAGAAACUAAAAGUGAGAAAACUGUUCUUAGAUGAUUUAACUCUAAUAGUUUGAGUAAGAUGACAGAAUGCUCAGACACAAAUAGAACCUGUCUUUACACAUCUUAGAGGGCAGAUAUUCAAACAUGUGUAUCUUGCACUUAAUUUAAACUCUGUGGUUGGUUACCUAUCUCUUUGGCAAUUCAGUAUAAAGUUUUAUUACUGUGAAAUAGAAUAGGGUAGGGAUUUAUGUCACACAAAAAUGAAUUUCCAUGGAUGGGAACACACAUGAAAUAAUUUAGGUAAGCAGUAUGUCAAAUGAAAAUUUAAGAUGUUAGAGCUGGUAGUGCAAAGGAAAGAAGCAAAAGAGGAGGUUUCUGUAAUAGAUAAUAAAUAUAUCACACUGGGGAAAGAAAAAGGACCACAGCUGCUGUAGGAAGUUAUUACUAAUGUUGAAGAAUUGUGGAAAAUGUUGAAGAAUGAUUUUUAGGGCCAAGAAAUCAAAGCAACUGACUAGAUGGGGGGUGGGGUGGAUCUCAUUUGUAUGUCAAAGAAAAAUGUAACAAUUAAAAUAAAUGUUAGCACAUAUAAUUACACCCAGAAAUGAAAGAAAACCACAAGUCUGGAGUUUCUGUAGGUGUACCCAGUUGAGAUAUUUUUGAAACUUUUCUUUUGCAGAGGUUACCAGAGGACCAGCAGUGAGAAAAGUUUCUCUCCUCUUCCGUUCUAUUUGUUCUUUUUAGUUUCAAAGCAGCCCUGCUUGGAGAAAGAGAAUGUAAGAAUGUUCCCUCUCAGAACCAUGCUCAUGGUUCUCUGUAGCCUUAUAAUAGAACUUUGGUAUGAUAGAAGGGUAUGAGAAUCUUUUUUUUAUUAUUAUAAUUCUAUACUUCUUUCAUAUAUAUAUAUAUAUUUGUGGGAAGAAGUUCGUAACAGUACCUCUCUGGCAUUGAAUUAAAAGAAAUUCUAGUUUUAAUCUGCCUUCAUUUCUCUAGUUCACAAACUUAGGCUAAAAAUCUCAAAAGGACUAUAAAAAAACGCUGUAGGAUUUAUAAUUUAAUUAGUUAAUUGAGAUAAGGACACAGGUGAGGGAAAGGAGAGCUUACGAGUCCAAGUUCAUGUCAUUCUCUAAGAAAUGCAGCACAGGCAGAAGAAGAGAUUUGUAUGAACGAGCAGUAAUCCUUUUGGUUUGGAACUUGUAUUUAAGGUGGAUGGUGGAAGUUUUGAUUUUCCUAAAGUAUCCAGACUAUAUGUAAGACAGAUCUGAAGUUCCAGAGCAAGAUCUAGGCUGGAGGUGGAGAGUUGGGAGGACAGGGUAGGUGAAGCCUUAGACUGGAUGCGAUGACUCAAGAAACUGUGAAAGGGAAAAAAACUCAGGGCAGAAUACCAGGAAAUUCCAGUACUUGAAGAGUGGACAAGAAAAAAGAGCCAAAGAAAAGAUGAGAAAGAACUGUAGAGACAGGAAAUCGGAAAAUCAAGUCAAUAUUGUUAAGGAAAGUAAAGUAUUCAGGGCCUGCUAGUGGUAAGCACAACUAAAAAUAAAAUUGAAAACAUUUGGUUCAAAAGAGGUCAGUACUGACACUGAGUAAAGUAGCAAAAGUACAGUAAUAUUUAUGAUUAAUAGUCUAUAGCUGUAAUUUCAUGUGUGGUAGUUGUUGUAGAAACCUUCUCUAUGUAACUAAAGUUUGUUUAAAGUCUCCUAGGUCUUAUAUUUUUCAGUUUAUCUUUUCACUUUUCCAUUUGAUAGUGUUCCAAUUUCAAAAUAUUUAAUAUGUACUUUAUUUUGGAAGCAUGGUGAUUAGGAGAGCAGUAUACAAAAUAUAUUAAAGGGUUAUGAUUGUCACGAUAUAUUGCCAUACCAAAAAUAAAUAACUAUCCUUAUCUUGUACAUAAAUAGGAUAACAGGAAAAAAAUUGAUCUUUUAAAAUUCAAAACAGCUUUUACCAGCUUCUUAUACUGUCCAAACUCAUUAUUCUCUGUUUUGUAUUUAUUCAACCAACUAGGGUUCUGUUCCAUGAGAAAUGAGCAAAGCAUGUGCACUGUUCUCAAAGAUCUUACAUAUCAAUAAAGAUAUCAAUAGAAAACAUGAUGAACAAGAAAUAAGUAGUUUCUUGGAGAACAAGUCUCUGAUAUAGGAGUGUUCUUAGUUAAGGUAAUAUCAGCUUCUGUAAAUCUUAGUGGCUUCAUAUGAUAGAAGUUUCUCUUUUGCCCAUGUUAAUUGUGAUCAGGAAUCUAGGUUGGCUCUGUCGUCUUGAGCACAUAGCUUCCAGAAUCACCUUGAAUGUGACAUCCAGAAGAUUGAGGAAAAGAGAUACUAAUGAUUGCACAAAAACUCCUUGUGGGCCACUCUUAGAGCAGCACAUGUCACAUCUGCCCCUUCACAUUGGCCAUGGAGGAAUGUGUUCAAAAGGCAGUAACUAUCUUCAGAGAAGGCCAGGAAGGGGAGGUUAGCUACAUUGCCAAAGGGAAAGGUUAAAGCAUUUUUUGAAUAAUUAGCCCAUGACUGCCUAAGGGCCAGGGAAGACCUCUUGGCUAGGAUUUAAAAUUACAGAAAAUGUGGGAGUACACCAGAGUGUUGCAGAAUGGGAAAGGGUGUAUGUGUAAAAGAGGAACCAACUCCAGCUUCACCUGCUUGGAUAGGGCCCAUAAUGUUGACAGGACCAUAUGGGCUUUAACAUAAGCUUGAAAACAGCAUUAUUAUCUCAUCUGAGAAUAUUAGUCUAUUUUAGAGGAAAAAAUAUGCAAUGCAUAGCAACUUACCUAACUGAAUAUUAAGUUUGUCAAAGAAAAGAGGGAAUACAGAUUUCAUUUUUAAAAUGCCCUUGCUGGGGAUUUAGCUCAGUGGCACCGCACCUGACUCACAAGCACAAGGUCCUGAGUUCAAUCCCGGUACCGAAAAAAAAAAAAUGCUCUCAUUUCAGAAGUGAGGAGCCCAAUGAAGUUCUGCCUUCUGGAUCACUGCUGAAACCAGAAUAGAACCCAGGCUUCUCAAUUUCUAUUCCACUGCUCUUACUGUAAUGAAAAUACAAAGUUGAGCAUUUUAAACUAUAAAUCUGUAGAAAUAACUGUGGAUUUUAAUCAUAAAUUAUUUUGACCAUCUCAUUUUAAUUCUUACCUUCAAACAAUGCUGGCCUAAAAUUUCUUCUUUGGCAAUUAAUGUAAGCCAUACUUAUUCUUAUGAAAUAAAACUAUGUUUUUUAUUCUGAAUACCCGUGUAUAUACCCUCUUCGUCUGGUGUCUUGCAUAGACAUUUAAUGUCCAAAUAUACAGAACAAGGAUAGCUGAAAUCAACAUGUUCACUGUUAUUCUUUUCCCUAAAUUUUAGGAGAACAAAAGGUGAGUGAUGAGUGAGUUACAUGGCUAUAAUUGAGUUUGUGUUGCUUUCAUUGUUAUAAAAUUGUAAUUGGCAUGAAUGCUUAAAUGUAUAUCAAAAUUCAUGUCACAGUUUUUAUACAAAAAUGAAUAUGACUUAGAACAUAUUUUCUUUAGUGAAAAUGAUAAAUUAUCUGAGUAUAUGUUUCUCAACUUUUAAAUAUCGUAAAGUUAAUUCUUUAAUUAAAAGAUAAAGGAAAGUACUUAGUGUCCACAUAGUUAAAAUCAGUGUGUGUGUAUAUAUGUGUGUGUGUGUGUGUGUGUAAAAUCAUAUAUAUAUAUGGAGAAAUGCAGUCUAUUUUCAGAAUAAUUGGUCCAGAGUGACUUCUUUUAUAGUCUCAUAACACCUACUUUUAAGAAUCUCCCAUCACAGUGCAAGAAAAUAAAAACUGUACUGUGUGCAAAAAGAAUUUCUUCUAAGCUUACUUCAUUUAAUUUUCAAUCAUAGGCUCAAUUAUAUUAUUCUAUUAAGUAAUAGGUCUUUAUAUAUCAACAUUCCCUUUUAUAAAACAGUUAAUAUAAGUAUAUUGUCAGUCUCCAAUAUAGGAAAUAUACAUAAUACUAAAUUAGAAUUACAAGUAAAUAUAUUUUAUUUGAUAAAGUAUGGCUAUACCUUUACCACAUCCUGACACUCUCCUCUAUUUAUGUGCAUGGAGGCAGGUUAGACAACUACUUUUUACAUCCCUGAGAUUAUGGUAAAGUAUUACAAAGACCACUGGAUAAUGAAGUACAGCUGAACAUUUAUAAAAGCUCUGAGAAUGUCUGUUGAUAAAUGUCUAGAGAUCUAGCUACAUCUGGUUGUGUAUGUGAUGACAGUGUUCUGCGACCCUAGAUAUCAAAGGGCUCCAUCACAAUAGCCCUGGGAAGGAAUGUAGACAUUGUCUUAUACAUCUCAUGUUUUAGCAAAGUUCAAAGGCUUGUGAUAAACUAAUGUUGGAUUGGGUACUAGAAACAUUCUUCUAAGACUUGCCCUCCUGUGAGGCUCCAAUCAGAUUUUUGGACCUGCCAUCUAGUGGCCACUGCAUUAGCAAGUCAGUUAUUACAUUUUGAUCUUCAUUGGAGAACUGGAAUUUAAGUGUAUGUAGCUCAUCUGCAGAUAAAUGAGGGACUCUACCAAUGAAACUGUAGUCCCCUCCUCUUUCAUUAGACACACUGCUAUUUUCAAAGAGCAGCUUCAGUCAGACCAUUUGUUAAUAUUCCCAAGAAAAACAGAUUUUUUUCAUGCAAAAUGAUACACUCCCCACCUGGAAUUGAAAGAAAAAAGAAUCUCUUCCAUUACUGAAAAAAGAUCUGGAGUGGGAAAGGGAAACAGGGAGAAGGAUGUAGGAGAAGUUGGAGAUCAGGCAUAUAUUCUGUCAAGUAGUACUACUUGUAAGACUAAUUCUUACAAACUGUGCACCCAACAGAGUAAACCUCUUAUUUUGCUGCUUUUCUGUGAUCCCUCACAUAGCUGUAAUGUUCUAAGUUGUCUUUCCCUGUCCUGUAAACUACCUAAGCAUUUGAUAUUAUACCUAGUAUUGGCAAAGGAACAAUUUACAAAUACUUAAGUAGGUAAUUAUUUAUUAGAAUAUAGGUCUAUGGAAGUACGUGUUACUGUAGCAAAACUUGCUAAAGCGUAGUUUUGUUUCAGUGUUUCUAAUAUAGUCCUUGGUUGUUAGUUUUCAUUUUUCCAGGGUUUUAUGAGUAGAAUGUAAAAAUGCACAGUGUGUUAUUAUUAUUAUUUAAUAUUUGUCAAAGAAACAUGACUAUACAGAGCAAAGGCCAGUUUGUGAAUUAAGCCAGGCAGUCUCCAGUCCAAAAGAUCUCACAGUACAACUCUUAAGCAGGUCCUGGCAAAUAUAAGACAGAAUGAAAACAGAUGGGUGAAUGAUACUUAUUCAAUAUCUUAAAUAUAGAACUCAGUAGUGCAGGUGCAUCUUCAGAUGUUAUUUGAAAGAAGAGAAAGAAUAUCUUGGCAUUGUGUCAUUUAUUCAUAAAUAUUAUAAAUUUUAUAUUAUUUGAGAAACUAUUCUAAAUAUACAGGGUAGUUUAAAAGAAGGUGUGAAAGCUGAUUCCUUCAAAUGAGACAAAGGGCAAAUUGAGUGAAGAAUGAAAACUGAAUAUGUAUAAAGAAGAAGUGGAGAAGAAACAGGCCAAAAAAGAGCCAAGGGAAAACAAAGGCCAAGAGGAGAUGAAGUUUGAUAGAAAAGAAAAUCAGAGAUUAAAUAAAAAAUAAAACAACCAAGGAGAAUGAUGAUCUUGGCAACUAUGUCCUGAGUAUACUAAAAUAGCCAAGAGAGUCUACGCACAAUAACGAGAAGGAUGAUGAUUUAGCUAUGGAAAUUGCAAUUCAAGGGUGUAGAAUUUUGUAUGACAGAGGAUUGGUCCUGGUCCUAGGAGAUAGCAUUGGCAGAACAGGAAGAAUAAUCAGAUUUAGUUAACAGCAGAAUACAUAUAAGGUAAGAAAAGAGUAGAAUUGGUGAGAUUGUUGAGAAUGACAAAAGUCAUUAAAACUAAUGAGGCUAUAGUUUUGUUUUUUUUAAAUCCAUGAUCUGUCCUGCAUUAUAUCAGUUGUUAUUAACUAUAGCAUAGAUAUGAGCCAGUAUCCCUGGGCAAAAAAUAAACAUAUAUUCAAAGUGACAGGUAAGAUUAACACACCUGUAACAAUUAGGAAAUAUAAGGCAGAUGAUAUUUGGGAUAGCAGAGCUUUAGAGAAGGGAGAAAUCAGCAGGCCCUCCUAAUAGUGUUGGAAAAGCCAUCAAGAAGUAAGGCCCAAAUUGGUCCUUGAAGAAUUGCGGUGUAGGGGAAUAGAUACAUAUAUAUGAUGAAAUUCAUCAAAAUAGAAGUUAAUAUGACAUUUUUGUGGAAAAAAUGAAAUUACUGAGUGAAAUGGAUGGUUUGAGCAAGAAAACAGGGAAAAAGCAGGUAGGAUGGUAAAGUGAGGCUAUUGUGUGGAUCUGAGAAAAUAAGGAUUCAUCACCAUAUUAUGGAGCCAUUCAUAAGUUCAAUCUAGAAAUAUUUUUGAGAGUAUAUUAUGCUCUAGGCACAAAAUAGACCAGGCUUUACCCCUUAUGGAACUAAAUUCCAAUAAAGGAAGGUAGACAUUGCCUCUCCAAACAAAUAAAUGAACAUAAUAAUUUUAGGUAGUGAUUAGUACCGUGAAGAGCUUUAAACUGAGUAAUAGAGGACAGAAUGACUGGCUAGAGUAAGGAUGACCCAAAGUGGGAGAGUAAAGUGGAAAUUCUUAGGACUUGAAGAUAAUUUGAAUUGAGAAAAGAAAGUCUUAGAAAUUAAAGCUUCUUCACUCUUAUCCUAUAAAGAGGAAAAAUGAAAAGAGAGUAGAAAAUCUGAAGGGGGAUAGGCAAACUCAGUAUUCCCAUAGCCCCUUCUUGUUUUUAUCAUCCACUAACCCCUUGAUCAGCAUUCUCAAUUUCUGAAAGAUUUUACCCACUGGCUGGCUAAAGCUUUUUUUAUUUCUACCCCAUGACAAAUCGUAGUCAUUUCAGGGGUUAAGGACAUAAUCUUUAAAAGACCCCCUCUCAGUUCCUUGAACUCGUCCUCGUGAUCUAUCCUCUACCCUACCACAGUUACUCAUUCCCAUGAAUAUACUUCUAACAUUUUAAUUACUAAUAAUUAUGACUUCCCAUAGUCUCAGUUUCAAGCAUCCCACUCUUUACCAUCUAAUAUCUUCACAGCUCCAUCCCCCUAUUACCCUGUUACAAAAAAUUGUUAGGCCUACUAGGACCUCUAAUUCAUAGAUUUUACCCAUACCCUUCAUAUUCUCAUUUUAUUAUAUAGCUUAGAUUCCAUGGACAAUGAUUUUAAUCAUUUCUUCACAUAUAUGUUUAAUUUUCUUGACCUUCUCUUGCUUCAGUGUGCUCUUCUGGCAAAUUUCAACUGUACUUACUACUUACAACCAACUCCACACUGUUCCAUACCUGCAAGCCAGCUUGAUGUGGCUGGAGAACACACACAGGCAAACUGAUAUGUCUUACUUUAAUUUCAUGAUAACUCAAGGAAGCCCUUCGUGCUGCCCAGCGAUUACGUUUCCCUAUCUAUUCACUCUCCCAUAUCUCUAUUAAGGGUGUUCUGCAUAUUUCCUUUUCUCAAACUUCCAACGCCUCUUUGCCUAUCCUUACUCUCCACUUACAACCUUCCUUCUUACUUCACUAGAAAAAUAAAAGCUAUAGAAAAGAACUUCACAUGCAUUUUUUUCCCAGAAAACCUACCCUCCUUUCUAAAACUGUGCCCAUAUACUGUACCUUCUAUCCCUACAAUUGUGGAUGACUGUGUAUCCCUGCUUCCGCCUUCCCUUCAUUGUGCAUUAGAACUGACCCCCUCUCACAUAAUCAUGAAUAAUGCUUCUACAAAAGCUCAUUUCUUUUGGUUUAGCAGUUUUUCUCUCUCUACCAAAUAUUUCCUAGCAGUAUACAACAUGUCGUAAUACCUCUCAUCAUACAAAUAUUCUUAGGACCCACACUCCCUGGUAGCUCCUGUAUCAACUCAAUUCAUUGAUUUCUGUUGUACCAAAACUUAUCAAGAAAUGUCCAUAAUUGCUAUAGAUACUCUCUAAUCCUAAUCUUUAAUUCUUUAUUUUUCCUAUUGUGUUAGUUUUUUCACAUACCAGUCUAGUAAAGUGGUUCAUAAGGUCACUAGUCAUUUCCCUGUUGUUAUUAAAUCCCUUAACCAAUUCACGGUCUUCAUCUUCCGUGAUCUCAGAAUGGUUUUACCUGGCUCAUUGUUCUUUCUCCACUAAAUGAUUUUCUUCAUUUGGCUUUCAGUUCACCACACACUAAUGAUAGUUUUCCAAAUUCACAGCUGUUCCUUCUCAAUCUCAUUUACUGAUUUAUUCUUAUUUCCCUGACUAGUAAACAGUAGAGGUCUUUGGACUCAAUCUUUGAACCUGUUUUUUUCUCCACUUGUUCCCUUAAUAAUCACACCCAGUUUGUGGUUUAAGCUUAUCUGGGUUUUAAUUGAAAUUUUAGGUUGAAAUAUUCAACUACCUCUUCAAUAUCUCCACUGUAUAUCUAAUGAGCAUCUCAAACUUAAUAUACCAGAAGCAGAACCCUUAUUUUACCCAAUAUAUAUUCAGUCCUCCCUAUCUUCUUAAAUAGCACCUCCACUAUUUGAGAUGCUCAAGUUGAAAAUGUAUUUCUCUGUGAGCCUUUUAUGUCUCUUAAAAUCCAGUCAGUGAACAAAUCCUGCAGCUAUACCUUCAGACUGCCUCCAAAAUCUUAACACUUCUCAUUCUCAUCACCCCUACCCUGAUUCACUCUACUUUCGUUUCUUCCCUGGAUUCUUGCAGUAGCCUCCUAAUUAGGUUUCCUGCUUCUGGCCUUAUCAUUAACAGGAAACUAGAGUGAUUCUUAGCAACAUAUAUAAUGUAAUUGUAGCCAGACCGUAUCACUCCUCUGCUUAUAACCCUCUAGUGAUCUCCUAUCUCACCUGGAAGAAAAGCUAAAACCUUUAUAAGAGUCUCUACAAGGCCCUCUGCAUUCAGUUUCCCCUAUUACUUGUCUUCAUUUAGCACUAGAUCCCUCCUAACUCACUGCUGUCAAGCCUCGGUGACUUCCUAACUUUCCUCAAACCUCCUAGUAUGUCCGCAUCUCAGGGCGUUUGCACUUACUUCGCUCACUGCCUUACAUGCUUUCCCCAGAUAAGGCUUGUUUGUGCCUCAUCUUCAGCCUUUUGCUCCAUUUUUACUUCUAAGUAAGGCCUUUCAUAGCCACCAUACUUAAAAUUGUAACACCCUCCUUUGAUUCAUAGCACUUACUCUCUUCAGAUACAUAUAGUACAUAUUUUAUUUAAUUUUGAUUUCCACUUGGCAUGGAAUAUAAGUCUUAUAUUUAUGAGUUUCAGCUUUAUUUGGGUUUUUGUUUUGUAUUCUGAGAAAUCCCCAGUGCUUAGAGCCAUGCCUGACUCAUGGAGUGUUCGGUAGCUAUUUUUGGAUGAAUUGGAGACAAGAAUGAGUGCUUCUUUCACUGAGUUUGCAGGUAUUUUUACUAAAAUGCAGAACAUAAUAUUGUGGCAUGGGCCCCUGUAAUUCUCCAUGGCAAAAUUUUCAGAUUCCUCAAAAUUAGUUUUGAAAGUAAAAGCACUUAUGUAAGUUUAUCCAGAAUAUUAGAUGGGGCACUAUUUCUGUUCAGCACCCAAAAGCAGCCUCAUUUGAAACAUUUAUUAUCAUUUUUCUCACUCAGUAAAUGUUUAUUAGGGAAUAUGGGUGCUCUAGGCACUGGUAGCGACAUGUGGAAAAGCUCAGAAUAUAAGAGAACAUAAUAGGAUGGACUACUGUAGUAUUACAAGUGACAGAUAAUGAUGGCUUGGGCUUAUGUGACACAGUGGUGCUGAAAGAGGUAAAAAUGGGAGAAACAUGAUGAAAUGAAAGGUCAUCAGAAUCAAGAAGCCUGAUCUGUCUACCUUCAUCAGGCUAUUAAGUAGAAAGUGAUUGUAAAACAAUUGGGUAGGAGUAAAACUAAACAUAGAGGACAUGGGUUGUAAAAUUUCCUAAUUUACAGGGUAUAGACUUAAAAUCCCCAGUUGCCAUAGUGAUUGUAAGACUGAUUAAUGUGCUUAUUGAUGAUCCUGGUAAAAUCAUUGUGAAAGGUGCUCCAAGGUCAAAUGGUAACUCUCUUUCUUCCAAGCCCCUGAAUGACAAGUGAACUCCUUUGAGGUUGUAAAUUUUCUACCUAGUAAGUAACCUCUCCUUUCCUGAAAGCAAUUUUUCUUAUUGUAUACAAAGAAAAAUAUAGGAAAUAGAUUAAUAUGUGUGUAGAUGUACCUGUAUAUUUGUAAAAGGUAAAGUUAUAAAGAAAAUUAACCAUUUUAAAUUUGUAAGUUUAAUAAAUUAAUAUUAGUUUAAAACCCAAUUAACUUAAGUAUUUCUUUCUCUGCACAAAAACCUCCUUGUUUAUUAGAAAAAAUACAUUAGAAUUGCAAAUCUUUGUGGGCUGGUGAUUAUUUGAGGAGUGAUGAAAAAGCAACAGGUGAUUCCUAGACAUUGCACUUGAGAACAUGGGUAGACAAUGAUGCUAGUUGCUCAGAUGGGACAAAAAAAGAGAUGUGAAGGAGAUGAGUCAAACUUUGGGCCUGUUGAAUUCACAAUGCUUUUGAGAUAUCCAAUUGGAAUUUUCUAGUAGAUUGUUUGAUAUAGAAAGUUAGAGGUCAGGAGAGAACGAAUGGCUUGAGACACAGAUUUGAGAGACAUUUUAAAACAGGGAAAUCUAGGGCCAGGGAUUUAUCUCAGUGGUUUUGUCACCUGCUGAGCAAGCUCAAGGACCCAAGUUCAAUCCCAGGUAUUAAAAAAACAAAAAACAAAAAACAAAAAAACGGGGAAAUCUGGAUGACCAAUGAGCAGUGGACCUUUUAGGCUGAAGUAUGUGUAAUAGAAAAUAUGGUGAAUGUUUACAUUUUUAAAAUGUAUUACAGUAAAAAACACAUUGCCAUUACUUCCCCCCUCGAAAUAGUCCCCUUAGCUUCAAACACACUGCAUCAUUCUUGCCACCUUCUGAAGCAGUUCUGGAAGUCCUCUUUUAUGAGAGUUUUUAGUUUUGCUGUUAUUGCUGCCUUCAUAUCCUGAAUCAAUUCAAAACAUUUACUUUCAUAAUCCUUUUGACUUUGGGAAGGUACAGAAGUUGCAUGGUGUCAAAUGUAGUGAAUAAAGUGGAUGAGGACACAUAGUAAUAUUUUUACAAGACUACCUUUCUUUUGGAUGUCAUUUGACAGCAGCAUUCUCUGUAUUUUACAUCACACUUCAUAAAGAUCCUCACGAAAGAAAGCUUCCACAACUGCUUCAGAAAAUGGGAAGAACAAUGGGAUAACAGUCUUUGAAGCAAAGGGGAGUUAGAGGGGAAUUAAUGGCAAUGUGUCUUUUAUUAAAUAAUUUUUUAUUAAAUACACACUAUAUAUUUUGAUCUGACCUUGUAUAAAUCUGGACAUCAAGGAACAUACAUAAUCACUUCUCUGCUAUUUUCUCAACUAGUUUUCUCUUAAACUCUUCCCAACUCAUCUCCCACACCAACACACCUCCUAUCCAGUACUCACCCUCCCUUUCUAUUUGAAAUUUCCAUAAUGUACCACCUGGACCUUUUAUAUUGGAACAGGCCUUGAUUUCUAUAAUAAUCAUAUACUUCAGAAUUGCACACAGAACAAAAUUAUGGACAUGAGAUUGUACUGUUAGUAAACUGUAAGCUCUCCUUACUGUAGGAAAUUAUGGAAUGGGUCUGUUUAUAAUAUCAACUAUGUCCCCCUAAGUUAUCUAUUCUCUAAGUAUUUUUGUCAGAUUCUCUUUUCUGAUGUAUAUUAUAUUUAUCUGUUAUGAUAUCUAACCACUGGGAUAUUUAAGGAGAAACCCACUAAACACUGAGAGGGAGAUCAUCUUUAUUCUUUUCCUUUUUAACUUUGAGGAAAGGAGGGAAAAAAGGCACUCAGAACUUAAGUAAUUCUCUACAGGCCAGUGUCUCUGUAUGUCAGUCUUCUUACAGAAUGUAACUUUCCAUUUAAUGUUCUUUUUCUUCCUUGCCUUGAAUCAUUUAAAAUAUUUUCUUGCCCUACCCUUUUUGUCACCUCUAUACUUCAGUAGAUUUAUUUACUUCUUAAUUUUAGAAUAUUUUAUGUGUAUUUUUCCCCCAUACUUGAAAUUUUCCUGGCAGAAACAGCCAUUGAGUAUAAAGUUUAUGUUGGUUUUAAGCAAAAGUUGUAAUCUCUACUGUCCUAAUUUUCUAGAUUCUCUGAUCAUCUGGGAUUUCUCCCCGCUGUGCCUCUCUAUUGGUAGUCUCAUUUGCUUUUUUGUGUCUUAUCUUUAUCUUUCAAAAAAAGCUUCUGCAAAAUGUCUUUCCCACCAAUCACAAUGCUACCCUGUUAGUGUAUGUAGUCUCUAUGGUAACUGGGUUACAGGCCACAACACCAAUAUUAGUGGAGCCAACAUCAUAGUGGGGAAAUUGGUACAUGCUCUCCUCUGUCACCACCCAAGUUUCUCCAUUGAAAUUAGAAUCAGAUAGUCAUAUUUUAAUAUGUAGGGCAAGAAAGGUAGCAGAGAAAGUGGUAUAAAUCUAGUCUCUCUAAAGCCAUAUUAUUAGGAUUUCAUAAAAUUCUUGAUAUUAUUUGUCCUGAAAAACCCUAGCCUGGUGAGCUGAUCCUCCCCAAAUGUUCAUAUACUGGCUGAAUUUAUGAAGAAAGUUCAUAAAUGACUAAUCUCUGAAUAAGCUGAUUUUGCUGAAACUACUAUAUAUUCUUAGGUAAUCUCAGGAAGAUUACCAAUACUGUGUAAAAAUUAUUCACAGGCAUUGUAGGGACAGACUUGUUCAGAUGAUUUCUCCAGUAACUGCAUAUUGACCCACUUAGGGCAAAAGACAGAAUUGGGUCUCUCUGAGCAUGUCUUAGAGCAAAGGCAGUCCUGUUGGGUCACAAAGGAAAUGAAGAGGAAAUAGUGAGGCUUCUCUGGUUGGCCCUCUAGGACUGAACUUUCUUCUGAAUAUAGGGAGAUACAGUCCAAGGACCUAAAGCAGGCUUUUAUAAUGGCCUGUUAACAUUUGGAGCUCCUUAAAUCUUUGUUGCAUAGGGCUAUCAAGUGCAUUGUAAGAUGUUUAGCAACAUCACUGCCUUCUACUCAGUAGAUGCCAGUAGCAACUUCAGUUAUGACAAGAAAAAAUACAGACAUCCCCUGGUGGAGGCAAAAAUAGACUCAGAUUAAGAACCCCUGGCCUAGCAAGAUGAGGUUUGAUUAAAAAAAUGAGUUAGAUGGCCUGGAAUUUAGCUCAGUGGUUCUGCCGCCUGCUUUGAAAGCACAAGGUCCUGAGUUCAAUCCCCGGUACCGAAAAACAAAAAUGAGUUAGAAUCGCUCACAGCCCCAGUUUGUCAUUCAGGAGGUAUUAUUGAGCUCCUACUAUCCACCAGGUGCAGCUAUGAGCCAGUCCUGCUGUCAUGGAACUUACAUUCUAAUAGGUGUUUGCCACAUGUUUUUAGCCACCUGGAUCCCUUUCUCUCCUAUUAGACUCACAGCAGAUUCUCAAGCCUGCUAAAGGACAGGGAAAGCAAAUUGCAAGUUCAUAUUUAUAGACUCUUUUCAUUCAGUUUAUGAACCUCAAAAAUGAUUUUGAUUUAAAAAUGAUACUUGGCAAAUGAUUAGUUCAUAUAUUUUAGUUUAUAAUAUGUUUUAAUCAUUUGGGGUAUUUUUAAAACAAAUGGUGAGAUUAGGGGUUUUUUUCCCCUUGUAUAUUUGGCCCUUUUCCUUUGGAAAGUCCUCUUCGGAUUUGUGUAUGUGUGAGUAUUUGAAGAAUGCUUUUAGUAUUUGAAAUGUGUGCACAUAAUUGAAAUGAGAUGAGGAAGCAUAAUACAUAUGAAUGUAUGAUCCCUGCUGUAACAAAUACCCACACCCAGCCCCACUUCCUCAAGGAAGCUUCCUCAAAGCUCCCCAGGUAAGUCCCUUACCCAGAUAGUCUCCUCCCAGUCUUUGUAUAUGAAUUCUCAUAGUGCCUACUUCACAUGCCGUGUCACCGACUGUGGGACACUUUCCUUAGGUUUUCAUUUGAGACUAUAAGCUCAGUAGAGAUCAGCACUGUGUACACUCUCUGGUCUCCCCAAAAUUCUAUUAAAUGAUCUUAACCAUACAAAAGAGUACUUAAAAAUAUGGGCUGAAUUGCUUACUGCCUGAGAUAGCCAGCUUUCAAAGUGUUAUGCCCAAACACUUCAUCUUCACACCACCUGUGACUUGUCCAAGCCCCCCAGUCUUGAGGCUUCAUUGGGUAGAUCAUUUUUUAUAGCCUAUGAAGGAAUAUGAUUGCUCUCAAAUACUAAUGAAACUUUUAAAGCAGUGCUUAACUCAGAAAAUGUGGUAGUUAUACACAAUGGAAUACUACCCUGCCAUAAAGAAAGAUAAACUAAAGUCAUUUGUAGGGAAAUGGAUAUACCUCAAGACCAUAAUGUUAAGUGAAAUAAAUUAAACCCACAAGCUUAAAUAUCACAUGGUUUCCCUUAUAGGAAGAACCCAAAUUAAAAAGAAAAAGAAAAGAUAGAUAAUAAGAAGUAGGGAGAUAGAGCUUUCUCAGAUGGGAAGGGAACAAGAGGUGGAGGGAGGGACGAGAACAGGGAGGGAAAGGGGUUAAAAGGAGGAUGUGUUGUGUACAUGCACCGACUCCACACAAGGAAAGUAAGCAUUAUGCACUGCAAACAUGUACUAAUAAAAACUCUAGCGGUUAAGUUCAUUACGCUUUUUUUUAAGUUCUUUUAUUCGUACAUUUUAGGGAUACAAUUCAUUUACAUUUAUCAUUGGGUGUUUGUACCUGUACAUGAUGUGUCUUGGUUCUUAUUUUUUCCCCAUUACCUGUGCACCUCACCCCCUCCGCCCUUCCGUAUUUACAUAGGUUUCAUUUCCAUUUUUUAAUCUUUUCUCAUAGUUUUUCCUUUCCCUCUUUUCCUUUCCCCUUCCCCUCCCUUCACCCCUUCAUCUUUGGACCUUUUUUCCGAUUUCAAAUUAUCAAUUAUUCAUUUUAAUCAUUUUAACCUUUGUUUACACUUUCAGUUUCUCACACUAGUGAAACUAUUCGGUAUUUGCACAUGUGUGUCCCAUUUAUUUCACUUAAGAGUAUGGCCUUGAUAUGCAUCCAUUUAGCUAUAAAUGAUCAUACCACAGAGAUAUAUGUGCACCCAUGUUCAUAGCGGCACAGUUUGUAAUAGCUAAAGCUUGGAAACAUCCCAAGCACCCAUCAACUGGAAACUGGAUAAAGAAAAUGUGAUUUUUUUUUUAUAAGAUGGAGUACUACUCAGCCAUAAAGAACGAAAAACUAAGUUCAUUAAUCUUAAGGAUAUUUUCAGCUCAUACAGAGACUGCAAGAAUGUAAGAGAAAUAAUUGGGAAUAUUUUAAAUUACUAACUUGCUAAGCAUUUUUCAAGGGUUAAAAGGUUUAGAGGAUAAAUGCUUAUGACUAUGUGAUGCAUACAGCACAUGUAAAAUUACAUACCUUAUUUUCAUGUUUUAUUGAAUGUAUUCCUUUUACUGGAAUUUAAGCUUCUUGAAGAUGGCCAACUUGAUUUGUCAGUAAUAUUAUUCUGUGUGCCUAGAUUAGAAUGGUUUUGCUACUCAUAGCAGGUGUUCAGCAAAUGUUUGUUGAAUAAAUGAAUGGUAGGCAUUCCACCAAUAUUGUGUUCACUAUUUGCUUAUUAGUGAACCACAAAGGCAGUAAUGUGAUAAAAUUUUUAUUCAUUUAUUUAACAUAUUAAAGGAGUGUCUAACACAUAGUAGGCACUCAGUAAGUAUUUGAUGAUUGGAGAAAUGAAUUAGUAUUCCAGUAUGCUCAAGGAUGAAUUUUUAAAUAACUACGAAUCUGCCAGAGCUUGGCUAACGAAGCACCAUAAACUGGGUAGUUUAAGCAACAGAAUUUUUCUCUCACAGUUCUAGAGGAUGGAUAUCCAAAAUCAGGGUGUCAGCAGGAUUGGUUGCUUGUGAAACCUGUGAGAGAGAAUCUUUCUCAUGCCCCUCACCCAGCCUGUGGUGAUUUGCUGACAAUCUUUAGUGUUCAUGGACUUAUAGAAGCAUCACUCCAAUCUCUGCCUUCAUCUUCACAUGACAUUCUCCCUGUUGGUAGCAAUAAAUUGUAGAGCUCACUCUACUGCAAUGCAACCUCAUCAAAAUUAGUCACAUCCACAAUGACCCUAUUCCCACAUAUAGUUAUGUUCUGCAGUACUUGGGGCUAGAACUUUAACCUAUGAAUUUGGGGGGCACAUAUUCAGCCAUAAUACUAAAAUAACGCAGAGCUUCAGGUAGUAACAUUUUGAUGGAUGACAUCUAUUUGAAAAACUUCAGCUUCUCAAAAUAACAUCUAGUUUUAUGAUUCUAUAUGGAAAUUGAUAUAGUGGUAUUAAAUAGCUUUUACUAUGUUAUGCAAAAAUGUGUGUCUGUAGAGAAACACAAAGAAGUCCAAGGAGCCUAACUGGAUAGCACAUUUUCUUCGAUGCUAAGUGGCCUAAUGUGACCAGUGGGUUAUGUGGAAAAGGCUGCUGAGAGGUUUCCAAAAACAUUUGUAUGUGAAGCAAAGGGGUUUGGGAUUUGGCUUUAUUUUAAAAACAUGAGAGGACCAACAUAGAAGUCAAUUGAAUGGUAGAACAGUGUACAAAUGGUAAACUUUAUUGAAUAUAAAUUUUACCUCAGUGAACCCUACUUUGAAAAGGAUUAAAGAAAACAACGUGGUAGAAGAAUGCACAUGGGGACAAGCAACUCAGAAGGUUUUGGUACCAUUUUACCACCAAAGCUACUGCCCUGAGUCCCCUCAGGCUUCAGAGACACUUGCCUUCAAAAUAAAAUGUAUAAAAAAAUAAAACAAACAAAAUCUGUAAAGUUAUUGUAUUAAAGAAAAAUCAUACUUAUAAAAAAAAAAUGAAAUUGCUAAUGCCAGCCCCUUUAGCAGCUGUGGAAGCUGAUCAAAACUGGGCUGAUCAUCUGCAAGCCUGUGACUGUCCAUUUCCAGGCUUGAUGCCAGAAAAACUCCUGGGCCCAUUCUAAGGACAGGUACAAGAGCACGGGUAAGCUAAAGGGUAAGACUGAUUCCCAAAUGGUGGCAGGAAAGGAAUCCUAGAUGAAGAGGACAUACACUCCAUGGGCUUCUGGGAAGAUAGCUAGUUUCAAGGAAGAUAGGCCACAUGUGUAGGUGAAGGAGAAUAUGUCCUAAAGUGAGCAGAUUCUCAGGGAACACAUCUACAAGCUGAAGGCAGACCAGGUCCACAAGGCCAUGCCAGCAUGUCAGCAAUGGGGAGCACCUCCUGGCCAAAAAGGAAAUGAUCAUUAAUACUGUCAAAGAAGUCAAAGACCAAGAAAUAAAGCACUCCCUCUUCUUUUGGUACAUUGCCUUGGUGGUUACACCAGUCAUUGGAAUAAAACAAGCCUUUCUCUUCUGGCUGAAAAAGAAAGAAGCAGAACAAGAAGAAGAGGGGAUUUUCUUGUGUGUGAAGUUGACAAAAAAUAGUUUAAUUAGAAACACAGAGAAACCAGAUUUCAAUAGGUUGAGGAAUAAAUGAGAGUUUAGGAAGCUUAAAGUUACCACAAAGUAGGAAAAGAUCUGAUGCAUAGCAGAAGGUUUCUUGUUUGUUGCUUAGUAUGAGGACUGCUAUCUUUGUUUGUUACUUAGUAUGAGGACAGCUAAAGCAUGUUGGCGGGCAGUGGGAAAAUUGAAAAUAUGAAAAGAAGGAAGGAAUAACUGAUGCAAUAAGAUUGACUGUGGAGAAGGUCAUCAGUGCUGGAGAGAAGGAUCUCUGAACUGUUAUAAAUGGGUUCAGUGUCGGAGGUGAGGUGAUGUGAAAUGCCCUUUGAUGGUCUGUUUCCUCUGUCAAAGGAGGUCACGUUAUUAGCCAGAGGUGAAAAGUAGGGGAACAGUUAUAAGGAAUGAAAUAGUGAAUGAAACUGGAAAAAAGAAAUUGACUAAGAACAAAAUAAAGAGUUAGAAAGUAGUUCUGAUACUGUAGAUCAACCUGAAAACCAUAAUUCUGAGAAGCACCAGACUGUACAGUUUUGAUUUUUCCCCAGCAUUGCUUAACAGUCUAGGAGCUGAGGAAGGAACGUAUUAUCAGAUUCAUUUGGGCUCAAGAACUAGGUAAUUGCAGUUGAGAACCAUAGAUAAGGAAAAUGAUGGAACAGAUGAUGUCAUUAAAGUUAAAAACUCUGAGGGAAGAAGAAAUUAAAGAUUAAUAGUCUGGGAGAAAAAGGGAAAUAAUGAAAACUAAAAAAGUCAUAGUAAAAAAGGUAGAGUACUUGUUUUGGGGGCAAAAUGUCUGAAUAAGGAAGCUGCCCCUACCACACAUAUGUUUUGCCACAAAUCUCAGAAAACCACAGAAAGUGGGCUGAACUCUUUGGAGAACAUAGACUUGACUCAAAAAACAGCCUGAUGGUCAGGAUUUCCUUCCUAUUUGCCAUUAAUUUAAAAGGAACAGUGUUACUCCACUUUAUGUUAUUGUAACAAAUACCUGAGAUUAGAAGCUUUAAAGAGGAAAGGUUUAUUUUGACUCACAGUUUGGAAGUCUCAGUCCAUGACCAAUUGUCCUCAUUGCUGUGUGCCUGUGGAGGCACAAUCUAUGGAGAGUGUGAAGAGAGAGUGUGUGGAAGAGAAAGCCCAUUCACCUCAUCACUGGGAACAAGAGACACAAAGACGAGGAUCCAGGGUCCUAAUAUCUUCUUCAAAAGAAUGUUCCCAAUGUCCUAACUUCCUUCCACUAAGCCCCACAUUCUAAAGGUUCCACCAUUUCCCAGUAGCACCAGGGGCUGGGAACCAAGCUUUUAACACUUGGGCCUUUGUGACACAUUCAAGACACAAAUUGUAGCAGUAACCAUCAUUAACAUCAUUAUCACAGAAUCCUAAUCCUUAGGGAAAGAAUGUCACCUGUGUAUGUAAGAGGAGAAGAAAUAGGAGCCUUCCAUGGGAGAGUAGCAAUCAGCUUGACAAGAGACAAAUGUUUUUUCUUUUUACUUCAGAUUCCAAAAGUGUAGUUAUGUUGUCCUAAAGGUGUGUUCUUUCAUUUCUCUUAUUUUAAGGUUGUUAAUUUAUUGUUCUGUAGUCUCCAGAGCUGCCACCUUCUCUUAGUCUUCACCCUUCUUUUCUUAUUUCUCCUUUGUCCUGUCAGCCUAUUUUUAGGCAUUGAAAAUUGUCAUGUGUCUCAGCAACCUUCCUGUACUCAGUGUCCAUAUAAAAUAUUCCCAUAACCUUAGUAUUAAAUUUUGCCCCUAAAAGACUGGGCUAAGAAGUUGGAGGUUUGUUAGAGAAUACUUUCAGGUUCUUUGCAGAGGACCCUGUAUAGCUAAUCUGUCAUGCCCUAUGAAUUCUGAUGAACCUAGGUGUCUCUCUAUAGUAUUCAUAAGAAGAAUUCUGCUCCUAUGGGCCCUGUCUCCAUAUGUCAGCCUUACAAAGUAACCAACCAUGUUAUUCACUGUAAGAUACCAUGCUCUAGUUAUCCUUUACUUGCUUGAGUAGACUAAGAUGAACAUAAUAUACAGAGUUUAAUAGUUUCCUAAACUCUGAAAAUUCCUAAGCUUCUUCUCUUGGUGCUUUCUAUAUAUAAGUUCAAAAAACAGCUUUGGGAGAAUUUCAAUAAGCAAUUCUAAAGAAAUCUUUAUUUUUUUCCAAAUAAAUUCUUGUAGAAUUCCGUUUUUCCCCUGUUUUUUUUCCAACUUCUGAUCCUAUUAUAGCUCUUUCCAGCAAUGCUAAAACCCAGCCGGUCUGGAGAUUAAUAUGACCAGACAUACCAUGAAUUUUUUAAAUCUCACAAGUCCCAGUUUCUCCUUCAUCAAUCAAAUAUAGGUUGUGUGUGUUGCAGUAUAUUAUCAUAAGUCUUCCCUAAAUUCUUUUUUUCUUCCUUUUUUUGUCUCACUGUCCUCUAAAUUAUUCCUAAAUGCUUCCUAUUAUAAAAAGGUAGAAGAACCUGAAGAACAGAGAAAGAAAAUGAUUUGAUGGAAGUUGGAAAGAGAAAGCAUACUAGGAAAAAGAGGAAACCAAUGAGGAUAUGGAAAAAGUAGUGAUUUCCUUUUCUCCUACUCCCUCCAGACCCCUUUUAGGUUUUGUUUUGAUACUUUUAUUUAACCUAAUGCCCUCAAAUGACCUAGUCCUAGAAGUUUGUUCCUAGCAACCUGUACAGCACGUCUUCUAUUUUCCCAGCAGACUGAACUCUCCUCUCCGGAGAGUUCUCCCAAGCCCCUUAUUCAUAGACUCGAAGAUUUGAACCAAUUGCCAUUAAUUCCAUGUACACUUUAUACCAUGCUGGCAUGGAGAGUGUUAAUAGCUGAUGUAAUUCUGAAAGAACUUAAGCAACAAUUUGGUUUUACUUUAUUAUCAUUCAAAAUAUAAACAGGUAAACUACAUGUUGAAUUCAUUAAAUUCUUCCUGCACUGUUUAGAAAUAUGAAAACUGCAUUUUUUAAAAGGGGACUGAUUGGUGUCAUGUACGUAUUUGUUCAUUUCUGUUUAUGCAAGAUAAUAAGAGUAUUAACAUGGAAGAGGAAUAAUGGUAUUUAUAAUUUCAUCACUACUGUUUAUAUAAGAUGAAAAUGUCUGAAAAGAAAUGGGGAGAGAGUACUUGCUGCUCUCUAUAUACAUUAAAUUACUCUAUUUUUAUUGAUAAGGCAUGUGAGAAGAAAAACAAGUUUAACAACCUAAAGAAAAGUUAAUAUUCUUUAAUUCAUAUUCACUAACAUUAACCUAGGGUGGCUAGGUUCAGAAAAUGAAGCACUAAAAUGUAAUGGAGGGGCUACCUCCUUAUAAAGGAAAAUGAGCGCCAGAGACAUGUGCUUUACUAAAUCCUCUCUGAGACUGAAACUGCUUGAGUAAGAUUAUGGUCCUCUAUUGAAUGCUGAAGUUUCUAUCCUAGGGAAUGGUAAGUGACAUCAGGAAGACCAGUGACUUAUAAUUUGCCUGUAUCUUGAGAUAUGCUUCCUAGGGCCUGAAGCCCCAUUAAAGAUUCCAAAAAAAAAAAAAAAAAAAAUACUUUAGGUCAGAUUUUAAGAAUCCAUUUCAAAAAUUAAAUAGUUCUAGGUAGACUUUUAUAAUAUUUCUAUGGUAGUUUCAAAAAGAAAGAUCUGGGACUAGAGAAGAGGUUUCUUAGGAUGUACAUUUAGGAUGUCAAAUUAGCUGAAUUGUUAAUAUAAUCCAUAAAAGGUCAAGUCAUUCAUGAGGGUUUAAUGAUUAUCACAGGGCAACUGAGGGAAAAAAGCAAAUGAAGAUAAACAGGAGUUGUUUUGUGCUGGUUAUUAUAUUUAUGAUAUUUUUCUCAAGUGAAAAUGGAGGCAUAAAUUCUUUCAAAAGAGUGAAUUAGAGUGGAAGGUCCUUGAGGGAAGGAGCAGAACCUCCUUCACAAAGUAAUAAGUAAUAGGUUCUAAAAAAAAAUCUGCUAAAUUAAUGAAUGGCUCCAUUUAAAAAUAAUUUUCAUAUUCUCCUUUAUCUAAACCAACUAUCAAGGUAAGUUUAGGAACUUUACUAGGCUCAGUUAAGAAAGAGUUGAUUUUCAACAAGGACAUAAAGUCAUUAAUUUUUGUAAUUCAUUCUUUUUAAUCCCCAUUCACAUUCCCAAUUCUGUUCACCCCAUAUUGUAUUGUUAAUGGAACUAAUCCUGUAUGAAAGUGAUGGGGUAUGAAGCCAGAAAGGUAGUGAGAUGUGUAUUGUAUUGGGCCUUAUAGCCCCUAGUAAGGGUUUUGGGAUCUCAACCAUCGAAGAGCCUGAAAAAUUCUAAUGGGUAGGAGGAAAUGGAUAGGAGAUUGCUGUUGAAAUCACAGCAACCCUGUCAUUGUAGGAUGACCGGAUGAGGCAAUUUCCACUGAAGGCUGGAAGUAUGGAUUUAGUAGCUUGAUUUAGGCUAUAUGUCAAAUAUGACAUUCCCAGCUAGUGUAAAUAAAGGCAAACUGUGCCUCACUGAACUUUCCAUUUGUGCCUUAUCACCAGUUUUACCAACCUGACAGUCCCAUUUGGCAGCCAUACCUAAAAGAAGCUCAAAGAAUAGUAGCAAGUGUGCUUUAGAAAUUUCAAAAGAUCUCCAGUUCCAACCAUAAGCUUUAAGACGAUUAAAACAAGAAUUUUAAAUAUUAGGUAGAUUUUCAUUUGUAUUAAUUGUUGCUAUGCUAGGAAUUAUAGAAUUCCCGGGCACUUAAUGAUGUGUGCUUAAGUCACUUUGCAGAAGAAUUAGAGGUUGAAAGUCCACACAAGAUGUACACUCUCUGUGAUCAAGUCCUAACAAAGCAAGCCAAUUUACUGCAUGUCCUUUUGAGAAGGGAGAGAUGUGAUAAUUUUCCUAAAAUGGGACAUUCAGAAGAGGUCAUUUUCUUGUCUGUUUUUAUCUAAAUCUUUUAAACCCUGAAGCCAUGUACUAGUAGAACUGAGGGAAAUAGCCUAGAAUUUUUCUUGUCAUUUACAGAGAUGACAGACUUUAAAAUCUGAUGGCUUUUUCAAAAGCUUCUAACAAGACCUAGAACUUGCCUGGCUCCAUUUAUCUAGCCAAGAGACAUUUUUAUGAUUUAUCCAUAGAGGUUUUUAGAAGAACCUUACAUAUACUGUCUAAAUUAAUGAUAUUCCUUUCUCUUUCCAUGACAAAAAGCACUCUACACUAUAUACAUUAUGCUAAAGGUUUUUUUUAACAUGUGGACAUAUUCUAUAAAAGCAUUUUCAGUUUCAUCAUGUUGACAAGCUGAUUCUAUUAAAUCACCCACCAUCAUCAUGUUCACUUUUUUUCUUCUUUUUUGAAAAGUUAGAAAACAGUGAUCACAGAGUUUUCAAGGCAUUCACUUUGGCUAAAAUAAAUCCAGAAAAACAUGAGUCUGUUCCUUGAACUGGAAAGAAAGAUAUGUCAUUCUCUCUUCAGUCUUUCUCUUAAAACUACUUAGGAUAAGGAAGGAGGCCAUAGCUCUUUUGAAAAUUUUUCCAGAAAACUGAGAUUUUUAAAAUGUUCUGAACAUAGAUCAAAUGUUUCUACCUCAUUAUUUAUUAUGUAUUAUUAUUUGUUACUUAAAAUAGGCAGUGCAAAACAUUGAAUGAAUGACAUGAAAGGGUUUCAUUCAAAGAUUUUUGACUAUACACCCUCAGAUAUAUUGCUAUUCAAUAAUAUUUUAGAGUCACGCUGCUGUUUUGAAUUAGGGCAGAAAUAUCCCUACUCCUCCCAACCCUGUGCUUUCCUUACUGAGAGAGAAUAAUCAUAUGAUCACGCUGCUGCUGGAUCAUUUAAAGCAUUGAGUAGAAGUGUGAAAUGAGAGAAAAAAUGCCCAGUAUGGGGUUAAUUAGCUCUGUGGAGUUGUGGGUGGGUCACUUCCUCAGGACCAAAUCAUGCAGGAGGAACUAUGCAUAUGCAGACUUACAGAAUAAAAAGAAAGACAUAAACCUUCAGACUCUGGGGCACAAAUUGAUUGGAAACAAGAAAGGAAGUCUUAUGUGCUGUGAGUCCUUUGGGCUCCAUUGGUCAGAGACAAAUGGUCUUCCCUUAAAGUGUCUGGUACAGGCCACUGUCAGACACUGAAAAUAAAUCCAUGGUUUAAGAAAGCCCUGGCAAAAGUGACUAUUUUUUUUAAUUUACCUCUGUUGAUCCUUUAUAAAUUAAUAUCUUCUCAGUUUCCUUUAAUGUGCCUUAUUUUCCAGGUCUUAUCUUGGAAACAACCUAAUUUCUUCCUUAAAGCAUGGGUGAAGAAUCUUUUAUGAUUUCAUCAUUGUGUCUCACAGACUGCUACUGGUUCCCUGCCUGCGGAGAUCAGUUCAGCUAUAGUUUGGCCUGAGGGAUUCCUACUAGGUUGUUUACAGCCUAAUCUUUUCAUGAAGUGGGAGGUGAAAGAGCACACAGAAAACAUUCUCAGUUCCUAGAUCCUUAAUAGGUGACUACAAGAAUUCAGAUGUUUACAAGGAAAUCUCACCAGCCAGGUUUUCCAGGACAGAAAGGCAUUGUAAAAUCUCAUUGAGAACUUGCUAACAAAAACCAGGAACCAAUGGACAUAAACCAUAAGAAAAACACUUUCGAUGAAUAUGUUAAUUAAGUUUCAGUGCAAACCAUUUGUGUUUUUUUGUUUCUACCCAAAUUACCCUGACAUUAUUUAGAAGAAACUUCAUAAAGUAUAUGGACAGAAAGUCCCAAAAUGUUCAUAACUUUUGAAAGGAAACAUAUGAUGUAUGCAUAUUUCUAUAGAUAUUUUUAUUUGAUCUCAAAUGGGGAAGCAGAUGAACAGCUGGAGAAUUUAAAGAGUCUGGGACAGAACCCACUACCACCACCACCCUCUCCCCCCACACAAACACCAAAUAUUUCCCUCAUUACCUGUAAAAUAAACUUGAAUGUAGAUCUUGCAAUGACAGUUAAGAAAAUGCAAAUUCCUUUAAGAGGAAGUAUUAAAACAAUUGCAUUAAUACAUUUUUAGAAAACUGAGAGAAGGUUGUGGUUGGGGAGGAUAGAGAGCUGACUGAGAAUGUCUCCAAAGAAACAGUCCCAGUCACUUUUGUUCCUUUUUCUUUAGCUGCCUGAUGAUAGGGAUGUGGAUGUGGAAAUAAGAAGAGAUGGAAGGAGGGAGACGGAAUAAUAAGCUUUAUGAAUUCUAAUAACCCAUGUUAUCAGCUUAUUGUGUCACAGCUUUUCAAAAUUCAAGUUGCUAGUUAGCUUGACAACAUUGCUGUUCAGUUCAUUCCUGUCAUUUGAAAAACAUAAGCAAUGGCUACAUGCACCACCCAUUAUCCUAGUGAGGUUGUCAAAGUUAGCUUUAUGCUGACUUUAUUUUCUGUAGUUCUACUGAACAAAAUGUUUCUUUUGAAAGGUUUUAGACCUCUAUCCUCCCAACUCCUGAUCACAGUAAUAAUCAACCUCAAGAAGUCAUUAGUGAAAACUAGAACAAUCUCCUAUAACAAGUAGAUGCAGAGAAAUUGGCAUAGUUUGUGUCUUUGAUUUGUGUUCUUAUAAAAAUAAUGGGUUGCAAGAUAAAACUACAUUUUUCUCUCUCUGUCUCUUUUUUAACUGGAUCUUUAGAAGUUACACUGGAGCUGAGGUUUUGUUGUUUCCCCCCCCCUUACAAAGGUGGAAUAAUGCUCAAAGGUUUUAAUAACCAAAGUCCAUCUUUAGAAAUAGCUUUCUUCUAUAAUGUACUGCCAAUUUAUUAUGUGUGUGUAUUUUGACCUUCCUGCUUUGGGCUGCCUGUUGAUUGGUACAUGUUAGUGCUUUGCUUAUAAGAGUUGGGCAAUAGUUCAGUGAUCCAGUCCAAAUCUGGGCCAUAGAUAGAAUGGGCUCAUCUUCUAUUUAAGAAAUGUGGCAAACUGCUUUAAAUGCAUUUAGUUCAGACAAGGUCAUUGAAACUGUUCAUCUGACCCUGUGUGCUGUAUGUAAUGGACACUUCUACUGAGCUCCAAAGCUGCAAGGUAAAAGGACAAGAAAGCCAGUAACUUGCCACCCUGGCUAGAGCUUCUCCGGGAGUCUGUUAUUGGAUUUGCAUUCUUAAUCAUAUGGGGCCCACGUUGGUCAUUUAAAGGAGUUGUUCUAUGGUUCUUUUGCUGUCUUUGAAGAUAGUCCUGGGAAUAAUAAAAGUGAGUUCUUAUAUACUGAACUUUUUCUAACUUUUUCUUUAAUUGGAAAUUGAGUUUAUAUGCAUAGUCAGUACCAAGUUUAUGAAAUAUUCAGCUAAAUUUCUUAGAUGUAAACUAAUAAAUUGUUAAAAUGUUUUCCUCUAGCUAAUCAUUAUGUCAAAACUAUAAUAGAUUCAUGUACAUUUUUCUCCAAUUUUAUUUGUGUCAUAUGCACUUGCCAAACUGAAAUGGUAUAGAAGUACCAUAUACAGUAUUUUGAAUUUAAUAGCUAUCUGUAUUGCCUAAUCCUUUUUUAAUUUUACAGUGUAUUUUACUAACCUGUGGCUCUGUAUAAUUUUUAGGUUUAACAUGUUAUAGGACUUUGUAGAAUCAUAUGGAGCAAAUCAAGUCUAGAGAGGUUAUUGAAUUCAUCCCCCUGACUGGAGAAAGAACUGCAUUUAUUCCAUACUAAAUAGAUAAAGAUCUUUCCUAUCUUUAAAGAGCUAUGAAGAAAGAAAUUUUCUAACUUCUCUUACCAAUCUAUUUGAUUAUUUAGCACUUUCAUAUUUAAAAUGUUCCUCUUAAAGUCUUAAAUUCUUCACUGGACAGUUUAAUAUCAUUUUGCCUUAGGACAAGAAUGCUGAUCAUUAUCCUCUUUGUAAACAGAAAACUAUGACAAAUAUACAUUAGCUCUUUUUUCCCUAAGCUAAAUUAUCCCAUUAAAAAAAUUUACUUUUGCUCUUAUAACUCUUUUCAGUGGCACAGGGGACUAUUUUAAAAACUUCUGUCAUAUAUGAUGUCUCUGAGAAAGGCACUGCAUAUUUUAAUUUCACCAUGCUGAUGUGGAAAUAGCCACAGCUUGUUCAUUAUAUCCUGAUGGACAGAGCAUUUGUGUUCAUUUAACCUUGAGGUUUAAACUUGUUCCCAAAAAAGUAACUGACUCAUAGCAUUGGCUAGAGCCAUGAAUAAAGAGCAUCAGUUUUCCUAAUCUUUAAGCUCAUCUUGCCCUCACUCCUAAAAUGCACUAAAAUUAACUUUUCCUUGACCUCUCUCUGGUGCUAUUUAUUUACUGAUUUAACAACUUUUUUUUCUAUCAUCUUUGUCUCCUAAAAUAGAUGGACGGCAUUUAUUCAACAAACAUUGGAGUGUCAUGCUGUGUUUAACACACUAUGCUAGGCUUUGAGAUUCAAGUGUGAACUGUUAGCAAAGGCUCAGAGACAUAGAUGUUCUCACAUGCUCAGGGAGGAGGAAAUGGGCUGUCACAGUAUAUAAAGAAACAAUGGAGGAAAAACAAUUUUAAAAACUGGAGAGAUGGGGUGGAGCCAGAUUGUGAAAAGCCUUAGAUUCUCUUAAACAUCUAGGAGGUAGUGACAGAAUGAAAGUAACUUUUUCCAAUCUAUAUUACAGAACACUCUUUCCAAAUCUUUAGAACAGACUUUGCCCAUGUUGUCCUCAUGAUUUAAUAGCUACACAUCAUUAGGUACAAGUACCGACUUAAUUUAUAUAUUUUGAUAUAACUUUAGUGAUGUAAUUUUGCUUGUUGUAUUGUUUUUAAACCAUUUGAGGGAACCAUUUGAGUAAAGAGAGUCUUCUGUUCACACUGAUCUGAAUGUUUCUUUCUCCCUCCUGCUGUGCUCAUAUUUAUUCCAAAGCCCUCUGUGCCGCUAAUAUGUUACUUUCUGUGUUUAUACACCAAGUAAACUUGGGAUAAGCUUGCCCUGUAAUAGGCAUAAUCUCUUUGUACCAAACGACAUUAAUGGUAGAUUGUGAGCAGAAUUACAACCAAGUGCCUCUGAUUAGACCACCUGAUAGCAUCACUCGGAUGCUUCAGAGUCACCUAAAGAGUAUCAAUUUACUGUUGAGUCAAAGAUCAUAAUACAUCAAUCCUUCUGAAAUCUAUAAAGCUACAACCUCAGGAAUUUGAGAUAUGGAGAGAAAAGUUAUUUGAAAUCAGAUUAUAAAGUCUUCCUAAAAAUCAUAAUGCUAAAGGUUUGGGUCUAUUUUAGGAGCUAAAAUCAUGCUAAAUGUAAAGAGAGGUAAGGCCCUAACCACCCCUCCCAGCACUACAGCUUUCUAGUUUCUCAGGCCCCUGUACCUGUAAGAAUCAGGAAGGGUAGGAAGACUUGUGCAAGGUGGAGUGGAGUGUUAACAUUGUAUCUUGGCAAUGUCUCAGUUUCAGAAAUAGUCCCAGGCCUACUUGCUGAACUUCGGUUUUAAAAUCCUCUCUCUCUAUUGAUCAUUAUUUUAUUCAUCAUCUAAAUUGUUGAAUGUAGACAUCUUUCAGGGUUGUAAUCAUAGCAUCUUUAUGAUUCCUUUAUCAUUCGUCUGAAAAUGAAUCCAAAAUAAUACGAUCUUGAAAAGCAGACCUUAAGGUAUGAAUGACCAUUUGUGGCACACAUAGUCUUUUAUGACUGGCUAAAAGAAAUGAAAAUACCUAAGAAACUUAUUCAUAAGAGAUGCUAAAAGAACUAGUAGGAGACUGUGAAUGCUCUGUAUGAACAUUUGAAUAAGCUUUGUCUGACUUUAACUUGUAAACUUUUGCUAGAUUAGAGAAUUAAAAACUCCUGAAACCAAGAUGUAUGAAAUGUCAUUAAAUCUAGCACAAAAUUUCUUGAAUAUGUCAGAUAAAGGAAAUCAUAUAUCCAGAGUGAAGAUGGAAUAUCAGUUGACAAGAAUCUACAUAGCACUUACUCUGAGGCAUAUGAAUCUAAAAAUCCAAUAAUGUCUUACCCUUUGAAAAUACUGGAAGUUGGAAAUGUAUUAGGAAAAUCGGUAAAAAUUUUCUUCCUACUAUUUGGAAUGAUUCCCACAUAAGAAUUCAAUACAAUACUUCUAGAAUAUUAAAGAGAUAUUAAAACAUCUCUACCUGUAGAAAACAAAAAUAUAAACUCACCUGACUUCUAAAGAGAGCAGUGGAAUAAAAUAGAUUGGGAAGAUUAAAAACAAGUCCUUUUGGCCCACCUUUUACCAAAACACUUUAAGCUAGGUAAAUGUUGAACUUCAGUUCAUCUAAAUUCCUCAGGUCUGUCAUCAGUUCUGUGACACAUUCUAAUGUUCUGAAUCAUUUGUGGUGAAUAAGCUCUCCCUUUUCUUCUUAUAGUGCUUAAAGUAACCAAUUUUGUGAGUUAUGAUUACUUAUUUUUAAAAAUUGAACUAUUGUUGUUUUCUCUUAGCAAAGUUGUCUAUCACCCAGUGAGUCCCAAGUGUAGAAAAGCCCUUGGCCAGUAACAUUGCCUACGCUUGGAGUUAGUUAAAAGGAAUGAGAGACUGACAACCCAGAUUCCGUUUUUAACCCAGCCAGAUACCUCAGCUGGCAAGCGGCUCAGCGCCCUCACCAUAAAAUGGGUAUAAUAAUAGCUUUCCUUACCACUGUGAAAUAUUUAGAAUGCAAUCAAGCCAAACCUGUCUCCUUCCAAAGAAAAGCUUAAACCACCCUGCAUAAUCCUGAAUGAGCCCAGAUUUUAAAGGGAAGCAUAAAAUGGGAAACACCUAGAGGUAGUAUAAUUUAGUGGUUAAAAAAAAUGUAGACUUUGGAAUAAUACAAACUUACAUGCUAGCAGCUGUGUGAUUUGAGACUAAAUUUUUUAAAUCCCCCCUCCUAAUAAAUUGUAAAUAACAGUAUUUUCUUAGUGAGGAUUAGAUGAUAUAGUGUACCAAUGCUUCUUAAACUCUUCCACUUGGAUUAUCCUCAAGAUAGUGAUCUGAGUGCCUGCUGAGACAUCGCCAGACACAGUGGACUUUUCAGUGAGGCCUCAUUUGUCGCUUUGAAAAUACAUACAAAUUUUGCUUUCUACUCUGUAGUAUAUUCUUAUGUUUCACCAAAUUGGAAAUUCUACAAGGACAAGACAGAAUCUAUUGUGUUUCUUCUAUAACAUCCAAGAAACAGUUAUUGGCUAGAAGAAUGAAUUACAAUAAGAAUUUAAGUUGCCCGCAAAGAAAACUGAUCCUCCAGGAAGUCAGGCAUGUCUUAGUAAUUCUGUAGCUUUGGGCACUCCAUGUUACACUCUCCAUACCCUAGGUAUACACAGAGUCAAACUGAAGAAGCUUUUACUUACCAAGAUGCCUGAAACCAUAUAAGGUACUCAGUAAAUUUUAGUAACUCUUUUUAUCAUUAUAAUUUCUCUGCUCCAUGCUUCUCUACCAUAGUAUAGGUAUGGAUCUAUGGACAAUUUAAAAAACAAAUUAUAAAAGGCUUCGAAGAUAGGCUCCUGAGAGGCAUUAAAGAAGCCCACGUGUCUCUGAGCACACAUGCUCACCCACUUAGAGCUCUAUUUCUUACAUGUCUUCCUUACUUCUGGCUUCAGCCUGUUGUGUUUUGUUAAAACUUCCUGAGGGCAAUGAGCAGUGAGAUUUAAAAAGGGGUUUUCUACUCUCCCUCAAGGUCAGGGGUAAGUAACCUGGGAUUCGUAAAUGAAUCUUCAUGGAGUCUGGGAAUUCCUUGAAACUUGGUAUUUUUGAGGAGUUUUUCUGAGGGAGGGAUUUGCAUAGGAAUCUGUUUUUCCUUUUUUUUUUUUUUUUUUUCUGGUACCGGGAAUCAAACUCAGGACCUUGUGCUUGUGAGUCAGCCGCGGUGCCACUGAACUAAAUCCCCCGCCCCUUGCAUAGGAAUCUGUAUCACCUCCAAAUGUUGGAAACCACUGCUACAAAAAUUGUGUAAAUUGAAAGUAGAAGUAACUAAUCUUUAAAAUUACAAGUAGUAAUACUUUUAGUUCCUUGAAUACUGACAUUGUAUAACAAUUUCUACUUGGAAAUCAUGAGGCUUAGACUCCACUGUAAGUUACCUCUUUUGCUUAUCUCUUUGCAUAAGCCCCCACCAUUAUGUUUUAAUGCCCUGAAUUAUUUGGCCUUUAUAGUUUGAUAUUCUCUACUCUUUUACAUAUCUCUGUGUUGAUCCUAGCAUGCUUAUUGUGAAUGUUUUAUGGAAAGCUCUUUGAAUUUUAGAUAAAAAUAAUUUACAGACAUAUAAGGUGAAUAUCUUUGAAAUAGAAAGGGCAUAUAUCUAUAACAUAACAAUUUGAACUGAACAAAAGUAAAUCUCUGCAGAUUAAUACAUAUUCUUAAAUUUUAAACACGUAUUGUAAUGCAAUCAAGAAGUAGGAGUCUUUUGAUGUUAAUGAACAUUUAUGAAUUGUAUAAAUCUGUGAGAUUAAAUCUUAGUCUUAGUAUUAAAUUUGGGAUCAGUAUUAUUGGUUUGCAUUAAUAUAUAAGGACAAUUACAUUCAAACAAAUCUUCAAUUUAACUUGGUUUUAAAUUGUGUUAGACUGUGACAUAUACUGUGAUUUUUCUCUUCAUCUUGGAUUCCUGUCAUUGACAGCCUGUGUGUCAUUUGACAUCCGGAAAGAUCAUUUUUCAUUCCAUACCUUGUUUGUAUUAGUCAAUUUAGGUACACUUUACAUUGAUCUCUUUUGAUCACAUCAAAAUUAAUUUUGACUAAUUUCAUGAAUAAAAUGUCCAUUGAAAUUUAGAAAAAGUUACAUGUUUAGACAUAUGAAUAUAAAUACUAAGUAUAGUCAAAAGAGCAUAAUAUAUUACUGAAAGUUAUUGGAUUUAUAACAUGCCAUAGAAAAGUGGAAACUUAACAUAUGUUUUAGAAAAUUGCUAACCAUAUUUUUUUUUUCUCCUGAAAGGUUGAGAAAGAAAGCAACCUCAAAAAAGUGGUGGAGAGGGGGUUAGAGAGAAAAAAGAAAGAAAAAAAGGAGAGAAGGAAACAGGGGAAAAGUAAGAAAAGAUGCUUGAGCUCAAUAGUUGGGUAUCUUGACUUGUAGAAAAGACAAAACUUAGAGCCUUCAAGUAGCAAAACUUAGAGCCUUCAAGUCUUUGAAUACUAGUUUUUAUUUUGUGUUUCAAAUUUGAACAAACUUUCAAUAAAUCAUAUACAUAAUCUGAUUAUCUUGCUUAAACUUUCAUUAAACUCAUCAAUUUUGUGAAACAAUUUGAAAGCAUGGGAGACCCCCAAACUCUCUUACGUUAGCAUGUAUCAUGAUCCAGGCUGCAGAUUUUCUUAACUCUUCUCAUCCCGGUAGGGGACCACCACCCUUCUCACCUGAAUGUACUUGGGCAGGUUUCACAUUGUCCAUGCACAGGAAGCCAGUUCUUUGGAAAUUUCUACAGUGAUGACGUUGUCCAGAAAACUUGAUGGAAAUGAAGUCUCUAUAACUGCUAGUUUUCUGCUUCAGCCUUUUUCAGUACAAAGUUAUUUUAUCAGGUCUUUCUACUUGACCACCUUUAAUGAAGUUUAUUUUGCAUAUUUUUGGAUGCAUUCUGUGAGUGGUUAAAAAUCAUCGUAUCAGAGAGACAAGAAUUCAAUCAGUAUGUGUGAAGUCCUUGAUAUGUUAUAGUGGGGACUUAACUAGGAUAACUUGAUUUAUUUUUCUCACUCCGAUUAUUUGGCUCAUUAAUUUCUUACAAAUUUUUUGUUACCCUGUUUGUUUCCUUCUAUAAGAAAAUCCAUCAAAAUAACGGUGGACAGACCAGUCCUAUGAUAAGUUGUUUGGCAUAUGAUUUAAAGAUUCUAAAGGAGAAUUUUUAGAUUUUAAAUAUAGAAUGGGGAAAUGUUAAUCUCCACUCCUACUAUGCCUAUAAUUUUUAUCAUUAGAGAUGAGAUUGCAGGCACAAACACUGCAGUUUAAAAUCACUUUGUCAUAUUACUUCCUACUAGGCUGGUGAGAUGGGUGGAGGAGGCAGGAUCAGAGUGGGAAGCCAGGACACUGAGGCCAACUUGGCCAAGUUCUCAGUGUUACUGAAGGUCAGCAACCCAUGGACGUGCCAAGCUGUCUGGAGGAUCUGUGAGGAAUUUAUGCUACUGAAUUUACCAUUAAAGAACCAAAUUUUUAUUAGGAUUUAACUUGUCUUUGCCAAAAUUGGCUAAAGUUGAUGAGGUCCUAUGUGUAAGCACAGCUUUUACCUAUUUUAGUUAGUGCUCCCCAUUAGAACUUUUUGCAGUGACAAAUGUUCUGUUUCUGUGCUGUCCAGUAAGGCAGCCACUGACCACAUGUGGCUGUUGAGCCCUUGGAAUGUGAUUAGUGUGACUAAAUUUAACUAAAUGUUUAGGUUUUUCCAUUAAAUUUUCAAGAAUUUAAAUUUUUAAAAAGUAAUGGACUGGUGGUUGUUGUGUUGGACAUUAUGGUUCUAGAACAGAUACGUUCUGACACAGAUCAGAAUCAAAUUGACUAUGAAAGAUCUUGGCAUUCCUUGUGCUGGGAAGUACUGUGUCAGUUGUCAUAGCAAGGGUCACAGCUUUGGAAAUUUUAUGUGAGGCUGAAUCUCUUUUAUUUUGAGCUACAAGUGACAAAAUGGUCUCCAUUGAGAAAAAAGAGUUCCACUGACACUUAGACUUGUUUUUCUUUUCCCCACUGUAUCAUUUAGUUUUGUGUUUAAUUCCUUGGUUUUUUUCUUUGUUUUUCAGUUCCUUGACCAUCAGUUUGUCACCUGCCCCUUCUCUUUAUGUAAGUAAAAGUGGUUUAUUUACCUUUUAAAAAGUUAUGUCAGAUUUGGGGAAUUUUGGUCUUUAUUGACAUCUUUGCUAGCUGACUUGGCCUCUAGCAUUUGUUUGGUGUGUGUUAGCUUCUUUCGUGUUUGGAGUUGAGGCUGUUGGUAGUAGUGGUAUGUUACCAUCCAGGUGGGAGCUGAAAAGACCAGCAGCCCAAGCUCCUGUUCCUAUAUAGACUGCCCUGUACUUGGCCAUGUUGCUAAUUUCAAAGGUCACUGCUCUUCUAAACUGCGGCUUACGUUUUUCUAUCAGUUAUCAGCCAUGAGUUGGGCUAUCAGUGAGUGCACAAUUAUUUAUUCUGCAGUUACUCACCUAUCUAUAGAUCCAACAGUUUUUAAUUUUAACUCCUAGAUCAGAGAUGUCUUUUUACUAAGGAGUAUAAGACAGAAAAUUGAAUAGACUAAAUUUUUGUGCAAAAUUUUUAAAGUUGGGGGAGAUUAAAAGAAAUCUAGGAUUCAUAUGUGCCAAUAGGCAUAUAAAAGAUACCAUUGUAUUUUAGAAAAAAAUGAGAAGUUAUUUGGGAAAAAAACAUUUGAUUUUAAGUGAAAAAAUUUUUUAUUGUUGUUAUUAUUAAUAGAACCAAACCAGGCUAAACUGCUAGGGUUUGGGUUUGAAUAUAUAUUACUCUGAGUUUCUUGAAAGAGGUUCUGGGGCAGCAAAACCAAAAGAUCAAAGUCAGUACAAGAGACACUGCCCAAGAAAUCCUACAGUGAGUGACAGUCACCUGAUGUGAUAAAUAAUCAUCAGCAUCCUUCUGGCUGCAUCUCACCCUCUGAUGCAUAUUGUCCAUUAAAAAUUAUGUCUUAUUUCACUGACUCUUUACUCCAAAGUAUUUCAUGUGUUGUAAUCAUCUGUACAAAGAGGAGGUUAGCAUGGCUUUUUUCCUUAUGUGUAGCUUCCACUAAUAUUCUUAGGAGCUAAUAGCAAAUAUAUUUAGGGGACCUGAGUCCUCCAAAGGAUUUUAAGGCUAAAGUCUAGUUUGACAUUUUAUUUGACAGAGAAAGGCUGGUGCUAUAUGUAAUGCAUUCAUACAGCAGGGGUGGGUCCUACCUUCCCCUGACACGUCUUGUUAUUCCCUGUUCUUGAUGUUGAUAGAGUAGGUCUGUUAAGGCUUUGGAAGAUGUCAGUGUGCAUACUUAUUGUUACCACUUUAUUUAUUUACAUCCUUCUCCUCAGUUACCCAGCACUGCAUAUUUCUAGUCUUCUGACUGGCAAAUCAUUUUUUGUUACAGUUCUUUUGUGUAAAACCAGUUCACAUAAUAGCUCUGUGUUAGACAAGGCAUUAAUCCUCACAUCACCAGAAUGAGUCAGCACCAUGCACUCCUGCCUGCACAGCUCAGCUAUUAUGACGUCAGUGCUUGAGGGCAAGCUUCAGACACAAGCAGUAUGAGAGACCUGUGUCACCUAUUAAAAAUCGAGGAGGAGAACUUUGAGAUAAAAGAUAUAAUUGAAAGGCUGUGUCUGGCUCAUAGAAAAAUGUAAAAUUGAUUCUGUGCUGCAUCAACCAUCAGUCAAGCAGCUUCUUGAGAGAUGGAAUUUUUUUAACCAGAUAUAAGAGGAGGGCAAAGACCUAUGGUAACUUGAUAAUCCGUUCAUAUACUCAUGACCUUGUCCCACCCUGGGACAUAGUUCAUGCUUGCUUGAAUUUUUCCAAAUUCUGAGGUUGCUUUUAUGCCAGCAAGGUGACGGUCCUGCUGUCCUCAAAUGCCCUGUGGUUGUGGCUGAUGGCUUCAGGGAUUGAGCCUCAGAGGCCCAUCAGAAAAAAAGGAACCAUUUCUUGCAAACAGAUCAGAACAUUAUCUCACCAGUGCUUCUCACUCCAAGUGCCUCUUCAGUGGCCUUCUCUGGAUAGGUGCAGAAUUCAGCAGUUUUGACCUCCCUUAGGCACUACAUUUAGUCCAAUGUCCCAAUCUGCAUUUGACCCCAAUUUCAAUAGUAACUGAAUAGCUGCCAGAUUUUUCCCAAGAGUUUUCCUUUCAAUUAGUCUUUUACAGAAACAAACAAACAAAUAAAAAGGAAUCCACCAUAACCUACCGUGCUGUUUUGAAGCAGGUAGCAGAGAGUCAUCCUAUGUGGGAAACCCUGUUCUUAUAAGUUAGGCCUCUCCACAGUUCAGACUGAGACACAUCCUUUAGACAGUGCCUUUCAGUAUUGAAAACCACAUUGUAAAUGGUGAUAAUUUACUGCCUUAGUGAUAUUCUCUGCUUUAAAAAAAGACAUUCCGGGCUAGGGAUUUAGCUCAGUGGUUCUGCCACAUUCCCCACAAGCACAAGGACCUGAGUUCAAUCCCCGGUACCAAAAAAAAAAAAAAAAAAGACAUUCCUCCAUCGCAGCAUCCAUGUCCCUGCCUUACUCUUACCCCAGCCAAUUAAUCACCAGCCUCUUUGAUAAUCAUCAGAAAAUGCCUUACUGCUGGGCUCUUCCACCUUCAUUAGAUUGAUAAUAGUCUCCUACCAUGCUUAUAAAAGCUAAUACUACUGUUUGGCUUAGUUUUGAUUCAUUAUGCAUAGAUCUUUAUUUUGUUUUCAGUUAACCAAUGUUUAUGGAAAACUUGUUACUAUACUAUGUUCUGGGAACUCCAAAAUAAAUAAGACAUGAUCCUUUUUAAAAAAUGUUACAGUAUAAUAGGGGAGAAAAAUAAGUGAAUAAAGACUAUCUUAUGUGAUAGGUGUAGGAGUGUAGGUACACCCAAGAUGUAUGAAGAAGAAUGAGAAAGGAGUGCCCGUCUGCAUGUGGGGAGGUGUCCAAGAUGAUUCUUAAAGUCAAAACAAUGAAUAUCAGUAUACCAGCUGGAUAGAGGAGAGGUAAAAGGAAGAGGAUUCAUAAUCAAGUAAAACAUGAGAACAUUUAUAAAGUCAAGAGGCAUCAAGUUAUAGCCAGGUCCAUAGGACUGAUUGGUUUUGUGUUGCUGGAGCUCAGUAAGUUGAUUAAAAGAGUAGCAUAAGAGAUGGAGGUGGGAAAGCAGGCAGGGGGAAGAUCACAAAAGGCCCUUGUAUACCAUGCAAAGGAGUCCGGACUUCCUUCUUCAGGCUCAAAGAGAUUUUAAAGAAUUUAAAGAAAAUUUACGUUUUGGAAAGAGCACUCUAUUGUUGAGAUGGCUGACUGAGAAUAGGGAAACCAGGUCAAAGGUGAAAACCAAGGGCCCCAACUGUUCAGUUAGGUCUGGAGUAGAACAGAGAGGCUAUUUGGGAGUAUUGACAUAGGCAUUAACAUUUGCAGAAUUCCAGCAUAUCUUGGCCCACUGCAUAAACCUGCCUUCUAGGAGAAAGGUUAAUAUGUUGAAUGAGGCCAAAUUUCAGACCAAAAUACAUCCUUAUGGGAGCUUCACGGGAGAAUCUCUCUCACCUUACUCUGAGCUGCUGGUCUCCAGGAUUGUGCGUAUCCUGCCCAAAGUAGGCAUGAGGCAAGAGGAAAGGGAGCAGAUAAGAAGAAAAUGUUGCUUUUCUUUCACCUGAAAAUCAAACCAUUUCCUAAUAAUGUCUCCUUAAAGUCAGUUAAUGCCCCAAUUUCCUAUUGUUUUCCCAUUGCUGCUUUUUCCAAGCAGAAUUUUCAAGCCAUUGAACUGAAUUGCAACUUAUGCACAGCCCGGGUGUUGAAAUAGUAAAGUAUAUUCAUCCCUUCUCUCUGAAUGAGAGUUCACCAUAAGUGUGCUUUUCUCUUGUUCACUUUGGGCUUCCAGGACAGUUUAAAGGAAAUGUUCAACAGCUUAUGUCUCACGUACCCUGUUCGCGAGACAAACGGGAAGAUUUGCGUGGGUGUGUUUAAGUCUUCUCUAUAUUGCUUCCUAGAGAAAGGUUUGAGAAGAUGAACAAGAUGGGGAGUAGGGACCUACUGAAAGCCCAGGUCUCUCAGUGACCUGAGUGCAGAACAUAGGCUGGUGAUCAGAUGGUCAAUUAUGUGUUUGUCAAAACACAGUGGGCUGCAUUCCAGAUUGCCAGCUUUGGAGGCCCAGUUUCUGCCAACCAAAUGUCAUCUGGGAACAUGCAACACUGGGCACUGUGAAGGAGUUUGAAAUAGACCACGCCACAGCCAACCUACUGCCACUCUUAUAGCACCAAUAUGGCAUGCACAGCCGGGCCCCAUGUUUCAGAGCUCAGGAAUUCACUGUACUAAAUUCAGGAGGUCAGAUGGGUUCAUGUUUUCAAAGCCUAUGUUCUCUGCUUUGAACACUGUGACUUGCUGCUCAACAAUUUCCAGGGGAUUUUUCCAGUCCCCUGUCUGUGGAAACCACUCUUUUUGUGAUGGUUAUGAGAGCCUUGUAAAUGUCCUGGAGGAAAAGGAAAAAAAUAAACUUGCUCUGACAAUGACUGUGAUUCCUACAAGGGAUUCCAACUCUUAGGAAAUUACAUUAAAGGUGCAUAGCUUUUAAAAUAUCAGGAACCACCUUGGCAACUUAUGAAAAGCAGAAGGGCUUUGCCUAUUUUAUAAAGUGAUUUGCAUAUACCUGCAUAAAUAAUGUCCCCACCUGUACUUUUAUGCAUUUAGGUUGAAUAAAUUAAAUUCAGUGAUCUUUAAAAUAUUCACUGUCUUUCAUUGCUAAGACUCCAUUUUCAGGACCCUUCUCUCUUUUUUUUUUCUUGUAGUGGUAGUGGCUUAUUUUUUUUUCCCAGCUAAUUCAGAGAAUCAAAACACUGUGCAGACCAGUCUACCACAGCCAGGAGUAUCGUCUCCCGCUGCUUGAAUUUCCCUUAGUUUUCUAUCUAUCGAGCCAUGUCCCAUAUACUUUUCAAGCUAGAAAAUGGAGGAAUAUAUUACUAAGAUGAAAGCAUGGCACAAGAUAGGAUUAAGCUCUGCUACCUAUAUGUAUAUUCAGACUUUUCUUUCUUUGAGCACUGCCAUAGCCCCUUCAGAAACAAUCCAGCUACCUAUCCCAUAACAAUUUUAAGUCGGGCCUUCAAACCGAAGCCUGGCUCAGUAGGCCAGUCUCAGCCACAGUCAUUCCAUAAGAUAUUAUUAAGCACUUAUUAUGUACAAAGAAUCAUGUCUAGUGGAGAAUUAAAACAUAAAUACAGGAUAUUGACCUUAUUGUAAAUGAAUUUGAAAUUGAGUUAGAAAAGAAGUUAUACUGUGGAGUAUUUUGUAUGUUCAUAAGACGGUAAAUGUUGAAGUUGCACAAAGAAUGAUUUAGUCCAGGAGGAACUAUAAGAUUUCAUUCUUGAGAUCUUGAGAGCUAGAAAUUUACAUAUAAAUGUAAAAUGUGAUUCAAAUCGAUCUUUAAAAGUGGCUAGAAUGCAAAAAAGAUAUGGAGAAUGAUAUUUCAAACAAAAGCACUGGGAUCUUUGAGCAGGUCUAUAAGUAGCACUGUUCUUCUUCACCCAAAUUCUAAACCCACUGAAAAAUGAGACAAAAGAAUUGAUAGCUGGGGAAUCAAAAUUCUGUAAAUGUUGGUUGAAGAGUAUAGGAAAAUGGGCUCACUGACUCCCUUCCCUUCACCAUGAACUUUGAAAAACUUUCCUAAGGGAUAAUUUGGACCUUCAUAUAACCAAUACUUUUCCAGGUCAUAAUUCCCACUAGUCUAAGUAGUAAAGAAGGGAGAAUGAGGCUAAACUGUACUUACAAACUGAUAGAUCAAUUCUAUGUAAAUGAGAAAUAUGGACCACAGGCUGUUUUACCAACAAGAUGAUUUGUUUCUAUGGAGAAGUAUAAGGAAUGAGGCAAGAGGUAAACAGUGUUCAGAAAACUUGUUUGUGGAAACUCGGAAUAAGGAAGAUAUAGUCUUAACCAACAUGAAGAUCCACAAGCUGGAAAAUAGGAGCAAGUGAGAUGAACUAGAAGUGGGAUGAAAAUGCAGAACCAAGAGGCUAGAAAAUUUUUUCAUCUGUCUAAGGGGUACCCCUGGGACUAGAAUCAGCAGUCAUUGUGGUUAGCCAAGUGGUUAUACUGAGGACUGCUUUUGGGUGUCUCAAAGUUAUUAGCAACAGAACCUGGAGUAACAGGCAAACAUAAAUAAAUAAAUAAACCUAUUAGGAAAAGAAACACAAACACUUGUAUCUCUUAUUAAACUAAUAACAACAAUAGGACAUAAUGUGGACAUAACAUUUAUUGAAUACUUGCCUUGCUUUUGGUACUAGAUUAAAUACUUUUAAUGGCUAUCUGAUUUAAUUUAUAAAGCUAUAAUAUUAUGUAGAUGCUGUUAUAAUAGUUGUGCAGAUGAAGAAAUUGAGAUUUAGUAAUGUGAUUUUCUCCAGUAGUUCAGUGACCAACAUGAAAAGACAUAAGAAAUGUGUAUUUCAGUUCAAAUUAUGGUGGGGUUUCACCAGUGUUUGUAGACAGGAAUUGCAGUUUUAGUUUUUCUUUUUUGUUGUUUUUGUUUUUGUUUCCCAUCUUUGGUUCUAGCUGAGGCCAGUGUAGAAGGGCAGUGAAAAGGCUCAGCUAAAUUAUCCAAGCAUUUAUUGGGACCUACAUUGUGUGUGAUCCAGAAAAUACUUAGAUGAAUAAGGCACUAUCUCUGCCUUCAAAAAGCUCCCAAUCUAGGGUGGUCUGAAGGCUGCCAUCUGGCCCAAGAGACUAGGAGCAGUUGAUUAAUCUUUGCUAAAAGACAAGAGGACUCACAUCUCCCUUUUCUUUUUCUUUCUUUUUUUUUUUUGCUGGCUCCUUCCCUUCCUCUACUCUCCCUACCCUUUCCAUUCCCAGUCAUUGUUUUUUUUCCUCAAAAAAUAUCUCUCUGCCUUGUUGCCAAGCCUCUAAUAAGCUUCAAGCAUAUAUGAAUGACAAGUCUGAUUUUUCUCACUAUCAUUUUGCUAAAAUUUGACCAUUUAGAAGCAAUUAGAUCAUCUACUUGAAGUGGUGUAUAGCAUGAAUUUUCUCUAAAUUUUCAGAGCUGGCAUCUAACUAUUCAAAAGGUUAUUUAAGAGGAAAUGAGAGAUGAAGGAUGGGUAGGUUGGAGAGAGAAAAAAAGGAAAGAAAGAAGGAAAGGAAGGAGGAGAAAAAUGUAGGAAAAGAAAGAAGGCUAAUUACAGAAGACUUUUAGGGAGUUCAAAAUGGAACUCUGAUUUGAAAUGAAUAAAUGAGUUUCUGUCUCUAGUGUUGAUCUAAACCAUCAGCUUCCAGAGUGGAAACCUGAAGCAACCAGAAUAUUAUAGAUUGAUGAAAUUCCAGCUGCUGGCAGAUUUUUUUUUAGUUUUUAAAAAAAAUCAUAUUAGUACAUAUGUGCAGUAUAUGAUGAUUACAUUCCUUACAUGGAGUUGAUACAUGUCCAUAACACGUUUUAAUUUUUUCACCCCCUUUCCUUUCUCUCCCUUUGUACUCCCUCCAUCUCUUGAUUCCGUUCCCAUUUAAGAAAGAUCUAUCUUCCUCCUUUCUAUUGUCAAUCUUUUAUUUUGCACUUUAUUUAUAUUUUAAGUAAAAACCAUAUGACACUUAAACUUGUGUGUCUACUUUAUUUAACUUAGCAUUAUCCAUUUCCCUACAAAUGACCUGUUUGUGCUUCCUUAUGGCAGAAUAGUGCUCCAUUGUGUGUAAAUGCUACAUUUUCUGUACCCAUUCAUCUGUUGAUGAACAUAUAGGCUGCUUCCAAGAUUUAGCUACUAUGGAUUGUGCUGCUAUAAAUAUGGAUAUGCAUGUAUCACUGUAACAUGCUGCUUUUUGGGGAAGACACCAAGAAGUAGAGUAGCUGGAUCAAAUGGAAUUUUUAGUUUUAGUUUUUUGAGGAAUCUCCAUACUGAUUUACAUGGUGAUUGCAAUAGUUUACAUUCUCACCAAAAAUGAAAAAAGGUUCCUUUUCCGCACAGCAUCACCAGCAUUUUUAUUAUUUGAUUUUUUGAUGAUGGCCAUACUUUCUGAAAUAAGAUUAUAUCUCAGUCUUGUUUUAAUUUGCAUUCCAGUAAUGGCCAGCAGUGAUGAACAUUUCCUAAUGUAUUUAUUGGCCAUUAGUAUGUCUUCUGAGAAGUGUCUAUUCAUUUCAGUUUCCCAUUUUUUCAUUGUGUCUUUUAUUUGGGAAGUGUAACUUUUUUUUGAGUUCUUUAUAUAUUCUAGAUAUUAAUCCUCUGUGUGAGGAAUAGCUGACAGUUUAAGAGAAUAUAUAAAGAGGAUGUGAAGGAGGUGAAAAAUCCUAAUUUCUGGUAGAAUCCUUUCCUGAGAUUUAUUCUGAGCAUUAUAAAAUGAUACUUUAAGAAGAAGUAAUAACAUAAUGCCUUUCCUUUAUUGAAGCACAUUCUAUUCUGCUAAAUUCCCUUUAGGAAAUAACAUUAGGACCAUUUGAAUCAAAAUUAAAUUGCAGAUACAUCUGGGGUAAAAUUUACCAGCUGUUGAGUGAAGGAGCUGUAUUUUUUAAUAUUUACUUCUUAUAUGAUUGUAUAAUUUAUAAUUAUUAUAAAAUGUUAAGAAAGCAGAGAGUAAGCAGAAAACAUCCAUAAUCCCAUUACAUUGAAACAACCAUUAUUAACAAAUUUUUAGAUCACCUUCAAGUGUCUUUGCUAGACUUUAACAUAAUUGUGCAUAUAUUUCAUACAUAAGGUUGUAUCUUAUUUUUAAUUCAGUAUUAUUUUUUAAAUUUUUUCCAUUAAGUUUAUUGGUACAUUUUAGGUAUAAAAUACAGUUACAUUCAUCAUUGGGAUCUUGUACCUUUACAUGAGUAUCUUGGUUCUUAUUUUUUUCUCCUUCCCCUGCCCUCCCUUCAACCCCUCUACCCUUCCCUAUUUGCAAAGACUGUUUCCCUUUUUUUCCUUUUCUCAUAUAUUUUCUUUUCCCUUCUUUCCUUUCCCCUACCCCUCCCACUUCCCCUACUCCUUUAGACCUUUUCUUCCUAUGACACAAUCUCAAUUAUACAUUUUUUAAAUUACAAUAUCAAGAUCUAGGAGACAUUACCACAUAUUUUAUAGAAUUUAAAAGGAUAUAGAAGGCAUAUUACAAAAAUCUUUUUUGAAAUAAAUUUGACAACUUCUAAGAAAUACCUUGGAAGACAAAUUAAUGAAACUAUGGAGGAAAUAUAAAAUUUGAAUAGCAACUAUUAAAGAAAGUAUAUUCCCAGCUUGAAAACCUACCUUUAUGACAACAGCAGACUCAUAUACAUUUUAACUGAUAAAUUAUAUCAAACAUUUAAAGCAGAAAAAAGAAGGAACACUUCUCCCCUCAUUUUAGGAAAUCAACGUUGUACUAAUACUAAAACUGGAUAAAGAUAAUAGAAGAAAAAAAGUAUGAACAUACAUAAAAAUUUGUUUAACAAAACAAACUAUUAGCAGUCAGAUUUGGCAGUAUGUAGAAAGUGGUUUUGUUAUAGGGAUGGCAGUGUUGGUUCAGCAUUGGAAGAUCCACCCCCAAAAGUCAUCAUUUUAACAGAGGACAGGAAAAAGCCAUAUGAUCCUGUCAGUAUUUGGAAAAAAAAGUAUUGGAUUAAAUUCUACAGCUGUUCAUGGUAAAAACUAUCAGGAGACUAGAAGUAGAACAGUACCUUCUCAACAGAUCAAAGACAUGUACUCCAUACUUCCAGCAAAAACGCCUUAUAUAAAUGGAGAAGAUACAAUGCUUUCUCCCUAAGGUGAGGAACAAGGGAAGAUAGGCCUAUUCUUCAUCUGUCCAUUAAACUUUGAAACAUAGGCCCAAACCAAAAUAGUCUGGCAGGGCCGGGGAUUUAGCUCAGUGGUUCCGCUGCCUGCCUCGCAAGGGGAAGGACCCAAGUUCAAUCCCCGGUACCAAAAAAAAAAAAAGGGAACUGAAGCUCAGGCCAGGGAUUUAGCUCAGUGGUUCUGGCGCCUGCCUUGCAAGGGGAAGGACCCAAGUUCAAUCCCUGGUACAAAAAAAAAAAAAAAAAUCAUCUGGCAAUAAAAUGAAACAAUUAGGAUAGGAUUGGCAAGGUAGAAGUAAAAUCUUUAUAUUCUUUAUAUGUAGAUGAAAUGAUCAUCUACAGAGAAAAUGCUAAGAAAUCUCUAGGAGCCCCUAGAACUUGUAUUUGAAUUUAGCAGGAUUAGAAAACACAGGGUAUAUAUAAAAGUUCAGGUCUAUGUAUACUUGCUAUAAAUGAAGAAUUGGAUAUUGAAAUUUAAAAGUUAUGUAGAAGUACACAGGACCUAGAAAAGUAAAAAGAAAAAAAAAACAGUGUUUGAAGACAUUUAGUACCUAAUUUUAAGACUUCCUCUAAAGCUACAGUAAUCAAGUCAGUGUUGGUGUAAGGAAAGACAUAUAGAUCAUUGGAAUAAAACAGAGAAUCUAGAAAUAGAACCACACAUAUAUGGUCCACUGAGUUUUGAAAGAUUAUUUAACAUUAAUGUUUUAUAGAACAUAAACUCAAUUCAAGAGCAGAGGAAAAGAUAGUGUUUUCAGCAAAUGACACUAGAAUACCUGGUAUCCGUAUAUAAAAAAUUAACCUCAACCCUUUAUUUCCAUACAUAAAAAUAUCUUGAAAGGAUCUAUGAACUUAAAUAUGAGAGAUUAAAAAAAAGAAAUUAUCAGGGAAAAUGUUUAUGAAUUUAGGGUAGGCAAGAAUUUCUAGGAUAGAAAAAACAGGAUGUAUAAAGGAAAAAAUUGAUAAAUGAGAUUCCAUUAAAAUUUAGAACUUUAAAUGACAUCAUUAAGAAAAUGAAAAGUAAUCCUUAAACAGACCAUAUUUACAAUGCAUAUAACCUAUGACCAGAAUAUGUAAAGAACACUUGCACCUCAUUAAUAGACAACUCAAUUGAAAAGUAGACACAAGAAGAUGAUAAAUAGCCAGUAUAGCACAGGGAAAGGUGUGCAACACUAGAAUCAGAAAAAUACUAAUCAGUACAAUAACAAGAUUGAAUUAUACACUCAUUAGGGAGAUGAAGUUAAAAGUUUUAAAAGAACAAAUGUCAGCUUAGGUAUGAACCAAUUAGAACUUUCUAAUACUGCUAAUGUGAAUGUAAAAUGAUAAAACCAUUUUGGAAAAUAAUAUAGAAAUUUCUUGUAUUACUGUUAAGAACCAACAGUUCUGUUCUUAAGUUUUUACUUGAGAGAAAUGAAAACACAUGUUCACAAUAGAUUUGUAUAUACAAGUUGACUAUCCCUUAUCUGAAAUUCUUGGGACCAGAGUGUUUCAGAUUUUCAUUUGAAAUCCACUUGAUCUACAAAGAGGAUAGCUACUUCUGCUUUUUUUUUUUUUAUUCCUGUCACGUGGAGUAUUGUUUUCUACCCUUUUACUUUCAGUCUGUGAGUUUCUUUUUGAAUUAAAUGUGUUUCUUGUAUGCAGCAUAUUGUUGGAUCUUGCUUCUUGACCCAUUCUGCCAGUCUAUAUCUUUUGAUUGAUGAAUUGAGACCAUUAACAUUGAUGGUUAUAUAUG
rnacentral:lncRNA from 1 species